UUACUUUCUAGAGCUCUAUAAAUUCGAACUCUAUAUCAAACUGAUCAAGUAACUCACUCAAUCAGCUCUCUGAAAGAUAACAAAAUGAGUACUCCUUUUGUAACUGCAAUCUCCUUCCUUCUCCUUACCUUUGCCACAAAACCUCUUGUGGGACUCGCUGAUCCUUUGGUUGAUGUCAAUGGCAACAAGGUCGAAGCAUCCCGAGACUACUAUUUGGUCUCAGCAAUUCGAGGAGCAGGCGGUGGCGGCCUCACCCUCUUCAGGGGCAGAAACGAACUCUGCCCACUUGAUGUUGUCCAACUAAGUUCCGACUCAGAAAGAGGAACCCGUUUAAGAUUCUCAAUGUCUGAUAAAACUAGUAUUAUCAAUGAAGAUGUGGAUCUGAACGUGAGAUUCUCGACAGAGACUCGCUGCAACGAACCAACAGUAUGGAGAGUCGACAGCUAUGAUCCAUCGAGAGGAAAAUGGUUUAUAACAACUGGUGGUGUUGAAGGAAACCCUGGAGCUCAAACUUUGAAAAACUGGUUUAAGUUUGAGAGAAUUGGAAGAGAUCGAGGUGAGUAAUAGGGAUAAAAAUACCUAUAUUUCUUUAUUUAAGUUUCUGUUUAAUUUUUAUAUUUUAAAAAAUACCUCAAAAAUUUAUAAUGUAAUAUGUUAUAUUCUUAUUCCAUUUUUUUCUUUUCUUUUAAUGAAAUAAGUUAAUUUGACAUAUUAUAAUUUUUUUUUAUUGAUAUCCUAAAAAUAUUGCUGUAAGGAUAUUAUUGUAAAAAGAAAGGAUGGAAUUGUGACCUAUUUAACAAUAAAAGUAUCUUGAGAUUUUUUUUUAAAUAUAGAGAUUAAAUGAAUGUUUAACUCAAAAUAGAAGCAGUAAAUAAACAUUUACCCUAAGUAAUAAUGAUAACUGAACACAAAGUUUGAAGAGACAAAUAAUGAGAAAAUACGACAAAUACCAUCUCACUUAUCUUGUAUUGAUGUUUUUUUUUUUAACUGACUUUACAAAAUUGUAUAUUAAUGUAUCAUUGCUCUUUCCAGCUACGUACAAGAUUGUUCACUGUCCUUCCGUUUGCGAAUCCUGUGUAUCUUUAUGCAAUGAUGUUGGGGUUUCUAACGAUCAUGCUCGACGUUUGGCUCUCACUAAUGGGCGCGCGCUUGCUGUUGUUCUAGUCCCUGGUAAUGAGAGAUCAGCCUCAUGUGCGUCUUGAAUGCCCUUGUAUCAUUACUCUAAAUAAUGGAUCGGGCUAGCUCCUUGACGCUUAUAACAUAAACAAAAAUGUCAUUGCUAGCUAGCCUGUGUACCUUUGAAAGAAAUAAAAGUGGCGAAUUUUGACUGUUUAAUCUCUUAGAGCUUUGGGUAUGACUGAGGAGUUAUAUCUUGGGGGACAAAAGCUACCUUGACAGGGAUAAAAAAAUUUAUUUGAAAAAAAAUGAAAUAUUUCAAUCAACCAUGACAAUAUUCAUAGGCAUAUUCAUGUGACUAAGUUGAGAAAUUAAUAUUCUUUCAAGUGAUAGGCUUAAGCAUUACAGUUAAAAAAAAGUUGUGACAAUCAGCUUAUUCAGAUAUCUGUACCUCACAAUCGUGGAUCUUAUCCCAACUAACAUGCUUUAAGACAAUGAACAAAACCGUGUAGUUAAACACAUUUCAAUUGUCUUCAACCAAACCGUGAAACAGAUAUCAAUUGUCUUGAUGCAAAUAAAUAUGAGUAAUAUCUUGCUAAUAUUUUGGACCACUUGUUAGUGAAUGUAACGUACAAGGUAUCUCCAAUUCUUAACUGUUAGGAAAUUGAGUUUCCUCCUAAGAUCUCUCCAAGUAAUUUAUCAAGCAACAAAUUAAUAAGAAAAAUUAAAUGGAGAAUAUACCAAUCGCACAACACAAGAUUUACGUGGAAAACUCUAAAUCCGGAGAAAAACCACGGCCGUUGUCAAAAAGACAAUCAGAGAAAAAAUAUUCACUAUGUGAAAAAUUAUUACAACCACACUCUCAUAAAUUUUCUCUCACCCAAGCCCCAGAUGCACCCAAAAUACUAAACUUUCCUAAUACUCACUUAAUGCUUAACUUGCAUUAGAUUUUACAACUUUGAAUGUUUCUCUUUGGGAUCAUUAAAAUGAAGGAAGGGCAUCUCCUAUUUAUAGGCAAAAAACUUGCCUAAAAGUCUUCAAGUUUGAUCAAAUUUGGUGGCUUACCCACCAAAUUUGAUCAACAAAUUUGGUCAUGUUCAACCAUGGCUGCUCCCAUGGUUCAAGAAUGGAGGCUAAAGUCUUUACUUUGACAUUCUCCCACUUGGAGAUUUGAUUGAGAAUCAAUCAAUCUCCACACCACCCUUGUUGUCUUCACCUUUAGUCAUAAUUCUCAACAUAGAGAAUUAUCAUACUCCACCAUAAAGAGUAUACCACUUAGAAUUAAUUACCAAUUCUAAGAAUUUUACAUCGGCACAUGUCGAAAUAUCCUACUGAAAUUUAUGGUGCAACUUCCAUGUUGGCUUUCUUGGAAAUUCAUCAGCCAUCGACAUAAAUUCCACCACACACCCUGCAUCAAUGCCAACUAUGCCUUGUGUGUAAAUCUUGUGGACCCACUAGUAGUAAAACAUCCCCUUUCAUGGUACUAACGGUAUACCAUGAGGAUGUCAUCAUCAUCUAUUUUACAAGGGAUCAUCGUCUCCCACGAUGAUGAGAGACUUACCACUAGCAAUACUAUCAGUAUCUGAUCUGGAGCCACUUGUCGAUCCUGCUCCAUUUCUACUAUGACAAUCUCUUUUUAAGUGCCCUGAUUGUCCACACCCCCAGCAGACUCCUUUCUUCUUAGAUUUAUCUUUCUGCCAAUUCCCUACAACUGCUAAAGCUGAGACAUCUGUAGUUUUAGUACUUUCACCACUCAGUCUUCUUUCUUCUGAGAGUAAAGUACUAGUAACUUCUUCAAGAUCUACUGUCUCCUUCCCGUACAUCAAAGUAGGUAACAAGUGUUUGUAGGAAGUUGGAAGUGACCAUAGUAACCUAAGCGCCUUGUCCUCAUCUUCAAUUUUAACUCCAAUGGCUUCUAGUUCUGACACAAUACCAUUGAGAACACUGAGGUGAUCGGAAAUUUUUGUACCUUCAGCCAUUCGCAGUGUGUGAAAUCGCUCCUUCAGGUACAAUCGAUUUGAGAUGCUCUUUGUCUGAUACAACUUUUCUAGCUUCUCCCAAAGUUCUUUCGCUGUAGGAAUUUUUCCUACAUUUGCAAGAACAUUCUUUGCUAGACACAGUCGUAUGGCACUUGCAGCUCGAUCAUCUAAUUCUUCCCAAUCUUCAUCACUUAUACUAGCUUUUCCAGAGCCACUACUGGAAGCAGGGGAUGGCUUCCCCUUUAAUGCCUUGUGUAACCCAAAUUGAAUCAACACAUCUUUGACUUGAACUUGCCACAAGCCAAAGUUAAUUCUCCCAUCGAAUUUUUCUAUUUCAAAUUUCACCGGACUUGAAAAUUUCAAUCCUAACAUAUUUGCUUUACAGAUCAGCUUUUACUUUUCACCACGGACUGUUUGGAUUGGCUCCCACUGCUUCACGUGAAUAGUACCGUAUACGUGAACAGUGCCUCGACACCAAAACUUCAAUUAAUGGCUCUGAUACCACUGUUAGGAAAUUGAGUUUCCUCCCAAGAUCUCUCCAAGCAAUUUAUCAAGUAACAAAUUAAUAAGAAAAAUUAAAUGGAGAAUAUAUCAAUCAUACAACACAAGAUUUAUGUGGAAAACUCCAAAUCCGGAGAAAAACCACAGCCGUUGUCAAAAAGACAAUCAGAGAAAAAAUAUUCACUAUGUGAAAAAUUAUUACAACCACACUCUCAUAAAUUUUCUCUCACCCAAGCCCCAGAUACACCCAAAAUACUAAAAUUUCCUAAUACUCACUUAAUGCUUAACUUGCAUUAGAUUUUACAACUUUGAAUGUUUCUCUUUGGGAUCAUUAAAAUGAAGGAAGGGCAUCUCCUAUUUAUAGGCAAAAAACUUGCCUAAAAGUCUUCAAGUUUGAUCAAAUUUGGUGGCUUACCCACCAAAUUUGAUCAACAAAUUUGGUCAUGUUCAACCAUGGCUUCAACCAUGGCUGCUCCCAUGGUUCAAGAAUGGAGGCUAAAGUCUUUACUUUGACAUUAACUAGGAUUCAUAGGGCUAAAUAUAUUAGAAUAUAUAGUAUUUAAGUCAGAUCAUUGUUAAAUAAUUUAUUAGAAUUUGCCUUGUUUUUUUGUAUUUGAGUUUUUUUUUCUAGCUAGUAUAGUUUUAUAUAUGUUAGACCAGUAACUUCUUUCUCGCUUAUUUUAUUAGAAUUUUCCUAUGGAUCUACUCAUGCUCAAAAGUUAAGCUUUAGAUUUGAAAGUUACCUCAAGCUUAUAUUAUUAGUCCAGUAAUCGGGAUGGUAAAAAAAAAAUUCAACUUGACUUUAUCCCUAAUAAACUAGCCUGGACAUAUUUUUCAAACACUCGGCUAAAUACAUGCUCAGGCCUCACCUUAAAAGCUUGAUACCAACCCGAAAGCUAGAAAAUUGUUUUGCAAUAGAAAUACAUAUAUUUUUUAAUUAGAAUACACAUUUUAAUAUUUAUUUACCUCACUAAUAACAUAUAUUUGAAGUUCUAAAUCCUUUAACCCAACUUUUAAAUACUAGUCUAAUAAAAACAAAAUUUUAUAAACUACCAAGUUGUUUUACAAAUUAAAUUUUAUUUAUAAAACACCUUUUAAUAUAUUUUAAAGUUUAUAACGUUUUAUUUUUAUCAUAUUAGGCAUUAGAAAGAUUUAAAUGUUGUUAUGAAUGGGCUAAAUAGAUACAAAAACAUAUAUUUUAACUUUUUGGUUUUAAGUAUUUCUCUUGCUUUAAGUUGGGUUCAGGUUUUUUAGGUGAAACCUAAGCCCAACAUAAGUGUGUUGAGAAAAUAUGUUCUGGGCGGGUUACCUGCUAUGGUGGACCCGACUUAUUUUGUCAUCCUUAGUAUUGGACUAAUAUAAAUUUGAGGCAACUAUUAACUUUUGAGUUAGUUUUUGGGUAUAAAUUGAGCAUAUGGGCUUAUGGGUUCUAUACUAUGACGGAACCCACAAAUUAAUUGUUGAUUGAAAAUGAUAUUUAACAUCUCAAUGUAGUCCUUUUAAGUUAGAAAAUAGGAGUUGGACCAUUGGCACCCACCCAAUCUCCUCAUGCAACCCCAUUUUUAAUUGUAUUUAUUUUAUUUCUGAAAAUGUCCUUUUUCUUAAUACAUUCUUUUAACUUUUAAUUUAAUUUUUUUAUUAUUAAAACUCAAAGUAGUAUUUUGUCUUUUUUUUUUUGUGUGGGGGCAAUCUCGUUGUUUGUCUACACACAAAUUAAAAUUUUUUUUAGGUAAUGAAUUUUUAGAUGUCAAUCAUUGGUUUAAAUUAAACUAUUUUAAAUUAUAACUUGGAAGGAACUUAAAUACAAAAAUAUAUAACCAGUAAGAAAUAAGGAAAAAAAAUAUUUUAAGUCUAUUUUAAUUAGAUAGGAAGUGACGAUAGAAAAUAAAAAAGAAGGAUUGAUUGUGAAUUCAAGAAUUUGUUGGACAAAAAAUCACUGUGUGUUUGAUUCUUGUUUGUUUUGACUAUAAUUUUAUUUAAAGUGGGGUUUUAUAAGGAUAAUAAAGGGGUGCCAAUAGCUUCAUUUGGAAAAUAAUUUUUAGCUUGAUGAUAUGAGCUUCAAGCAACCUUUAACUCUUGUUUUAACUUUUUAGUAUGAGUUAGGCCCAUAAGAUUCGAUAUGAUCACAUCAUAACCCCCUACAUUAAAAUGAUUUUAAUAUGUUUCGAUUUUUUUGCUUUUACUAAUUGUUGAAAAUAAAGAGUAGUAUAGAUAAGGAUAACAAUUGAUUUUUGUAAGCAUCAAGGCUUAACUUAUAAAAUGAACGAAAAUAUUAAAACGGAUAUGUUACAAUUACCAGGAAAAGAAAUGUUACAAUUAUAAUGAUUAUGAUUGUUUAACGAGUUAAUCCUUGAUGCUGAAUUUAUUUGAUUGAUUCACAAUAUAUUAUUAAGGAUUAACUGGUUGUCCAGGUGUCCUAUUGAUAGACUGUGUUUUGGCGCUCGCUAGGGGCACCUUGCAUUGAGGUAAAUACGGAUGAUUUGGCUACAGGUAAUCCCAGAAUCUCGGAUUGUGGCUUUUUUCAAGGCUUUAAUGGUGCUUUUACGAAGCCGCCUUACUGUGGCUCUGGGCCUUGUUUUGCUGUAAAUGCCAUUCAAGCUGUUAAUAUUGCUCUUUCCAUGGGAUGGCAAUUUGUUUGGCCGAAGAGGGAUUCAAAUCUGCUAACUCUUGCUUAUUUGCAGAACUCUCUUUUUCAUCUGCCGGGGCAACUCGUAUUUAGUGGUUGAACUGUCUAUAACAGAUCAGUCAUAUGUAGUUUCGUAGUCAUAUUAAUUUUGAAGGGUAAUUCGGUUGCUGAUUGCUUAGGAAAGGCCGGGUCUAACUGAUUCGAGGCCCUUGGUGAACUUUUUUUUUUUUUUCUUUUAAAGACAUUCUUACGUUAAACAACAUUAAUUCCGAAAGAAAUAUUAAAUAGCUUAUAAUUCAACUAUCUUUAAUAAUAUAUUGAAUUUCAACAAUUAUCAACAUGAUCCUGACAAAUAAUAAAAAAAGAUAUAUAUUUUUAGUGAUCAUCUUCAAAGUUGAUUAUUUCAUUCACUAUUUCAAUUUUGAUUUUCAAUUUUGUAAGUAUAUCGUUUCUCUUUAAAAUACUAAUACAUAUCUUUUUUUACUAGCUGUGAAAAAUUUAUCAAGAGCUCGUUUUUGAGAUCUGACUAAUUUUUCUGCUCUCCUUUUUUUUAAAAUUUUUUUUGUAGCUUUUCAUAUUCUAAUGCUUAUUUUCUAGUUGACAUGCUUUUCAAAUCUAAAUAACAAACAAAUAAACAAACACAAAUUUUCUUUUCUAGAUUAUUCGAGCCAUAUAUCAGUACAAAAAAUAAAAAUAAAUUAAAUUUUAAAAAAGAUAAGAAUAGUAACAAUUAAAAAUAGAAUUAUUGAUACCACUUAGCAAGUUGACUAGUUGAGAUGAAUAUAAUGAUUAGAUGAUGACAAUAAAUUUCGUACAAAAGAAUUUUCUUUAUAGAGAGGAGAGUAACAAAUUGUUUAAUUGAGAAUAUCAUUGAUUCACUAUCUAUUUGUUUUGGGUUUUUAUAUAGAUUUUUAUAGAAUACUAAGAGUUAGUUCUAAAAUAUAAGGUUAAUAAUUUUAAUAGAGUAAUUUUUGAAAAAGAGAAGGCAUUGAAUUUUUUUUUAAAUAAAGAAGUAACAUUUAAAGUCAUUAUUCAACUGAAAAAAUAUAUUUAUUUUUAAUAAUAAGGAGAUGUCUAGAAAUUAUGCUUUCCUACAAUAUAUACUUAGCUAAAAAUAAUUUUGAAUAACAAAAAAAAAAUUAAUUAUACUAACUAAUAAAUAGAUAAACAAAAAUUGCGGCAUCCAUAAAUAUUGGGUUCGCCUAGUGGUAAAGUGUUACAUCCUUAAAACUCGAGGCAUGCCAAUGUUUGGCUUGCGGCCUUGUGCCAAGCAUGGCUACGCAGCGGAUGUGCGCGGGAAGGCACGAAAGCAAGUCAAGUUUGUGCGCAAGUUGGGGCGCAACAAAAACUAAACGGGCUGAUGGACAACACACAAGAUAUGUGCGAGGCAGCGCACAAGUGCUCCGAGGGAUAGUGCACACACAAAGGUGCGCAAGGCAUGCGCACGCACACACGCACACUAGCAAGAGCCACACACAAGCAACAGGCCAGGGGGUUGUUGGAGUAAUUUUUUAUAAUAAUGAUUUUGAUGAUAACAAACAUGUUUUCAAUUGAUAAGUUUAAAAUUUUUUGUUAAUUGGAUCAAUUUUUUAAGCCAUAUAAUAUUCAAAGCAAAGAAAAACCUUAUGGAAAUAAACAGCAAAACAUUUACAGAAAAUGGAAAACCGAUUACAUUCCAGAGAAUGAAUUUUCAGAAAACGGUAAACCGUUUAUAGAAAAUGGCAAACUGAUUGCAUUAACCGUUUAUGGUUAACAGUACACCCAAUGCAUUCCAGAGAGCAAAUUUCAGAUAUCGGCAAAUCGUUAACGGAUAACGGUAAACCGAUUUCAUUCCAGAGAGGAAAUCAUAUAUAACGAUCAAUGGAUAACGGUAAACCAAAUGCAUUCCAGAGAGCAAAUCUCAGAUAACAGUAAACCGUUUAUGGAUAACGGUAAUCCGACUGCAUUCCAGAGAGUGAAUCUUAGAUAACGGCAUACUGUUUAUUGAUAAUGGUAAACCGAUAACAUUUCAGAGAACAAUCAUCUUGCAAACAGUAAACCGUUUAUGUCAAACGAAUAACUGACAUCUUUGAACAAGUUUAUAGAAUGAUAAUGGUAAUCCAACUUCCUGCUAAUAGUGAUCUGGCAAUUUGACUUUCGGCGUAGCGGUAACUUGCUUAAGUCAAAACGGCAAUUUGACAAUGGGCAGAAAGUCAAUAACAGCUAAUUUUCAGCUCCAUCUAUAAAUUAUCUCAAUCAAAUUCAAACAAGAAGUGAUUCAACUAUUGGGAUUGAGCAAACAAUUAAGCAUACAACUUUCCUUGAGCUUUAAAAUUCUUGUGUUCAUCACAUUUACUCACACUUUUAGAAUUUCAUUUGUAAUCAAUAAAUUGUGUGAGAGAUAUUUAUUUUGUAAUGCUUUUUGAAAAAUCGAAUUGAGAGGUUGUAAGCAUUGGGAUACACUUGCGUUAAGAAAUUAAGGAUAAUCUCUUGUUGUAAAGGUUCAUUGACACCUUUGAAGUCAAUUAUAAGAGUGAUUAAAGCCUUGGAGGCUUGCUUAGUGGAAUCUUCAAGCUCGUGAGCUUGGAGGCAUGAAUGUAAGCAUGGUUGGCCGAACCACAUAAAAAUUGUGUGUUUGCUCUCUCUUUUCCCUUACUCUUUUAUUUUUGAGUAUUGUUAAAUUUAUUGCUUUUGUUUUCAUUAAGGCAUUAGAUUAAAAUUGUUGUGUGGUUUGAUUAGCUUAAAUUUUAGAAUAUUAAUUCACCCCCUCUUGGGUUGCAUAGUUAGUAUUUCAUUUGGUAUCAGAAUGAGGUUCUCUUAUUAGGACUUAACCGUCUAGAGUAAAAGAUCCAUGACAACUCAAAAUGAUUCAACUUUUAGGGAAGGACAGUGCAUAACUAGACCACCAUUCUUUGACGGUAAUGACUACCUAUAUUGGAAAACUAGAAUGAAAAUUUAUUUGCAAGCUUUAGAUUAUGAAAUUUAGGAAGUUGUUUGUAAUGGUCUAUUCAUGCCUAUGACUAAAAAUGAAGUAGAAGAUGAUAUUCCAAAACCUUCAAGUCAAUGGAGUGAGUUAGAAAAGAAAAAUGUAUCUUUAAAGAGUCUAAGAUUAGUAGAUACACUAGACAAUAUGAAUUAUUCCAAAUGGAACAAAAUGAAAGUGUUUAUUCCAUGUAUACUAGAUUUAUGGAUAUUGUAAACACAUUAGGAGCCCUAGGAAAAACCUUUUCAAACAGCGAAAAGGUUAAGACGAUCAUUAGGUUUUUGCCAAUGGAAUGGAGACCUAAAAGAACCGCCGUAGAGGAAGCUAAAGAUUUAAACACUUUGCCUAUUGAUGAUUUAAUUGAUUCUCUUAUUUCAUAUGAAGAAGAUUUGGCAGCAAAAACAGGUAAUGAGGAAAAGAAGAAGAAGAGCAUUGCACUCAAGGCAUCAAAGCAUGAGAGUGAUGAGGAAAGUGAGUUUGAUGAUGAAAACAUGACUAUGAUGUCUAAGAGGUUCAGAAAAAUUUUCAAGAAAACCACUGAGCGGAAAAGAUUUCGAAACUAUAAGAAUUAAAAGGAGAAGAAUGAGCCAAUCACCUGUUAUGAAUGUAAGAAGCCUGGACACAUACGAUCAGACUGUCCUCUUCUCAAGAAGCUCAAGAAGACGACAAUGGUAGCCACAUGGGAUGACAACAAUGAGGAAGCAAGUGAUAAUAAAGAGUCACAAGAAAUGUCAAAUCUCGCUCUCAUGGCAAUUAGGGAAGAAUCGUUUAACGAACUCGAUGAGUUAAGUGAUCCUACAUAUGAUGAAUUAUAUGAUACUUUUUAAGGAAUUGCACGAUGAUUGGAUGAAAAUUGGUAAAAAGAAUGCAUGUCUCAAAAAGAAAGUUGUAGAGCUCACAAAUGAAAAUGAAUCUCUAAGUACAAAGAUUGCAUGCUUAGAACUAGAGAAUAAAACUUUGCAUAAUAAAGUUGCAUUAACAAAUGAAAAACCAAGCAUUUUACAUUAGCACUUAGAAUCACAUGUAGAUGAUUUGAAAAAGGAAAAUGAAAUGCUCAAGAAAAAGAACAUUAAACUUAGUGAUGUUGUCUUAAAAUUUACAAAUGGGUAAAAGAUAUUGGAUAACUUGCUUAAUUGACAAAAAUGUGUUUUUGACAAAGGAGGCAUUGACUAUAAGCCAAAUUUGAAAUAAAAAUAUUAUAAGAAUUAUUUUAUUAAAGCUAUCACAACAAGUGAUAAUAAGAGUGUUUGUCAUUAUUGCAAUCAAAAUGGUCACAUGAAAUAUACAUGUCUAGUGAAAAGAAAUGUAUGCUUUGGAUUAAAAUGUAUUUAGGUUUCGAAAGGAACCAUUACUAACUCAAGGACCUAAAAAGGUUUGGGUACCUAAGACUUAAGAUUUUCUUUGCAGGGCUUGAAGAAGAAGAAAAAUAAAUGGUACUCAGAUAGCGGAUGUUCAAGGCAUAUGACCGGAAACUGUGCAUGGCUCUCAAGUUUCACCAAAUCGAAAAUGAUGGAGAUGUAUCCUUUAGAGACAACUCAAAAGGAAAAAUUCUCGGAAUUGGUGAUGUUGGUAAAGUUUCCUCAACUCUAAUUGAAAAUGUAUGUUUAGUUGAAAAUUUGAAAUACAAUUUGAUUAGCAUUAGUCAAUUGUGUGACAAGGGUUAUAAAAUUAUUUUUGAUAAAUCAAGAUGUAUUAUUGAGAUUGCAUGUGAUAACAAAAUUUUGUUUGUUGAAAAUAUAUGUGGUAAUGUUUAUACUAUUGAUAUAGAAUAUGCAUCCACUCAUGAUAAUUACUUUUCUGCAUUGCAUAAUGAUGGUUGGCUAUGGCAUAGAAGACUAGGACAUACAAGCAUGGAUUUGAUCUCAAAGAUUUCUAAAAAUUAUUUAGUUAAAGGUCUUCCAAAAAUCGGUUUUAAAAAAGAUAAAAUUAUUGAAGCAUGCCAAUUUGGUAAACAAAUUAAAACCUCUUUUAAAAGAAAAAAAAUCAUAUUUCUACUUCAAAACCUCUUCAACUACUUCAUAUAGAUUUAUUUAGUCCUUCAAGAUAUACUAGCUUAAGUGGCAAGUAUUAUGCAUUUGUAAUUGUUGAUAAUUUUUUAGAUACACAUAGGUAUUAUUCUUAACUAAUAAGGAUGAUGCUCUUGAUACUUUUAAAGUAUUUUGUAAGAAAAUUCAAAAUAAAAAAGGGUAUGGUAUUGCAUGCAUUAGGAGUGAUCAUGGAGGAGAGUUUGAAAAUCAUGCAUUUGAAACAUUUUGCAACAAUUUUGGCACUGUGCAUCAAUUUUUAUCACCUAGGACUCCACAAUAAAAUCGAGUUGUUGAAAGAAAAAAUACAUCUAUUCAAGAAAUGGUUAGAACCAUGUUGAAUGAAAAUUCUUUGCCUAAGUAUUUUGGGCCGAAGCCGUCAACACUGCUUGUUAUGUUUUAAUCAUGUGUUGAUUAGACCUCUUCUUAAUAAAACUCCCUAUGAGCUUUGGAAAGAUAGAAAGCCCAACAUUGGUUAUUUCAAAGUUUUCGAUUGCAAAUGUUUUAUUUUGAACACAAAAGAUAAUCUUGGUCAAUUUGAUCCAAAAUCUGAUGUUGGUAUUUUUCUUAGUUACUCAAACACAAGGUGUAACCACUAGAUCAUCAUUUAGAAAUACUUGUGAGCAUGCUACAUUCAUAUCUCAAAUUGAACCAAAAUCCUUUGCGGAUGAGGAAAAUGAUGAAUUUUGGAUUAUGGCAAUACAAGAGGAGUUAAAUCAAUUUGAGAGAAAUAAUAUGUGGAAAUUAGUUCCUAAACCGAGCAUCAGUCCAUUAUAAACACUAAAUGGGUAUUUAGAAAUAAAAUGAAUGAAUCCAAUAUGGUUGUAAGAAAUAAAGCUAGAUUAGUGGCUCAAGCUUACAACCAAGAAGAAGAAAUUGAUUUUGAUGAAACAUUUGCACUUGUAGCAAGAUUAGAAUCCAUUAGGAUGUUACUAGCAUUUGUAUGUCAUAAAGAUUUUAUUCUAUAUCAAAUGUAUGUCAAAAGUGUUUUUUUAAAUAGUUAUAUUAUGGAAGAAAUUUUUAUCAAACAACCCAUGAUUUUGAAACUGAAAAAUUUCCAAAUCAUGUUUAUAAGUUGUCAAAAGCAUUGUAUGGAUUAAAGCAAGCACCUAGAGCAUGGUGUGAUAGGCUUAAGAGUUUCUUAUUGGAUAAUGGUUUUGUUAGUCUAAAUGGCUAUAAAAUGUUGAUUUUGAUGAUAACAAACUACGUGUUUUAGAUAAACAAAAAAUUACACAUUAUGUUUUUAUAACAAGAAAAUGAUUUUAUGAAAUUGUUUGUUUUUAGGUUUAUGGUUUAAAUUGAAAAGUUUUGAGAACUUUAAAAUCAACAAAUAUUGUUUUAAAAUUCUAAAAAGGGGCCUAUUUGCAAAGUUUUCUAAAUAUUUUGGCCAUAGUAUAAUUUUAUACAGUUUUAGGGUAAAAUUAUAAUUUUUGAAAAAUAGUUGUUUCACUGUAGCAAGCGGCUAGCCGGAUUUAUCAAAACGGCAAAUCGGUUAUGGGCAGAAGUCUCUAGAAUAAAAACGGCUAACCAAAAAUGAAAAGCGGCAAACCAGAUGAGCAAAAUUUAAAUCUUUGAACAUAACGGUAACAUAAAGUGGCAAGCCGGUUAACACAAAGCGACAAGUCAGAUAUCACCAAAAAGUCAAUACAGCUAGUUUUCUUCUUUAACUAUAAAUUGGCUCAAAUCAAAUUCAAUAAAAGUGAGAUACAACCAUUGUUAUCAUUGAGUCAUCCUCUACAAUCUGAGCAUAAAAUUUGUAUUCAUUUCAUUCAUUCACACACAUUGAGCUUUCAUUUGUAAUUAAACACAUUGUGUGAGAUAAAUUUAUUUGUAAUCAUUUUUGUAAAAUCAAGUUGAGAGGUUGUAAGUGUUGGGAUACACUUGGGUGAAGAGAUUGUGGAUAAUCUCUUGUUAUAGAGAUCCAUUGACACCUUAGAAGUCAAUUGUAAGCGUGGUUGAAGCUUUGGAGGCUUGGAUAAUGAAAUCAUUAAGCUUAUAGGCAUAGGGAGGGACUGCCGAACCAAGUAAAAAUAUUUGUAUUUGCUCUCUCCUCCCUUACACUUUUUAUUCUCGAGCAUUGUUAAAUUUAUUUAUUUUCAUUUUAUUAAGACAUUAGAUUAAAUUAUUGUGUGGUUUGGUUAGUUUAAGUUUUAAAAACCCAAUUCACCCCCUUCUUGGGUUGCAUAACUAGUAUUUCAGGUUCCUCAAUGGGAAAAGCGGAUACAACUCUCUUUGCUAAGUAUAAGAAUCAAGAUAAACUUGUAGUUCAAAUUUAUGUUGAUGACAUUAUUUUUGGUUCUACUAAAGAAGUAUUGUGUAAAGAAUUUCUAAUGAGCAUGAUGGGAGAGCUGAAAUACUUCAUUGGACUGCAAAUAAAACAAAAUGAGGAAGGGAUUUUCAUAAAUCAAGCCAAAUAUGUGAAAGACCUACUCAAAAGAUUUGGCUAUAAAAAUAGAACAGCAAAAAGCACUCCAAUGAGUACCACUAUCAAGAUAGACAAGGAUGAAAAGGGUAAGGAGGUUGACAUCAAGACGCAUCGAGGUAUGAUCGAAUCCUUACCCUACUUGACUGCUAGUAGGCCUGAUAUUAUGUUUAAUGUAUGCUUAUGUGCUAGAUUUCAAUCUUGCCCUAAAUAGUCACACUUGCAUGCUGUUAAACGAAUUUUUUGAUAUUUGAUCGGCACUAUAGAUCUCGGCCUUUGGUAUCCUAGAGGAACAUAUAUAGACUUAACUUACUAUUCGGAUGUUGAUUUUGCUGGCUAUAAGGUUGAUAGGAAAAUCACUAGUGGAACAUGUCACUUUUUAGGUCACUCUUUAGUCUCUUGGUUUAGCAAGAAACAAAAUUCAGUUGCACUAUUAACUACCAAGGUUGAGUAUAUUGUAGUCGAAAGUUGUUGUGCUCAAGCUUUAUAGAUGAAAAAAAUUCUUAGAGACUAUGGCAUUCACCUUGAUAAAAUACUUAUUUUGUGUGAUAAUACUAGUGCUAUAAAUCUUUCAAAGAAUCUUAUCCAACACUUAAGAACCAAGCAUAUAGAGAUUAUACACCAUUUCUUCAGAGAUCAUAUUCAAAGAGGGGAUAUUUCUUUGAAUUUUGUUUCAACCAAAAAACAACUUGGUGAUAUUUUCACAAAACCCCUCAAUGAAGAACAAUUUACUAAAAUUAGACAUGAGCUUGGAAUAUUGAAUGUUCCACAAUAGCUUGGCUUUAUGUGAUAUUAAUCUAUUUUUAGUAAUGUGAUUGCUUAUUUGUAUCAAUUGUUUAAAUUGUGUGAAUUCAUGAAUUAUGCAUUAAAUUGAUUUUUAAGACAUUUCAGAUCAAUAAAAUGAUCUUAAAAUGGAUUAAUUGCUGACCAAAAACUAAAGUAGAUGUGCGAAAUCAUUAGUUAAAGAAAACAGAAUGCCGUUUAUUCAAUAAACGAUUAACCGUUUUUGGGACAGAAACUAGGGAAAAUAUUCAGGAAGAUAACGGUUUGCCAUUUUCGUAAAACUUUUGGGUUACAUUCUGGAACGAUAUCAGCUCGCUGAUAUCUUAAUAACGGCUCACCGUUAUCGUGCGAUAAGAGCACAGUAAACCGUUUUCUCCAUCUUUUGCCCUUGAACUGUUUAACCUUCAAUCGUGGCUGCGACUCCUCUCUCUCAAAUUACUCAUUUUCCUUGCAAUUUCUCUUCAAAUUGAAGCCAUAGAAAUCUUCUUUAACAUGUUUAGAACAUUUUCAUUCGAUUAAAAACAAUUUUAAGCCUUAAAUUGCAAAUUCCCAAUUUCAAAACCCUAGUGCAAACCGAAUAUAGUUCCUCCAAAUUCUCCACAAUUUCCUUCAUUUCUUGAUCCUCUUAAGCCCAUACACACUCUUUUAUACCUCAAAUUUAUCCAUAGAUGGUGAAGGACCUUCAAGACCGAAGAGACGAGUCAAACAGAGGGCUAGCAGGAGUCCUCUUUAUCCCCCUCAUGUUCCUGAUUUCGAAAGGGUCUACUUCCUUUCUCUUUCUCUUGCUAGGAGAUUCCAAACUUAGUUUAUGACUCGUAAGUUAACUGAUUCCUUUUUUCUUGAUUUAGAUAAUUUUGAGGAGUUGGUUGUAUGUAGUAGUAAUGUAAAGGAGAUGUUGGUACAAUGAGAGAUUCUUUUGAACCUAAAUGAGAAAGUGUACCCAAACCUACUUAGAAUUUUCUACUCCAACAUGGAGCUUUCGGCUACUAGUUUGGAUCGAUUAGUGACAUAUGUCAGAGGCGUACCCAUUGAAUUUACUGUGGAAGAUUUAAGUUCCAUUUUAGAGACUGAUCAUUCAGGUCUAGAGCUCUACACAUCUCGGAAAGAACUUCAAUUUAACCGUUUUUCUCAUGUAGAUGCGGUUAGAAACAUUUAUAGAUGUCAAGACCUUUCCGAUGAUAUUUUUUCUUUACCUUUUCGGUCUCAAUUAUUGCCUAAGAAUGUUAGGAUCCUCCAUAGUAUUCUCCAGCAUAUCGUUACUCUUAGAAAUGGGCAUAGUGACGAGGUUACUCAUUUAGAUAUCGGGUUGCUGGAUUGUCUUCUUCGAAGACGUUCGGUUAACCUUGGCUAUGUAAUUGUCUGUCACAUGUUGUUUACCCCCGCCAUGAGCAAUCGACUUCUUCCAUAUGGCAGCAUUAUCACUAGAAUUCUGAGGCAUUUUAGGAUACCCAUUACCGAGCUUAUAUACGAUGAGUCUCAGAGGUUAGGUAGUGAGAUUAUCCUCGACAUUGGUUUUCAUAGGAGCAAUGGGGAAUGGGUAAACUUUACCUCAUCCAAGAAUGAGGAUACACUCUUGGCUCCUGAAGAUGAUUGUAUACUGAAUGACAUAUAUUCUGCUAAUCAGCUUCCAGACUUUCGUUAAGGAGCUAGUGACCUUGAGUUCCUCGUUGAGCUGCAGCUGCGUGUGCUGAGGAGCCUGAUGAGCAUGAGGAGCAUGAUAUGAAUACCUACGUGCCUCUAGCCCCUACCUCUUCUUCAGCUUAUGAGGAAUUGAUGCAACAGUUUUUGAGUGAGAUUCACACUCUCUCAGUCCAGCAGUAGCAGCUUGUGUCUCGCUUCAAUUCAUUUCAGCAUAUCAUUUUUUAUCAGCAGCAAGAGAUUCGAGAUGGUCAGAGACACAUCCUUACUGCUCUUGGUUUUCCUCUCAUUGAGUCUUCAUCGCGGCCACUUUCAUAGUUUAUCUUUAUUUUCCCUUUUGGUUACGCACAUACAUUUGUCAUCUCAUAUUUUGGAUGUUAUUCUAUGUAUGUUUUGGAUGAUAUUUGUUAUGCAAAUUUUAUUGAACUCGUAAAUGCACGAAUGUAUUGUAGAAUAGAUUAAUGAUGACGAGUGUCGAUCCCACGAGGAGGUUGAUUCUAAUUGUGUGUAGAAUUAAUUUUUUUCUAAAUGGAUUUUUGGAUUUGUGGUGAAAGUGACUUAGAUUAUCUUAAAAUUGGAAUUAAAAUGGCGAGAAUAAAUUGAAGAGAAAUAUAUUGAAAUGAAACACUUGGGUAUCAGGAUCCAUAUCAACAUGCACCAUGGGCUAAAUAUUCCUUAUUAGUGCCAAUUAAAUCAUGAGGGAGGAAUCUACACCUCAUGAACCACACUCUAAUCAAUAUGGUGCUAAGGGCUUAUCGUGCCAAAUAAUAAUAACCUUGUACUAGGGAGCCGGUGAAACCAGGGCGGUAUCUAGACAAGAUUAUUAUUAUUUAUCGACGAGAAGUCAAAACAUCCACAAAAACUAGAGGGGAAGAGAAAGUAAAUUUACCAAUUAAAGCCCAUGACACAUGUUGAGACUUCACCUUCAACCCAAGCUUGAAAGAAAAUUAGCUACUCAUAAUUGAACUCGGGGCAAAAUAAAAAUUUAUUAAAAUAUGUAGAAAAUACAAGAUGGAGAAGGAAUUAUAGAAAUAGAGUCCGAAAAUGGAUUCAGAGAUGCCAAAUUAGGGGGGGAGGCCCCCUUUUUAUAGAUACAUUGAGUAAAUCAUGGCCAUCAGAUUAAAAACAGUUUGGAUGCUCAGGAUUGCGCCACGUCAUCAGUCAACAGUACGCAGUUUGACCACGUGAUUUGAACAGUGACACGGUUUGACCCGGCAUGAACAGUAACGCGGUUUGGUUGAAAAUAAUUAUAUGUAUAUGCAUGUACUGUGCGCAUAAUUUUCGGUUCACUAACAUGCUGCCACAUUACCAAUCAACAAUGUAUAAGAAUUUUAGUCCAACAAGAUCGUGAAAACUCAUCAAUCAAUGCCACAUCAUCGGUCAAUACCACAUCAUCGAUCCAUCUAUAUGAACAAUGUCGUGAACAGUAACGUAGACAGUACCGUACAUGUGAAUAAUACCAUACAUGUAAACAAUGCCAUUUUUCCUUUUAUGCUCCUCCUAAGGUUUUUGACCAUCCUGAGUUCAAAAGUGAUGUCUGUUUUGCCGUCUGAUCUCUUGUUCAUUGUGAAAUGACCAUAAUAGCCCUAAAAUAUAUAAAAUACUUAAUUAAAAUAAAACGCACGUAAUUAAAUCACAAGAAGCUUAAAUAUAUAAAAGUAAGGGUGUUAGUAAAACUUGAAGCGUAAAAUGACGAUUUUCUCCUUUAUAAAUAUACAUUUUCUAACACUCAACAAUAUUAACUAUAUAUUUUGGAUGAUUUUCUAUUUUGAUAUUUGGAUUUCUUUUGUUGGUUUUGAUGAUGUGGUUAUAUGCUUGUUGGUUCUAUGCAUACUUUUGUGUUGUUGGCUUGUUGGAUUGUUGGAGUUUGUUGAUUGAGUUGAAUUGGCUUGUGCAUAUUUGGGAGUGCUUUCAAAAUUUUCUGUAAUUCAGGAUAUGUCUACUUUUAUGGGGAGACUCUGCCCAAUUUUCCCCUCACUUUCUCUUUUUGAUGAUGAAGGGGGAGAAAUAUAUCUUUGUUGUGGUAAACAAAAUUGAGUGCAUAAAUGUUUUUGGUUCAAAAAUUGAUUGGCCACAAACUAAGGGGGAGCACACAUUAAGGGGAAGCAAUCUUGCUUAGUCUUGAAAUGUUUGUCAUUAUAAAAAAGCGGGAGAUUGUUAACUCUUUUGUUUUUAUAAUAAUUAUUUUGAUGAUAACAAACAUGUUUUCAAUUGAUUAGUUUUAAAAUUUGUUGUUAAUUGGAUCAAUUUUUUAAGUCGUAUGAUAUUCAAAGUAAAGAAAAACCUUUUGGAAAUAAACGGCAAACCGUUUACAGAAAACGGUAAACUGAUUACAUUAUAAAGAAAGAAUUUUUAGAAAACGGCAAACCGAUUGCAUUAAGCGUUUAUCGCUAACGGUACACCAAAUGCAUUCCAAAGAGCAAAUUUCAAAUAUCGGCAAACCGUUAACGGAUAACGAUAAGCCGAUUUCAUUUCAGAGAGCAAAUCAUAAAUAACGGUCAACCAUUUAUGGAUAACGGUAAACCGAAUGCAUUCCAGAGAGCAAAUCUUAAAUAACAGUAAACCAUUUAUGGAUAACAGUAAUCUGACUGCAUUUCAGAGAGUAAAUCUUAGAUAACAGCAUAACAUUUAUUGAUAAUGGUAAACCGAUAACAUUCUAGAGAACAAUCAUCUUGCAAACGGUAAACCGUUUAUGUAAAAUGGAUAACCGACAUCUUUGAACAAGUUUUUGGAAUGAUAACGGUAAUUCGACUUCCUACGAUGACUCGACAAUUUGAAUUUCGAGGCACCGGUAACUUGCUAAAGUCAAAAUGACGAUCCGAUAAGUUAAAUUAUUGUGUGGUUUGAUUAGCUUAAAUUUUAGAAUCCCAAUUCACCCCCUUCUUGGGUUGCCUAGUUAGUAUUUCAACAAUUAUAUUAUAUUAUCCUAGAAAGUGAGGGUGUCAUUUAUAAAUGCUAUAAAAAACAUUAGGGGAGCCAAGUUUUAUAGAGAGUGAGUGGCCUUCUCUAAGCUCACUAAGCUUGAAGCUAUUUGUCAUUCCUUGUUCUUGAUUAUAAGAAAAUGUUGGAAGUCUAUGCUUCCGUAAACAUUGUGUGUCUUUUGUUCUCUUCAUGCAUUAGAUCUUCGAAAAUCUUAAGGUGUGUCUAACACACAUAGCCUUCGUUGUGAAUUGUUGAGUGGCUGGCUAAGCAGAAACCUUAGUGACAUCACAGGCUUGCCGCAUAGAAGAAAAUAGCCUUGUGAUAGUUUAGUAUCAGAGCCUCGAUUAACAAUAUGUCGGGAGACACUUUGAAAGAUAGAAUGAGUCGGAUGAAAGCUGUUGUCGGGGAAGUACGAUCUAGGGAGGAAUCCUUGGCUGUCAAAACCAAAGUAACCUCUAUUGAUUUAGCGAAUAUGAAGUUGUCCUUUGAAGGGUUGACUCAAGAUGUUGUUGAAAAGAUCGGUUCAGUGAUAGAAGAUGUUGCCGCUUUGGUCAAUGAGCUAAAGGGCAGCGUUGCCAACCUGAAAAAUGAGUUGUGCCUGCAAAAGCUCGCGUUGAGCACAAUGUUGGGUAUAAAUACUAAUGCUAUUAGUGCUAAUGUGCAAGUGUACAUAACAAGUAAUAUAAUAAUAAGUAUUCAAGAUCGUCUCCACAAGGAUUGAUGUUAUCAGACUUGCUACAACAAUUUUAACAGUGCAGAUUUUGUUCUAAAUUAAAAUAAAAUAAUUAAUGAAACUAAUAUACUAAUUAAAAUAAAAACGCAAUAAAUAAAAUGCAACAAAGUAAAUUAUCAUGUCAAACUCAAGGAUAAAAUCAAUGGGAAUAUAGAGUAGUUGAAUGAAUAAACUUUCUUAAUGGUUUUGACUAUUUUCUAAUAGUUGGCUCGAUUGCUGCAGUAUCUGCUAUAGCACUAGGCAGAAUCCUUAUGCAUUCUCAGCCGUCGCAUGUUGGAUAUCUUAUAUCUAUAUGCAACCUAACAGUGAUCAGUUAUUAUACCAAUAUAAGAUAUAACAUUUCACGCUUAGGUUCUAUUUACCCUACAAGGUGAAUCCCUAUUUUUAGUUCAUCACUAAUUUUAAAUUAAACAUGACCCUUUUGGGACUUAAGUAAAACUCAAUCCAGGAAACCCAAUUUAAGAUCAAGUAUUGCUUUGAUAUGUUCCACUAAGAUAUGUCCUUUUGUGGCUUUUCCUUAGCUAGUAUCAUUAAAUGGGUGAUCAACCGAAAUAAUGAAUAAAAAUAAAUUCUAUCAAAACAAAAUGCUACAGCAAACAUGUAACAACUUAUAUUUUCAGUCAAUAAACCAUCAAGAUUGUUUAUCACUCAACUACAAAUAAAUUUAGUUCAUGAUUUGCAAAAGAAAAAUAAAAAACAAGGUUUCGGCCAUGAAACACAUCCCCAUGAAUAAAUAGAAAACAAGAAAACAAGAGAAUAAUAAGAACGACUGAGCUCCCAAUUGAUCUCUGCAAUUUCUCCUCUUGUGCAGCCCUUAAUCUCUCUCUUGAAUCUUCUUUUUCUUUUGUUUCUUUGUGGUUUUUCUCCUUGGGUGACGGCCCUCUUUAUUUCUUAUGAUGUGUGCUCCUUUUUAUAGUUGAAAAUUAGGGUAAACGGAAGCCUAGAGCUUGCAUAAGUCAGAUUAGGAAACUGCAUAUCGCAAUUCUGUAAGUAUCCCGCGCAGAAUUUUCUUUGUCGUUGUUCCAGGAUUGCUACAGCAACAACUACAACAACUGCACUGUUCUAGAUUUGUUUAAAUUCUUUUGUAACUAUGUUCUUUUUCAUCUUUUGCAAGCCUAUUACACCAUCAUUCCUUCCUUGAAAUUGGGGCUUCCAAUCACCUACAAUUAUGCAUAUAAUUUAAGCACACAAAAUUAUUCUAAAACAACACAAUUUAUUAAAAAUAAACUAAAAUGGUUAUUUAUGCAAAAUAAAACUAAAAUGCAAUAAAAACAUGUCAUUUACUCUCAAAGUAAUCUUGAUUUAAGUCUAAAAGUGUCAUGAUAACUCUCAUUUCAUAGAGUUAUCACACAACUUCCUUGCAUUUGAAGGUAGGGCUUUCGAAAGUAAGGUUCCGAAGUCGAAAUUAUUUGGGGGCACGCGAAGUGCCAAGGAACUGGAGAACUUUCAGUAAGAUAUGAAGCAAUAUUUCAAGGCUGCUCGGAUACCUGAAGCGGAGCAGGUUUCCAUUACAAGCAUGUAUCUUGAGGGGGAUGCAAAGCUUUGGUGGCGCGGUACACUCUAAGAGGAUGUCGAAGCCAACUGACCAACUAUUGAGACAUGGGACUCACUGAAGCAAGAGUUGAAGGGUCAAUUAUUACCGGGUAAUGCGAGUGGGAUAACGGGUUUAAAGUAUUAACAUAUAUAUAAUUAUUAUAAUGAUUUUGAUGAUAACAAACUUUAAGUGUUCUUGAUCAAAAGGUUGGAGUUUCUCUUUAAUAAACAUUUCAUUAAAUAGCCAUAUAACAUUCUUAAAUGUGUUCAUGAAAUAUGAAUUAUCAUGAACUUUAAACCGGAAAAGCAUCUCCUGCAAAAUGUUGAUUAAAACUUUGAUUCUGGAAACAAACAGUGAACCAUUAACUUUGAAAUGGUUAACUGAUACUUUCCAGAGAUGGUUAAUUCCUUAAACUUGAACCGGUUAACCAAAACGGACAAUGCAAGUAAGCUGGGGAGGCUACUGGAAUUAAACGGUAAACCGUUUAUAUCAAACGACUAACCGAUAAUUUCCAGAAUGUCAUUCCAUACUAAUCUUCAAUCGUUUAGCAAGAACGGUUAGCACAAAUUUGUUUUUGUAGGUCUCUAGAAAUUAACAGCAAACCGAUAAUGGCAAACGGUCAACUGUUUAUUUGAAUUUAAGGUCAAUGGUCACUUGGACCAAUCAAAACGUUAUCGGUUAAUGGUGAUCCGUUUUCGCCCAGAAAGUUAACAACAGUUAUAUUUCAGCUCCAACUAUAAAUAAACUCAAUCAAAUUCAAACAAGGACUAAUCACAACAUUUUCAUUGAGCAAAUUAUUGACCAUUAAACUUAUUUGUGCUUUAAAUUCUUGUAUACAUUUUAUUUACUCACACUUUAAAAUUUCAUUUGUAAUCAAAUAUAUUGUGUGAGAGAGAUUUAUUGUGUAAUCUUUUGAAAAUCAAAUUGAGAGGUUGUAAAGUGUUAGGAUACACUUGGGUUAAGAGAUUGGGAAUAAUCUCUUGUUGUAAUGGUUAUUGACAAUUUGGAAGUCAAUUGUAAGAGUGAUUGAAGCCUUGGAGGCUUGCUUAGUGGAAUCUUUAAGCCCAGUGAGCUUGGAGGCGUGGACAUAGGCACGGUUAGCCGAACCUUGUAAAAAGCAAGUGUUUGAUUUCUCUUCCCUUACUCUUUUAUUAUUUUGCAUGAUUAAAUUUAUUGUUUUUGUUCUUAUUAAGGCAAGAGGUUUAAAUUGUUGUGUGGUUUGUUUUGCAUAAGUUUUUAUAACUCAAUUCACCCCCCUCUUGGGUUACUUAGAUAGUAUUUCAUAAGGAAGCUCAAACAUACUGGUUCAAUCAGUGAUUAUGUCAAAGAAUUUAGUUCUUUGAUGCUUGAUAUCAAGAACAUGUCCGAUGAAGAUAAGCUUUUCAAAUUCAUGAGUGGUUUGCAACUGUCGGCGCAAACCAAACUAAGAAGGUAGGUUGUACGCGACUUGCCUAUGGCGAUUGUUGCUGCGAAAGGUUUGGUUGAUUUUAGGUUUGCGAGUUCUUCUCCCUCCGAACCUAAAAAGAAUAAAGAUUUGAGGAAAUCUGACCCUUUUAAGCAUGAUGGUAGAAAGAAAGGGGGCUUUGCGGGGAAAACCAAACCGAAAGAUGGCCAUGAGAAGAAAAGCUCGGGAUGUUUCAUAUGUGACAGACCACACCGGGUGAGGGAUUGCCCAAAGCGGACACAGCUGAAUGCUAUGGUCAAGGAGACGGAGGUAGAACCUUCAAUGACUGAGGCAAGUACUUCUCGAAUGAAUACAUUACAGUUGAUGAACACUUUGAGGAAUGAGGUUGUGUGCAAUGACUUCAAUCAAGGGUUGAUGAUCAUGACUGUUUUGGUAGAUGGGAGGGAAGUGCGUGCUAUGCUGGAUACAGAAGCCACAACUAACUUUCUUGCAUCCCACGAAGUGGCACAUUUGGGUUUGAAAAUAACAGCUGUGGGCAGCAAAGUAAUGGCUGUAAAUUCUGUGAGUGUGGGGGUUCAAGGGGCUAUGCAAAGUUCACUACGGGUAGGAAUUUGGCAGAAAACAGUAAAGUUUACUGUCAUGCCUCUUGAUGACUUCGAUUUAAUCCUUGGUAUGAAAUUCUUUAUGGCGUAAUGAUACAAUUGAUGCCCUAUUAGAAGAGCAUCUUGAUCAUGGGAAUGGAAGACGUGCUAGUAAUUUAUAUAUUAUUUUUGUAUUUUCUUAAUUUAAUUUUAUGUUAAAUUAUAUUUUAUUAUGUUAAUUUUAUUUUAAUUUUUAUAUUUUGUUAUUUAGAUAUAAUUUGGGAUUAAAGAGGAAUUAAAUUAGAAUAUUCAGGAAGAAAUCUACUUGAAGGAAUUAAAAAGGAAAAGGAAUAAAGAGAUUUAAUAAAAAAUAAAUUAAAGAAGAUUAGCGGACACACCAUCCAUUGUACCAUUCCAAUUCUUGGUUCAUGGCAGAUCAUAACCAUCACUCCAAUUUGCGGGACAAUUUACAAAAGGCUUGAAACGGAAGGAGAACUCUUACUUGGCAGCGUUGUUGGAGAUAAAACCUUAUCAGAUUGUGGAGAUGCUUGAUAAAUACGCCCAAGUAUUGGAAUAGUUUGCGGAUGUCAUGCCGCCGGAGCUCCCUCGAGCCUGGUACUAGACCCCCUGCACAUGCUUUUUAUCGGAUAUUGCCUUCGAUAUUAGUAGAACUUCGGAAACAAUUGGAUGAGUUAUUGGAUGCGGGAUUCAUUUGACCAUUCAAAGCACCGUAUGGUGCACCAGUAUUAUUUCAGAGGAAGAACGAUAGCUCAAUGCGAAUGUGUGUGGACUACCGUGCCUUAAACAAUGACGAUAAAAAACAAGUACCAGUCCCCAACAUUGCAGAUUUGUUUGAUCGAUAGGGUAGAGCCUCUUACUUCACGAAGCUGGACUUGAGGUCAGGGUAAUGGCAAGAACGGAUUGCGGAAGGUGGUGAAGCAAAAGCAGCUUGCGUAACUCGGUAUGGAUCAUACGAGUUCUUAUUAAUGCCUUUCAAACUCACCAAUGUGCAUGCAACAUUCUGCGAUUUGAUGAACGAUGUUCUUUACGAGUACUUGGACUUCUUUGUGGUGGUGUAUCUCGAUGAUAUACUGGUGUACAACGAGUCUUUGGAAGAUCAGUUGGAUCACUUUAACCAAUGUUCUCACGAUUAUGGGAAUACAAGCUCUUUGUCAAGAAAGAAAAAUGUGAAUUUUGUCACCGGGAGAUAGUAUUCUUAGGGCUAUCAUUGAUUGGCCUGCACCUACAAAAGUGGUGGAACUUCGAUAAUUUCUUCGGUUAGCUAACUACUACCGCAAGUUCAUUAAAGGGUACUCAAACAGGUAAGUGCACUCACGGAGUUGUUAAGGAAAGAUCGAAAGUGGGAAUGGGCAGAAGCGUGCGAGCAAGCAUUCAAGAAACUCAAACAAGCAGUAGCUUUGGAACCGGUGCUUAAGCUACCUGACUUUAGCUUGCCAUUUGAGGUACAUACAGAUGCAUCAGAUAGGGCCAUUAAUGGCGUGCUUGUUCAAGAUGGCCAUCUGGUAGCGUUUGAAAGUCGAAAGCUAGAGGACACAGAACAACGGUACUCGGCAAAUGAGAAGGAAAUGACGGCAAUGGUACAUUGCCUAAAUAUAUGGAGACAUUACUUGUUAGGUAUGAUUUUUAUGUUGUUAAGGACAAUGUAGCCAAUGCUUAUUUCAAGACACAGAAGAAACUAUCACCAAAACAAGCAAGAUGGCAAUAGUUCCUUGCUGAAUAUGAUUUUGUAUAGGUACAUAGACUUUGGAAGGCAAAAUCAGGUUGCGGAUGCCCUCAGCGGCAAAACAAUUGAAACAUAUGUGGCGGCUUUAACUCAGUAGUAACGGAUUUUCUUGACAAGAUUCGGCAGCAAGCGGAAAUAGAUACUAGCUACUGCCAACUCCGCAAGAAGAUCAAGCAAGGCUUGAUGCGAAGAUAUUGGGUUGAUGAUGAUCUAAUUUAUGCACAAGGUGGAAAAUUAUAUAUUCUUUCAGGAGGGGACUUACAAAGGAUCUUAUUGCGUGAUACACAUGAUUCUCGAUGGGCUGGACAUCCAGGGGUGAAAGGAUAAUGGCGUUGCUGGAACACUCAUAUUUCUGGCCUAAAAUAGAAGACAACGUGCAUCUAUAUGUCAAAACUUACCUAGUGUAUUAACUAGAUAAGUCGGAAAAGAGGAAGCCAGAGGGACUUCUUCAACCAUUGCCAAAUCCGGAGAGACCUUUGCAGUCUCUCUAUGGAGUUUAUCUCGAGAAUGGCUAAAUCGAAUAGAUAGAAGUCGAUUUUUGUUGUGGUUGAUCGAUUUUCAAAAUAUGCGAUAUUCAUACCUGCACCUCAUGCUUGCCCAGUGGCCAAGGCAGUGGAGUUAUUUUUCAAGCACAUGGUUAAGUACUUUGGUGUUUCGGAGGACAUCAUUAGUGACUAGGAUGCUUGGUUCACGGGAAGAUUUUGGAAAGUGCUCUUCAAUUUAAUGGGGAAAGAAUUGAAGUUUUCUAAUGCCAAUCAUCCUCAAACGGAUGGACAAACAGAGAGGGUGAAUCCACUAUUAGAGGAAUACUUACUGCACUAUGUGACAGCAAGCUAAAACUAAUUGGGUAGACUUGCUAGAUGUGGCUUAAUUUUGCUGUGACAUCCAUUGCUCUUCAACAACAGGGAUGAGUCCAGUGGAGCUAAUUAUGGGACAACAACCAUUGACUCCUCAUGAAGUGGUGAAACAGCACACAUGCGGAAAAUGCUCCGCAGCUUAUCGAUUUGCACGAGACAAGCAAGAAAUGAUUAAACGGGCCAUUGAUAGCUUGGCCAAGGCGUCGCAACAAAUGAAGAAUAUGCGGAUGCUGGAAGAAGACCGCCAGAGUUCAAUGUAGGUGACAAGGUGUUACUCAAAUUAACGCCCCAAAAUUAGAAGAAAAUCAGUAGCAAAACUAUACAUCGGGGGCUGGUACCAAAAUAUGAUGGACUAUUUGAGGUGAUCAAAAGGGUGGGUCAGGCGGUGUAUCGAUUACGACUACCCAAGCAGUUGAAGAUCCAUCCUACAUUUCAUGAGGGUUUCUUUAACCUUUCAGCAAAGACUUGGCUGACAAGGGGCGCCAACAAGCUAAGCGUGCUCCACCGGUAAUUCGGAAACAAUAUGACAAGGAAGUUGAAAAAAUCCUUGAUCAUAAGCCAAUGGGGCAAAGUAAGAAGAAUCGGAGAAUGGAGUAUCUAGUUCAAUAGAAAGGAGGCAGCGAAGCGAAUGCUAGCUGGCAAAAAGAAGUAUCAUUAUGGCAAUUCUAGAAAAAGGUUAAGGCGUACUUAGACUCCUUGCCAACGAGGGCGUCGGGUUCUGCUGGUAGGGGGGUUUGUUACAGCCUUAAAACUCGAGGCACACCAGUGUUUGGCUUGCGGCCUUUUACCAAGCAUGGCUACAAGUGAAUGUGUGAGGGAAGACACGAAAGCAAGGUAAGUCUGUGCGCAAGCUGGGGCGUGACAGCAACUAAACAGGCUGAUGGAGAACACUCAAGAUAUGUGCAAGGCAGUGCACAAGUGCUCCGACGGAUAGCGCGCACUGAGGGUGAGCGCGCCAAGCAGCAUGUAGCGCACGCUAACGGACAGAGAGCAGGCGCGCGAGGGAGCGCACAACGCACUAGCAAGAGCCACACACAAGCAACAGGCUAAAGGGUUGCUGGAGCAAUCCUUAGUGGCGGCGGCCAGCCACUACAUGAGCAUUGCCUAUAAUAAGGAAUUUGUCAGGGUGGGGUUAGUCCACCACUGUUCAAAAUAUCCUAAUUAAUAGUGUUUGGGCAAAGCAAUAGGGUAUUGAGCUUAUUUGUUUAGUGCGUUGGUGGCAAACAAAGUAUGGCGUAGGAAUACAUUAUACUAUCCUUGUAAGUGGGGGUGUCACAUACAAAUGCUAUAAAUAGCAUUAGGAUGGUGAGCUUAGGGAAGCCAAGUUUUGUAGAGAAUGAGUGGCCUUCUCCAAGCUCACUAAGCUUGAAGCUAUUUGUCAUUCUUUGUUCUUGAUAAUAAUAAAAUGUUGGAACUUGGUGCUUCUGUAAACAUUGUGUGUCUUGUGUCCUCUUCGUGUAUUGGAUCGUCGAAAAUCUUGGGGUGUGUCUAUCACACAUAGUCACCACUGUAAAUUGUCAAGUGGUUGGCUAAGCGGAAAACUUAGCGCCAUCAUAGGCUUGCCGCAUAGAAGAAAAUAGCCUUGUGACAUAAAGCUUAGUUAACACAAGUACUAUCUGCUUAUCGUACGUUUGGUGUGGGAUACUCUACCAUACCCCUAAUUACAAAAAUUUACAUGAAAAUUCGUGGGGCCUUCCUGUAUAUCAACUUUCUUGAAUGAUUUGUAAUCAUUCUUUCUCAUAUUUAAGUGCAGAUUUAGUUUUAUUUUAUAUUAGUUUUUUAAAAUUAUAUAUAACUCACAAAACCUUCAUAAGUUUCCCUUUAUACUUCGACUUUUUUCUUUUGUUGCGUCACCAAUAUCCAUGCUUUCAUAUUUGCAAAGUACAUUGCUGAAAAUUAUUGUUCAAGACAUCAAAGAUUUGCAACUCAGUGAAAAAAUAAUCAGCCUUAAAAUAACUGUAAUUUAUUCGAGUGUAGAACAAAAAACUGAAGCUCCUGAAGAUUUCCCAGCCAACGCGUAAAUUAAUAUAUCCUCUAUCUUGUUGUUGCCGAGAUCAACAACUUGAAGAUUGCACAAUUGAGCAAAGAUCUUGGGACUGACCCUACAAGUUCAUUGCCAUUGAAGUUAAGGGUCCUCAAAUUAUUGCAAUUUGAUUAUUUCAGGAAUUGGCCAUGGAAUCUAUUCUUCCUUAAAUCCAACGCACACAGAGUAUUGCUAAAGUUUCUAAUUAAUGCAUUCUGGAAUGGUGCCACUCAAGCUGUUGCUGGGCAGAUCACGAACUUAAAUAGUACUUGAGUUACAGAUCACACAAGGUAUCUUUCUAGUGAACCUAUUUCUUGAUAUCAGAAAGACUUUCAUAUUAGAUGAUGGAGCUGGAAACGAUCCUUGAAGCAAGUUGGAAUGAAAGUCAAGAUAUUCAAGAUUCUUCCACAGAAGUUUCUUCGUGCCUGUAAAGAAAUAUUCUGAUUCAUCAAAUAUCUAAGAGGCUUUCUUUAUUAAACUGCCUUGGGGAUUGAGGUAUGUAAUUUUCAAUAUAUUUGUGCCAGCAUUCAGCAGUUGUAUGCCCUGAUUUGAAGCAAAUUUGAGAGAUAGGCACGAAUUUAUCACCAUUUGAAGCUUGUGGUUCAAUAACAGACAUAUUGCCACUGCUAAUAAGAUUUUCGCCAAAUGAAGUCUUUCCAAACUGAGCAGACUUAUUACUUCCCAUCAUAUGACCUCUUCCAGAAUUACCAAAAAUACCAGUACUAGGGGGAAAACCUCUUAGAUAAGUACUAAAAAACAUGAUUUGCCAUUUUUUUUUUACAACAAGGCUUAGCCAAGCUAAGAAAUAACAGAUCGGGAAAUUCUCAUCCCGUACAUAUCAUAAGAAAGUUAAGGACCAAUUCCUGUUGGAGGUUCCUAAAAAACAUGAAAUUCAAAAGGCAAAGAUCCUGCAUUCCUAACUAAAAAAUCAGUUGCAAAGUUGGCUUCGUGAUAGAUAUGUUGAAAGGAUACAUGCCAAUCCUUCGUGAGAAGAUUCUUGAUCGAAUUUAUCAAAUAGGUGUGCACAUUCGAGCUCUGACCUCUAGGCUCCAUCAUAUGCAGUAUGCAAAGGCUAUCAACCUUUGCCUCUAAAAAUCGAAUACCGUAAUUCCACGCAAGGUUAAAAUCUUUGUAUAGCCCCUAAAUUUCUGCCAUACUAAUGGGACAAGAUCCAAUAUUCAUCACGAAGCCCCGAAUCCAAUUUCCAUUUGCAUCACGAAUUAAGCCACAUGCACUAGCUUUUCCAUUAAUUUCUCUUGAUCAGUCAGUAUUUAAUCAGAAAUAAGGUCAUCUAAGGGCUAUUCAGCCAAUACCAACUGACACCUUGCAAUGUCUCUGUUGCAUAUUAGCCUUAAAAGUCUAUUGUAUCUCAUGCACCCAUGCUCUGAUAUCUGACACCACACGAAGGCUGCAUGGGGAAUUGUUGGCAAAAAGAAACUAAUUCCGACAGUGCCAAAUUUUCUAUACAGUGAUCUAAAAAGCCAAGGACCAGCUAUCUCCCAUCUCCACACUCUCCCACAUAGAAAUGUUGUUAAAGAGCCAUUCUUUAAAGUAGCAAAGAAGAAAGCAUAUGUACUAGUAAUAGGAAGCCAGGAAAUCUAUACCUGUUUGGCCAAAAUGCAGUCACGGAGUGUGUGCAAAAUAGUCUCUGUGUCAGCUCUACAGAUAUCACAAAUGGAAUUACUAUAAAUGUGCCUUCUAAAACGUUCCUCCUUUGUCUUGAUUUUUUCAUGCAUUAAAAGCCAAAGAAAUACCCUUACUCGGUGUGGGCCUUUCCAACUCCAGAUGAGCUACCAAUCCUUUUUAUCCCCACAAAAGACUUGGUUACUGAUAGAUUCAGAGGCUGAUUUUGUAGUAAAAUUGCCAUUACAUGAAAAACUCCAAAAUGAUUGGUCUUCACCCUCCAAGCUAGAUGGGAGUUUAACCACCGCAAGUUGGAGGAUAUGUUUAUUAGAUAAAAGGUAGCCAAAAACAUCCUAUCAUAAUGACCCGUCUAGGUUAACCAUACCAGCCACACACAUGUUUGCCAUCCCUAAAGGAAUCUGUUGUACGUGAGAUCCAAUAUUACAAACCUCAAACACUCAAUUAUCAUUCCAGAAACUAACACUUUUCUUGUUCCUUAUAGCUCAUUUAAUGCCCUUCACAACAUGAGGCCAAACGUUACAAACUAACUGCUCUCCACAAAUGGGAACCGUGUCCAAAGUAUAGAUUAGUUGAAACGUUACAAACUCUGAUCUAUAACCUUUGGGGUGAAGCAACUAUAUUCCAACUAAUUUUCAUUAAUAGGGUAGUGUUCAUGUGCAAGAGAUUUUUCAAGCUAAGGCCCCCCAGAUUUUUCAACUGGCAAACUGUUUACCAAUUAAUCAGGCUCGUCUUACGCUCAUUGGCAACACCACUCCAAAUAAAUCUUCGACAAAUUUUGUUAACCCUUGCACCGAACACCCUCGAGGAGUCAAGUAGUUUGCAUAGCAUAGGUGUGUUAAGGAAGCUCAUACUUGUAAUGUGGUCAGCAGAGCAGAGGAUCACAGUAGCAGCAACAACAGAGCAGAGCAGAGGAUCGCGACAGCAGCAACUUUUAGUUACAAAUUGAUGACAUGGCUUUCCGGUUGGCACCUAGUAGUUAUGUAAUCGGUUGUGCGUGUAUUAACUAGAAGUAGUUAAUUAGUUAUAGUUAGUUACAACAAUUUGAGCUGAGCUUCAGCUUUGUAUAUAAAGAAACCUCUUGUACAUAUCAGUGUGUGGUUAAUAAAAAUGAUGUUAUAGAGAAUUCUCAGAUCCAACUCUUAUUUUCUUUCAAUUGUCUCACUAGUUUCUCAGCUGCCAAACAAUAUUUUCAUUUUUUAACUUGGUAUCAGAGCUAAUUGCAAUGGCCUCAGUACAUUUAGCUUCUUCUUCUCAAGCGGCAGUCAAUCAAACAGCUGUUAACUCAACAAAUAUGACAUUUACUUUCAAUGCUCCGAUUAAGCUAGAUCAAUCCAAUUAUUUGAUCUAACGAUCUUCAGUUCUUGCCUCGAUACGUGACAAUAGACUUGAGAAUUCAUUGAUGAUUCCAUCACUUCACCUCCUUCACACAUUGCUCAAAGGAUUAGUGAUGAUCUAAGAUCAGUGGAGAAUCCAGACUUUGUGACUUAGAGAUGAUAAGAUCAAGUGCUUCUUGGCUGGCUGUUCUCUUCAAUGAGUGAAGGUAUUAUUAGUCUGGUGUUCGAUCUAGAGACUUCUCGUGAGAUAUGGAAAGCUAUUGAAGUUUAGUUUGGAACACAAUCUAAAUCCAGGCUUUUGCAUUUAAGAUAUAUGAUGAACUCGACUAGGAAAGAUAAUCUGAAAAUUACUAAUUACUUUAUUAGGAUGAAAAACAUAGUUGAUAAUAUGGCUGCAGCAGGGAAUGCUUUAAGUUAUAAUGAUUUAAUCCUGCAUAUACUCGAUGGCUUAAGUCUAGAAUAUAGUUUUGUUGCUACCUACAUCACUAGACAAGUAGGUGUGGGAAAGAUGAAUGUGAAUGAAUCUUAUGCUAUGCUCUUAACAUAAGAAGCUAGGAUUGAACAGCAAACUCAUAUGUUAGAUUGGGUGUUCAGAACCAAGUACAACACAGAUAGCUCAGUCUUUAAAUAUAAAGCUAGAUUGAUAACACAAGAGUGUUUGAAAUAUUUGGUAUUCAAGUUAUACUAAGUGCAGUUCAAGUUCUUACAUUAAUCAAGUGACAGAAUUUCUGUGCAGAAGGAGCAUCUUUGGGAAUUAAAUUGUACUGCACGAGAUCGAAAUAAUUUUCGAGCCAUACAUCAUUGGAAAGAUAUUUCUGUCAGCUUUCCAAUGAAUUUUACUAAUUUAAAUUUGGAGCUUUCUACAGUAAGUUAUGAUCAGUUAAGUGCAGGCUGUUCAGUUUCGAGUUAAGAAGAAUAUUUCUGGACUUGGACUUUUUUUUAAUGCUCUUUGCUGUGUUUUAAGCAUACCAAUGAUUUAUCUAGCUUUAAUGUUGGUCUUUGAAGUCAAGUCAUUUGAAGGGUUUCUUUGUAGUAUAUCUAUGCUUGGAGGAUUUUUCCAAGAAAGUUAUUGAAGCUUAUGUAGUUGUAACCAAAAGAUAGAGAUUAAUUUUGGAAAUUGAAUGAACUUUGAGCUAUUAUCAAACUUUGUAUCUCUUUGGUGGAUUCCAUUGAGUAGUGAGUGUUUUAAGCUCUGUAUCCUUUUGUUGUUUGCUGUGGUGGUGAGCUUGUGAUUUUUUGGGUGUGUGACGUUGUGCUUUCUCAUCUAUUGUGUCCGGUGUCAAUUGGUGGCCAAGGAAUUUCAUCAAACUGCAGGUAUUGAUUAUUCAGAAACCUUUAGUCCUGUAGUAAAGCCCUCGACAGUGAGAGUAACUCUAAGUCUGGUUGUCAUGAAAGGUUAGAAGGUUAGACAAAUUGAUGUCAAUAAUGCUUUUUUAAAUAGGGAUUUAUUAGAGGAUGUGUAUAUGACUCAGCCUGAGGGUUUUGUAUCCAAAGAAGGCUACAUAUGCAAGCUUAAUAAUGCAUUAUAUGGAUUGAAACAAGCUCCAAGAGCAUGGUAUGAUAAAGUGAAAUGUUAUCUUACCACUUGGCAAUUCUUUAAUUCUAAAGCUGACACUUCUUUAUUCUUCAAAUAUGAUAUUAAAGGCAUGAUCAUUGUGUUAAUUUAUGUUGAUGACAAUUUGGUUAUUGGUACUUACUCAACAUUACUUAAAGAUUUUAUUACUAAACUCAGUAAGGUCUUUGCUUUCAAGGAUCUGGGAUUAGUGGCCUAUUUUAUGGGUUUGCAAGUUUGUUACAUAACUCAUGGUAUGCAUUUCUCACAGACGAAGUACAUUAAGAAUCUGUUGAGUAAAGCCUCAAUGCAGGAUUGCAAGGGUUCUGAUACAUCUCUCAGUACUGGUUUCAAACUGGAGAAAAAUGGUGAAGGACCUUUGGGGCAAGAAUUUGAAGAAGCAGCACUCUAUGGAAGCAUUGUUGGGGGUCUUUAGUACUUGAUUCUCACCAGACCUAACAUUACUUUCUCUGUACAUAAACUUAAUCAGUAUCUUAAUAAUCCUACACUUUAUCACUGGUUGCAAUACAAAAAAGUUCUCAGGUAUCUUCAAGUUACAACCACCCAUGGUCUAUAUCUUCAAAAUGAGGGAACACUUGAAUCUGUUGGUUUAAUAGGCUACUCUUAUGCUGAUUGGGCGUGUGAUGUUGAUGAUCGAAAAUCAAUUAGAGCUUAUUAUAUCUACCUCGAUAAUAAUUUGAUUUCUUUGAUGGUUAUCGAAGCCAGCAAAAAUAAAUAUCUACUUUAAAUAAAUUAUGUAUAGUGAUUGAGCAGGGCCGUGUCCACAGAGAUCGGUAAUUAUUUAAAUCCUUUUAAAAUGUAAAAUGCAAAAUGGGGGAAUUGUUGACAAUAAUAAAAAUCAAAUUAAAGUAACAAUAAUGCAAAUUAAAAUUGUAAUUCAAAUUGGGGAAAGCUCUGGUUGAAGGAAUUAACUCAGCUUGAUUAGACUACUGAUCAUUGAUUCAAAUAUAAAUCAUUACUACUUAUGAAUAGACCGGUUAUAGCUACUGAGACCAUCUAAUAGCCAAUCUCUCCUUAACUAGUUGAUAACCAAGGUACGACCGUUGAUUAUUUCCUUAGUCAAUAGAGAACCCUAGAUACGAUCAUAGGAUUUAAUCAAUUGACAGCCUGAAAAAUCAAAGAGACCCAAAUCCUAAUCAACAAACGCAUACGAUCGUUCAUUUAAAUUAAAUUGUUUAUUCUCAUAACACAACGCACUGCUAUGCUAUUUGUCACAAACAUUAAAAUCUUCAUACGAUGAAUCUUUUAAUUGACAAUAGAUUAAGUUGAUAAUUAAAUAGUGGCCAAUUAUCUAAUUAACAAACAUAAUCAUGACAAUAAUUCAGAGAAUAAACAGAUACCCAAAAAGUAAUAAAACAAUUAAAACAUAAGAAAGAUCUCACAGUAGUGAUGAAUCAAAGCUUCAUUAACCUUCAACCAGAAUAAUAGGUUUAGUUCUUCAUAGAGAGAAGAGAAAAAUUUAGAUUUAGGGUUUCUUUCUUUUAAAAAAUCUCCCUUUUGUUUCACAAUAGAUUCUUCCCUUAAAUACUCUCUCUCUCUUCUCCUCUAGAGUUCUUUUUAAAAUAAAAUACUAAUAUCUAAAAUAUUAAAUUCGUAAUUACAAAAAUAACCAAAAAGACAAAACACGUUAAACUUAAAACUGCAGGUCCGUAGUUGCCAGCACGCACUCACGCCUUAUCAACAAAGUUCUUCUAACGCUCAUAAUUUCUCCAGGAAAACAAUCAUCCUCAAACAUCAUCUUAUAGCUCAAUUUUAGCACCAAUCAAUAGAAUUGCACCUACAAAAAUAAAACACAAGUAAAUCACUAUUAUUAAGUGCAAAACAUCGAUAUUAAGGGAAGUAAAUAAUGCAAAACUAGUGCAUAAAUUGCACUCUAACAAAUUUCCCCACACCAAGAUAAUGCUUGUCCUCAAGCAUAUAACUCAAGACUAAUCCCAAAUCUCCACUCAAUUCUCAUCUCAACUCAUCCAAAAACAAUUUUAAGCAAGCAUGCCUCAAGAAUUUAAGUCGAUCAACAUUCGAGAGAUAAGGAUUUUAAAGCAUGGAAUCUCUAAGCUAGAAUAAAAAUAUUCAACCACCAAGAAGAUCCAUUCAAAAUUCAAGUGCAACAAGAUUUAAUAGCCCUCUCAUUGACUUCACUCCAUGCACUCAAAGUGUUUAGGGUGUCAUUUAUGCACUCAAAUCAAAUCAAAGAAUGUUAUUACUAUAAGCUUGCUUAUAUAUCACAUCUCAAUCGACAAAACAUGAAUUAAAUGCAAAAAUCUAAGGGUCUUAAAAAGGUUGUAACGGUGUUAAAUGAGUUAAAUGAAAAAGAAAGGUCUAUGAAAGAAAAAGAGAUCAAAAUGAGAAAAAUGAACUCAUUGAAUGAACCUUAUGAUAUCAAAACGUUUAUUUCUACUCAAGUCGCCAAGAAUGUAAAUAAUUUUUUUUAUUAUUUUUUUUUUCACUUUUUUUUCUCGAUUUUUUUUUGUUUUGUUUUUUUUUUUGAAUCAAACAAAAGAAAUGAACCUUGCACAAUUUAAUUCAAGCAUAAUGCUUGUUGAUCUAAUUGAGAACCUUUAAUUCAAGGUAGCAAGAGCAACAAAAUAUAUCCAAACAAUGAGUCCAAAAAUCUCCUUAAAUUGAGGCUCAAAAAGAAGAAAAAUGGGUAAAUAGAUGGAGAGAAUUAGAUGGGUAAUGGUUAAGGAUCAAACAAAGAUAACAAAUAAAGGUCUUCGGGUGGAGAAAAAAGAAGAAAAAUACGAAAAUAGAAAAAUGGAAAGUGGUUUGCCCUUAUCAUUUUAAUGCAUAAAAUCCAGUAAUGCGGCUUCAACAUGCAUAACAAAGCAAGUUCUAGAAUAAACAAACUAAGAUUGAUAUUCACAUAACAAAAAUAAUUAUAGCAAAGUGGUUGCUCAUAGGCUUAAAUCCGCACAAAGUUGGUAAAUUUGCCAUCAAAUCAUGUAUACUCUUCAAAUGAAUCAAUCAUCAAUAGUGGUGUAAAAUGAGAAGAAGGUAUGAGUGAUAUAUAAAAGGAAAGGUAAAAAGGAUAAUAAGCUAGAAAGAUGUAUGUAGUAAUAAAAAAAAUGAAAGAUAAAAUGUGAGUGAUGAAAGAAUAUGAUAAAAUAAAAAUAGAUGUGAAUAAUUUGAGAUAGAUGGGAAAAGAAUAGUGAGAAAGAAAUGAAAAGAAAAAUAAUAAUAUAUGAAGCAUACUAACUCCAAAAUCAUUUAAGGAUGAGUAGAGUGAAAAUAAUACUUCCAAACAUCAAUAUUGCAAAAAUCUCUCUCCCACACCAAGAACUUACAUUGUCCCCAAUGUAAGAUAAUCAAAGCUCACAUAAACAUUAAAGCGUAAAGAUAAAAGAUUAAAGGUAAAAACUUCCAUGAAUUGUGAGUUUUGAUCCACAUAUCGUCUAUGGGUUUAGCGGCAAUGGUGGGAUAAAUCCCACACUCUCGAAGUAUGCGGCCAAAUUCUUCUCCAUCUUGUUCAGUUUGCGCUCUAUUUUCUCUAACUGAAUGCUCAAAGGUGGUGCAGAUGUAGAAGGAAUAAUUGGUGGGGCAGGAGUUUCAUCGUCAAACUCGUCAUCAGAGGUAGCAACACUCCUAGCAUAAAGCUUCUUUGGAGGUUGAGUGGGUCCUGGUUCAGUAAACUAAAAUCUCCCCUUCUUGAAUUCGACCACACCUGUUCUUUCAAACACAUACAUAUCCAAAAAUUCCUUUUUGCAAGCAGGAUGCAAAUCAUUAUUGUCAGGAUCAAGCACACAUAAGUUUAAAGCUAACAGAGUAAUGUACGGACCAAGAAAUAAAGUCUUAUACCGUUUAAGCACACUUUGAAAUUGAUCUGCUAACCAAAAACCUAAAUUAGGUCUCACAUCAUUUAACAUGCAUCAGAUAAAGUAAAACUCAGUUUUAGAGAAAACUCCCGAAUGAUCGUUCUUUCCUAAAAAAUUAUAUGCUAAGAACCGAUGCACACAUUUCAAAACAGGAUCACGAGAGAAAGAACUAUUUGAUUUACUCGGGUCAUAGGCAUUGUGAUCAAUAGAUAAAUUACGCCAAAGACCAUAAGGCUCAAAAUUUUCGCUAAAGUGACAAGUUGUUCCUAAAUAUGCAUCACUAGAAGAAUAAUCAUCAUCAAUUAAUGAAUCUUAAAGCUAGGUUAAAAUCUGUGAUAGAUUGUGAAAAAUUUCGUCCCAUUAACCUAAACUUUAUAACAUCCGGAGUAUGCAAAGUAAAAUCAUUCGGUAUAUUAAAUUGAAAAGUAGCAUAGAACUCUCUAAUCAACUCAACAUAACCCAAACAUUCAACAUCAACAAACUUACGCAAACCAAUCAUAUUUAUCAAAGAAUCAAAAUUAUCCUUAACAUUCAAUUUUUCAAGAGUCGGGUAAUGAAUAUACUUAGCUGGAAGUAUUUUUCACUUGGAAAUAUCUUUGUACCUUUCUUUCUCUUAUUGAGUCGUGAAUGUGAGGCACCCUCCGAGAUUGGAUUCCGCAAGUGGCAAAACACUCAUGCCCUUUCCAUGUUUCAAUCUUUGUCUCACGACUUGGCGUGAAUCUGAAAUUGUGUUCCAUGGAACUGUAGUGGGAGCAGCAAUCUUAGAUUGCUUUGCGACGUGUGUCUUUUUAGAUGACUUGGAAGUUAAUGCUUUCCUAUUCGGCAUUGUUACAAUAAUUUCACUCACGGAUUUCGAUUCAUGCAGCGGGAAUGCAUAGCGUGGGCUGGUUUUAGACGAUUGCUACUCGGCUGGAGCUUGCUGGUACACGGCUGCUGGUUCAGGUUGCGCGCGGAUGGUGCUCGAUGGACUGGUUGCGCGCGCGGGACUGCUUGUGUGAUUGCACGCUGGAGACGAGGGCUCAGGUUGUGGGAGUGUUGCUCGAUGCUGGUUGCUUACAACUGCUGGUGAGCGCGGCCGUUGGAAGCAAACUGUGUGCGCGCACGGCUGGUGUGCGAUGGUCGCAAGAUGCUUGCACUGACGGGAGAUGUUUGCGCAGCUGAAAAAGGCUGGUGCUGCGGCUGGAGCUUGCUGGAGAAUGAAAUAAAUUUUUUUUUGUGAAUUAGGGAUUUUGUGAACAUUGAAAUUUUUUUUUUGUUUUUUAUUUUUUUCAAAUAAAAAAAAAACCUCUUCUUUUAUUUAUUUUUUAAAUAAUAAUAAUAAAUAAAAUAAUAAUAAUUUUUUUUUCUGUUGAACAACGUUUAGAUAAACUUACUUUUCUUGUGGAAAAGUUUAUUGUAGGUAAUGUGCAACAUAUGAAGACUUGUGGCAUUUGUUACAAUAUGGGUCAUUCAACUGAUACGUGUCCUACACUUCAAGAAGAACCCGUUGAACAAGCCAAUGCAGUUGGAGGAUUUCCAGGCAUGCCUCAGAGGAGAUAUGAUCCUUAUACACUAACAUAUAAUCCGGGAUGGAAGGAUCAUCUCAACUUCAGCUGUGGAGUUAGGCCGUCAGGAUUCCCACAACAAUAUUCACCAAGACAACCAGCACCUCCACAGUCAAACUCCAAGUUAGGUAUAUCUCUUGAAGAAAUUAUUAAAUCACUUGCGACUAACACUCAACAAUUUCAGCAGGCAACUACAAUAAGCAUUUAGAAUUUGGAGAGCCAAAUGAGUCAAUUGUCGACUACAGUGAGUCGUCUGGAGUCUCAAGUAUUAGGGAGAUUACCUUCACAAUCUGAGGUGAAUCCAAAGAAAAAUGUUAGUGCUGUCAUCCUUAGAAGUGGGAAGGAAUUGCAAGAGCCUAAUAAGAAAGUGACAAAGCAUGUAGAAGAUGAGCUUGAGAAACAUGAAUUGAUGCCUAAAUCUCAAGAUGUGCAACCCACCAGAGUGAAACCCCUACCUGUGGUGAUACCUCCUCAUUUUCCAAGCCGAUUUGCAAAAUACAAGAAGGAAAAACAAGAGAAUGAUAUCCUUGAGACAUUUCGCAAGGUUGAGGUAAAUAUUCCUUUAUUAGAUGCUAUAAAACAAAUACCUCGAUAUGCUAAAGUCCUUAAAGAACUGUGCACCUCCAAGAGAAAAUUAAGAGGAGAUGAAAAAGUUCACAUGGGGGAGAAUGUUUUAGAAGUUCUCCAAAAGAAACUACCUCAUAAAUGCAAGGAUCCAAGUAUGUUUACUAUCCCUUGUAAAAUUGGUAGUGUUAGAGUUGAAAAGGUUAUGUUAGAUCUAGGAGCUUCUAUUAAUGUCAUGUCUCGUUCCAUUUAUUCAUCUUUGAAUGUUGGUCGAUUAAAAGAAACUGGCGUGAUAAUUCAACUAGCUGAUAGGUCUAAUGCAUAUUCUGAUGGGGUAUUAGAAGAUGUCUUAGUACAAGUUAAUGAGUUGAUUUUUCCUGCUGAUUUUUAUAUACUUGAUAUAAAAGAGGAUAACUCCUCUAAUUCGGUCUCAAUUUUGCUAGGAAGACCUUUUCUUAAAACUGCUAGGACUAAAAUGGAUGUAUAUAAAGGGAUUCUCACUAUGGAGUUUAAUGGAGAGGUUAUAAAAUUUAAUAUGAAUGAUGCCAUGAAAUAUCCUAGUGAGGAACAUUCGGUAUUUUCUGUGGAUGUUAUUAACCCUAUAGUGCAGGAAGUUUUUUACAAGGAAAAGAUGAAGACAUUUCAUGACAGAAUGAUUUUGAGAAAGGAAUUCUCUGUUGGUCAAAAAGUUCUUCUUUUUCAUUCUAAGCUUAAACUUUUUCCGGGUAAAUUACGUUCUUACUGGGUUGGACCUUUUAUUGUUACUAAUGUUUUUCCUCAUGGUGCAGUUGAGCUUCGGAGUCCGACCUCUGACAAAGUUUUUAAGGUUAAUGGUCAUCGCUUAAAAUCAUUUUAUGAAGGUUUUUCAGUGAAUAUUGUGGAGGAUGUGGCUCUCGAGAGUCCCAUUUAUGGAGAUUGAUGCAUGAAUAUGUCCAGCCAAAGACAUAAAACAAAGGCGCUUUUUGGGAGGCAACCAAAGAGACUUAUUUAUUUUUAUUUUUGUUAUCUUUUCUUUUUAAUUUUGAUUCAGAUUGUUUAAAUAAUGUUUUUGCUUAUUUUGGCCAGAAGAAAAGUUUUGGUAAGGCGUGCCCACGUUUUAACUAAUAAGUACUUCUGUGAUUUUAAAGUAAAAUGAUUUUAAGGCGUGCCCACGUGCUUAUUAAAAAAAUACUUUUGAAAUUUUUAGUGUCUCAAGUGAUUCAUCACUAAAAAAAAAGUUUUUUAUUUUAUUUACUUAUUAUUAUUAUUUUUUAAAAAAAUUAAAAAAAACAAAAGCAAAAAAUGAAAAAGGUUUUUUUUCUUUUCUUUUUUUAUUUAUUAGAAAAAAAAUAAUAAUAAAAAUAAAAAACAAAAAAAAAUUCACUGCUCAUAAAAUUCCUAAUUCAUUAGAAUUUGUUUUCUUCUCCAGCCGCUUGCAGCACACCAGCAGCAAACCAACCCGCGUGAACUAGCAAGCAUCUCCCGCAACAACCAGUCGCACGCGCGCGCAGCACCAGCAUCGAGCACCAUCCGCGCGCAACUCCAUGCCGUAAUCAGCCGUGCAGUAUCUCGCGUGCAAACAGCCUGCGCGCAGUUUCAUCCACAACUAUCAAGCACCAGCGCGCGCGCAAGUAUCUCGCGAGCAGCAGCCCGUGCAAGCAACCAACGUCAGCCCAGCAGCGCGCAUUCAAAAUUAGUCCCGCGCGCAACCAGUUCCAACCGGCGCAGCACAACCAUCCGCGAGCAACCUAAACCAGCAGCCGUGUACCUACAAGCUCCAGCCGAGCAGCAAUCGUUUGCAACCAGCCCACACCCUGCAUUCCAGCCGCGUGAAUUGAAAUCCGUGAGUGAAAUUAUUAUAACAAUGCCGAAGAGGAAAGCAUCAACUUCCAAGUCAUCUAAAAAGACACUUGUCGCAAAGAAAUCCAAGAUUGUCGCUCCCACUACGGUUCCAUAGAACACAUUUUCAAAUUCAUGCCAAGCUGUGAGCUAAAGAUUGGAAAAUGGAAAAGGCAUGAGUGUUUUGCCACUUGCGGAAUCCAAUUUCGGAGGGUGCCUCACAUUCAUGACUCAACAAGAGAAAGAAAGGUACAAAGAUAUUUCCAAGCGGAAAAUACUUCCAGCUAAGUAUAUUCAUUACCUGACUCUUGAAAAAUUGAAUGUUAAGGAUAAUUUUGAUUCUUUGAUAGAUAAGAUUGGUUUGCGUAAGUUUGUUGAUGUUGAUUGUUUGGGUUAUGUUGAGUUGAUUAGGGAGUUCUAUGCUAUUUUCAAUUUAAUAUACCGAAUGAUUUUACUUUGCAUAUUUCGGAUGUUAUAAAGUUUAGGUUAAUGGGAUGAAAUUUUUCACAAUCUAUCACAAAUUUUAACCUAGCUUUAGAAUUCAUUGAUGAUGAUUAUUCGUCUAGUGAUGCAUAUUUAGGAACAACUUGUGACUUUAGCGAAAAUUUUAAGCCUUAUGAUCUUUCGCGUAAUUUAUCUGUUGAUCAUAAUGCCUAUGACCCGAGUAAAACAAAGAGUUCUUUCUUAAGUGAUCCUAUUUUGAAAUGCGUGCAUCGGUUCUCAGCGUAUAAUUUUUUAGGGAAGAAAGAUCACUCGGGAGUUUUCCCUAAAACUGAGUUUUAUUUUAUCUGAUGCAUGUUAAAUGAUGUGAGACCUACUAUAAGUUUUUGGUUAGCAGAUCAAUUUCAGAGUGUGCGUAAACGAUAUAGGACUUUAUUUCUUGGUCCAUACAUUACUCUGUUAGCUAUAAACUUAUGUGUGCUUGAUCCUGACAAUAAUGAUUUGCAUCCUGCUUGCAAAAAAGAAUUUUUGGAUAUGUCUGUGUUUGAAAGAACAGGUGUGAUUGAAUUCAAUGAGAGGAGAUUUCAGUUUACUGAACCAGGACCCACUCAACCUCCAAAGAAGCUUUAUGCUAGGAGUGGUACUACCUCUGACGACGAGUCUGACGACAAAAUUGUUGCCCUACCAAUUAUUCCUUCUACAUCCGCACCACCUUUGAGCAUUCAGUUAGAGAAAAUAGAGCACAAGCUGAACAAGAUGGAGCAGAAUUUGGCCGCAUACUUUGAGAGUGUGGGAUUUAUCCCACCAUUUUUGCCAAGCCCAUAGACGUUAUGUGGAUCAAAGCUCACAAUUCAGGGAAGUUUUUGCCUUUAAUCUUUUAUCCGUACGCUUUAAUUUUUAUGUGAGCUUUGAUUAUCUUACAUUGGGGACAAUGUAAGUUCUUGGUGUGGGGGAGGGAUUUUUGUAAUAUUGAUGUCUGGAAGUAUUAUUUUCACUCUGCUCAUCCUUAAAUGAUUUUGGAGUUAGUAUGCUUCAUAUAUUAUUAUUUUCUUUUCUUUUCUUUCUCACUACUCUUUUCCCAUCUAUCUCAAAUUAUUCAUAUCUAUUUUUAUUUUACCAUAUUCUUUCAUCACUCACAUUUUAUCUUUCAUUUUUUUCUUUUACUACAUACAUCUUUUUCGCUUAUUAUCCUUUUUACAUUUCCUUUUAUAUAUCACUCAUACCUUCUUCUCAUUCUACACCACUAUUGAUUGUUGAUUCAUUUGAAGAGUGUAUAUGAUUUGAUGGCAAAUUUACCAACUUUAUAAGGAUUUGAGCCUAUGAGCAUCCACUUUGCUCUAAUUAUUUUUGUUAUGUGAAUAUCAAUCUUAGUUUGUUUAUUCUAGAACUUGCUUUGUUAUGCAUGUUGAAGCCGCAUUACGGGAUUUUAUGCAUUAAAAUGAUAAGGGCAAACCACUUUCCAUUUUUCUAUUUUCGCAUUUUUCUUCUUUUUCUUCACCCGAAGACCUUUAUUUGUUAUCUUUAUUUGAGCCUUAACCAUUACCCAUCUAAUUCUCUCCAUCUACUUACCCAUUUUCAUUCUUUUUGAGCCUCAAUUUAAGGAGAUUUUCGGACUCAUUGUUUGGAUAUAUUUUGUAUAUAUUUUGUUGCUCUUGCUACCUUGAAUUAAAGUUUCUCAAUUAGAUCAACAAGCAUUAUGCUUGAAUUAAAUUGUGCAAGGUUCAUUUCUUUUGUUUGAUUAAAAAAAAAUUGAGAAAAAAAAGAAAAGAGAAAAAAAAUGUUUACAUUCUUGGCGACUUGAGUAGAAAUAAGCGUUUUGAUAUCAUAGGGUUCAUUCAAUGAGUUUAUUCUUCUCAUUUUGAUCUCUUUUUCUUUCAUAGACCUUUCUUUUUCAUUUAACCCAUUUAACCUCAUUACAACCUUUUUAAGACCCUUAGAGUUUUGCAUUUAAUUCAUGUUUUGUGGAUUGAGAUGUGAUAUAUGAGCAAGCUUAUGGUAAUAGCAUUCUUUGAUUUGAUUUGGGUGCAUAAAUGAUACCCUAAAUAGUUUGAGUGCAUGGAGUGAAGUCAAUGAGAGGGCUAUUAAAUCUUAUUGCACUUGAAUUUUGAAUGGAUCUUCUUGGUGGUUGAAUGUUUUUAUUCUAUCUUAUGAGAUCCUAUGCUUUAAAAUCCUUGUCUCUCGAAUGUUGAUCAACUUAAAUUCUUGAGGUAUGCUUGCUUAAGAUUGUUUUGGGAUGAGUUGAGAUGAGAAUUGAGUGGAGAUUUGGGAUUAGCCUUGAGUUAUAUGCUUGAGGACAAGCAUUAUCUUGGUGUGGGGGAAUUUGUUAGAGUGCAAUUUAUGCACUAGUUUUGCAUUGUUUACUUCCCUUAAUAUCGAUGUUUUGCACUUAAUAAUAAUAAUUUACUUGUGUUUUAUUUUUGUAGGUGCAAUUCUAUUGAUUGAUGCUAAAAUUGAGUUACAAGAUGAUGUUUGAGGAUGAUUGUUUUCUUGGAGAAAUUUUAAGCGUCAGAAGAACUUUAUUGAUAAGGCGUGGGCGAGUGCUGUCAACUGCAGACCUGCAGUUUUUAGUUUAACGUGUUUUGUAUUUUUGUAAUUACGAAUUUAAUAUUUCAGAUAUUAGUAUUUUAUUUUAAAAAGAACUCUAGAAGAGAAGAGAGAGAGAGUAUUUAAAGGAGGAAUCUAUUGUGAAAAAAGGAGACUUUUUAUAAAAGCAAAAAAUCCUAAAUCUAAAUUUUUCUCUUCUCUCUAUGAAGAACUAAACCUGUUAUUCUGGUUGAAGGUUAAUGAAGCUUUGAUUCAUCACUACUGUGAGAUCUUUCUUAUGCUUUAAUUAUUUUAUUACUUUUUGGGUAUUUGUUUAUUCUCUGAAUUAUUUUCAUGAUUAUGUUUGUUAAUUAGAUAACUGGCCACUAUUUAAUUAUCAACUUAAUCUAUUGUCAAUUAAAGGAUUCAUCGUAUGAAGAUUUUAAUGUUUGUGACAAAUAAUAUAGCAGUGAGUUGUAUUAUGAGAAUAAACAAUCUAAUUUAAAUGAACCAUUGUAUGCGUUUGUUAAUUAGGAUCUGGGUCUCUCCGGUUUUUCAGGCUGUCAAUUGAUUAAAUUCUAUGAUUGUAUCUAGGGUUGUCUAUUGAUUAGGGAAAUAACCAACGGUCGUACCUUGGUUAUCGACUAGUUAAGGAGAGAUUGGCUAUUAGAGGGUCUCGAUAGCUAUAACCGGUCUAUUCAUAAGUAAUAAUAAUUUAUAUUUGAAUCAAUGAUCAGUAGUCGAAUGAAGCUGAAUUAAUUCCUUCAACCAGAGCUUUCUCCAAUUUGAAUUACAAUUUUUAUUUGCACUCUUGUUAUUUUAAUUUGAUUUUUAUUAUUGUCAACAAAUCUCCCAUUUUUCAUUUUACAUUUUAAGAGGAUUUAAAUAAUUACCGAUCUAUGUGGACACGACCCUACUCAAUCACAAUACACAAUUUAUUUAGAGUAGGUAUUUAUUUUUGCUGGCUUCGACAACCAUCACAAUUCUUUAAUUCAAAAGCUGACACUUCUCUAUUCAUCAAACGUGAUACUAAAGGUAAGACCAUUGUGUUAAUUUAUGUUGAUGACAUUUUGGUUACUGGUCCUGACUUAGCAUUACUUAAAGAUUUCAUUCCUAAACUCUAUAAGGUCUUUGCUCUCAAGGAUAUGAGAUUAAUGGCUGUUGGUUAAUUUUAUAAUCAAUUGCUGCCAAUGCCAAUGUGCAAGUAUACACAACAAGUAAUAAAGUGAUGAAUAUUCAAAAUUGUCUCCACAGGGAUUGAUGUUACUCGAAAUGCUGUAGCAAUCACAAUAGUGCAAAUCAACUUAAGGCCGAAGUUAACAAUCGUAAAUUAAGUUCUAUCGUAAUUGAUGAUUGUGAGAGAAUUAAAUAAAACAAUACCGUAAUGAAAUAAACUAAAUUAAAUGUGUCUAAGAUUCAAUAGAGAUUAUGGUAGUUGAAUGAUCAAACUUUCCAUAUGGGCUGACUAUUUUUCAUCAAGUUAGCUUAGCACCAGUUGUUACGGUAAGUGCUGCAGCACUGGGCAGAAUUAAUCUGCAUCCUCAGCUAUCGCAUAUUGGAAGUCUCAUAUCUUUAAAUCUAUUAACAAUGACCAGUUGCUAAUCUAUUUAUGGUAUGGCAUUAUGAUCUUUAGUCUCUCCACCCUACAAGGUGAACACCUAUGUCUAGUGUGUCACAAAUCUUAACUUCAAGUAUUGACCUUAUGGGAUUCAAGAUAACUUAAUCUAGGAAACUUAACUUAAGAUCAAGUAAUACUCUAAUAAUAUCUGCUAACAUAUGCCCUUUUGCUGCUCUAUCUUAACUGAACUAUUAAAUAGGUGGUCAACCGAAAUAACAGUUAUAUUCAUUAUAGCUAUUAGAGUAAAAUGCUACAGCAAUGACAUAACAACACAUAAGAACAGUCAAGAACCCAUUGGAUUGUUUGUCACUCAACUACAAACAAGUUCAUAUUCUGAAUAAGAAAAAUAAACAUAAAUAUAUUGAUCACGGGAUACAUCAAAACAAUUAAAGGAAGAAGAUAAAUAAAAGUUGAGCACGGUGAAAGACAAAUCCAAAUAAUUCUGUACGAUUCUUCAAUGUUGCCGAAACAGCACUCUUCAAUUCUGAUCUUCUUCUUCUUUCCUUUGUAAUUAUUCUAAUGAUAAUUCCCUUGCCGCCUUUCUAUGUCGUGCACGCUUUCAUUUUAUAUUGCAAAUUAGGGUAAAACAAAAGUCCAUGGGCGUGCAUGCGUUAAAUUAGGAAACAUGCAGAUCGCGAUUCUGUGGCUGACCCGCGCCUAAGUUUUCUCCUGCAUUGCUCCACGAUUGCUACAGCACCGGUUGCUCUAACAUCUGCAACAACACUGCACUCUUCCCGAUUGUGCUUUAUUUCUUUUGCGGCCAUCUUCUUUCCUCCUCUUGCUCAUCUAAAGUCUCACCAUCCCCUCAUGAAUUAAGACUUUCUGAAAACCUACAAUUAUGCACCUGUUUUUAGCACAAAUUACUUUGAUUCAAACAAAACUUAUUACAACUUAACUAAAAUGAAUGUUUAUGCAAAAUAUAACCAAAAUGUAAUAAAAACACCUUAUUUUUUCUUUAAGUGAUCUUGAUUUAAGUCUAAAAUUGAUGUAAUAACUCUCAUUUCCUAGAGUUAUCAAUGGCCUAUUUUCUUGUGUGGUAGUUUAUUUCACAACUCAUAGUAGCAUUUCUCACAGAUAAAGUACAUUAAGAAUCUGUUGAGAAAAGCCUCAAUGCAAAUUGCAAUGGUUUUGAUACACAUUUCAACAAUGGUUUCAAACUGGAGAAAAAUGUUAAAGGACCUUUGGGGCAAGAAUUUGAAGAGGCAGCACUUUAUAAAAGCAUUGUUGGGGGUCUUUAGUACUUGAUUCUCACCAGACCUGACAUUGCUUACUCUGUAUAUAAACUUAGUCAGUAUCUUAGUAAUCCUAUACUUUAGCACUGGUUGGCAUACAAGAAAGUGCUCAAGUAUCUUCAAGUUACAAUCACCCAUGGUCGAUAUCUUCAAAAAAGAGGAACACUUAAAGUUGUUGGUUUAACAUGCUACUCUGAUGUUGACUGGACAUGUAAUGUUGAUGGUCGAAAAUCUAUUACAGCUUAUUGUAUCUACCUUGGUAAUAAUUUUAUUUCCUGGUCAUCCAAAAAGCAAGUUAUUGUAGCUAAGUCAAGUAGAGAGAGUGAAUAUAGGGCUCUAUCUUUAGCAAGCUCAGAACUCUCUUGGCUACAAUCCUUACUGUUAAGGCUUAAUAUUGUGCAAUUACCAACUCUAAUUCUUUGGUGUGGUAAUCAGAGUACUGGAGAAUUAGCUCGAAAUCCUACUCUUCACUGUAAGUCUAAGCAUGUUGAAUUAGAUGUUCACUACAUUACAGACAAAGUGGUAAGAAAAGAGUUGGAGGUAAGAUACAGUCCUACUAAAGAACAAGUUGUUGAUGUUCUUACAAAGCCUUUAUCAUUUCCUAACUUCAACUACUUUCGAUCCAAGCUUAAUGUUAUCAGCAGGCCAUUGAGCUUGAGGGGGGAUGUUAAGGAAGUUCAUACUUGCAAUUACUAUUUACAAAUGGUAUAAUCAAAAGAGGGUGUUUAAAUCCCUUAUUGAAAAGUUGAGGAUCUACAUCGCCAUGCAUUUCCCCAAACCUUGUAUAUGUCAUAUUCCCUUGUUUACGCCUCAAAAAUUGUUUGAAUAUUUAAAAAAGAAUUCAAAUAGAUUUUUUAUGUAAUAAAUGACAGAAUUUGACAAACAUUUGUAAUUAGUUAUAUUCCUCUAGUUGAAAGGUUCAAAAAGAUAUAUUAUAUGACCAAAUCGAUAUCGUUUGAGCUAUCUGACAGUACCAAAAAAAUCCUAUGUUAUAAUACCAAAUUACAUUACAAGGGGAACAAAUUAUCGUGUCAAAAGUCAUCUCUUUAGGAGUUUUCUCUGAAAACAACUAAUGAGAGAUAAAAUUGAGUCGUCAUGACUCUUGAAGUCGCUCCUAGGUGGGUGGUUGGCCUUUAAUGUCUUUCACUGGUAGAUAAUUCUCAAGGCUUGUUAUUGAAGAUAAAAAAGUUUUAGCAGUAGUGUUGUUAGGAGGUCAUAAGCAAUUUAGUUCCAGAGCGCUUCCAAGCUGAAAUAAAUGGAUUCAGAAGAGCUCAUUAAGAGGUGCAGAGCUAUUAAGAUAAAUGACGAGGAAGAAGGAUAAGUAACGUUUUAGAGCAAAAUGAAAGCUAGAGGAGAAAAAAUAGUAGCAGGUUGUUUAAUUGGGAAAGUAAUUAAUACAAGGGGAGUCAGUAUUGAAGGCUUAAAAGCUAUGAUACAGAGGAUUUGGAAAACGUCGCGGGAGGUUAAAAUAGAAAGUCUGGGAGACAAUGUUUUCAUGUUUAAAUUUGGGUCUGAGAUGGACAAGCGAAGUGUUUUGGUUGGAGGUCCGUGGCACUUCGAUAGAGCGUUGAUUGUGCUCAAGGAACCAGCUGGGAUCAGAGAUCUAAAAAAGCAGAAUUUUAGCCGAGCUUCUUUUUAGGUUCAAAUUCACGAUGUUCCCAUCAUGUGUAUGUCAAAGGAAAUGGCACAAGAGUUGGGUCAAGUGAUUGGUAAAGUGGAAGAAGUAGAAACAGAUGCUGUGGGGGACUGUUUCAGUGAAUUUCUUAGGCUCAGAAUUUCAAUAGAUAUCACUAAGCCAUUAAAAAAGCUUAUUGAGCUCCAACAAGAAGGGGAAGAAGAAGAUAUCCCGAUGAGAGUAAUGUAUGAGAGCUUACUGGACUUUUGCUUUUGUUAUGGGCGAAUUGGGCAUCAAUAUAGAGAAUGCACACAUUACAAAUCCCAAUCAAAUGAUGAAAUGGCUUACGGGCCAUGGCUAAAGGCAACUACCAUAAUCGAAAGGUUAAAACAGAGCAGACGUAGAGAUAGGUCGGAGUCCGAACCAAGCAAAGAUUAUACAAACUCUCCAACACCUAGGAAGGAAAACGCAAGUCAAAAUAGAAUAGAAGAGGAAAGAAACAAGCUUAGGGGAAAUGGGCAGUAUCGAGGAUGAAAAUUGGAUCCAUCAAAAUCCGGGUAUGAAUAGUUUGGAUGGGAAAGUGAGUAAGGUUCAGAAGAUUAAUCAAAAGUAAUUAAUGCAAGGGGACACAAGAGACAGAGAUCCAAAUGAUAGCUGUAAGGGUAACCACAAGUUAAAUGUUAGCAACGCAGCCCAUGGGAAUAGGUUCGAGGAAGCUGAAUUAAAAGGCGGGAAUGUAAAACAGCUGGAAGAAAAAAUUCAAGACAAAAAGCUACCGGAACAGAGAAUGAAAGUUUGAAAAAUGCGAGAAUCAUUGAGCGGGAAAGGGAGUGUCCACAGAAAGAUUUAGAAGAGUUGGGCUACCAAAAAAGAAAUGGGCUGCAAACAUUAAUGGAAUCUGAGGUGGAGGACAUGGGAAACGGGCCCAAGAUAGACAGAAUAAAAGCGAAAAAGAAAAAAUGGAAAUACUCAGCCCGAAAUAUUGAAGGAAAAAGUGAAACAAGUGAAGAGAUUGUAAAGAUAAAGAGGCCCAAUAGCACAAUGGGUUGGGAAAGCCCAAAGCCAAAAAGAAGUAAAUUUACCUGUCCUCAUAAGACUGUUUUAUCAUCACCAUUCCAGAGAGCAACGAUGGCAGCAACUAAGCUAACUUUUGAUAGAAUAUGUGAUGGGUGGGAGAGGAUUUAGAAUGUUGAAACUAAAUCAUCGGCGGUGGUUGGGAGACAGCAUCGCCAACAGCCAUGAAACCCUUAAACUGGAACGUUCGGGGGCUGGGGCAAGAUCAAACGUUCCGAGAAGCCCAACAACUCUCGCAUGAGAAUAUGUCUCAAAUUUGUUUCCUUUAUGAAACAAAGAUAACGACUAGACAAAUGAAAGAAAAAAGAAAGAAGUUGAAGUUCCAGAAUUGUUUUGCAGUUAGUAGAGAGGGUUUGGGAGGUGGGUUGGCAAUGCUUUGGAAGAAUCCUGACAUCAAUGUGGAAAUCAAAUCCUACAGCAAACACCAUGUGGAUGUUGUAGUCCACAGUGAAAAGGGAAGCUACUGGAGAUGUAUUGGCAUUUACGGGCACCCAGAAUCAGACCAGAAAAAACACACGUGGGAACUGCUGAGAAGGUUAGCUGCUUUAUCUUUUCUCCCUUGGUUAUGCUUUGGGGAUUUCAAUGAGGUGUUGAACUUAAAUGAAAAAUCGGGAGGAAGAGAUAGGAGGGCAAGUAUGGUAAUUGACUUUAGGGAGGCUAUAAGAGAUUGUGGCUUGAUGGAUUUGGGAAGCACUGGGUAUCCAUUCACUUGGUCAAACAGGUGAUUUGGGGCUCACAUUAUAGAAGAAAAGUUGGAUAAGUUCUUAGGGAACAGCAGCUGGAAGAGUUUUUUUUAAAGAAAAUAUAGCUUCUAAUUAAAUUUCGUGGAGCUCUGAUCAUAGUCCCAUAAUGAUAGAGGUGCUGGAAAAAGGGAGAGAAACAAGAUACACGAGGAAAACUUAUCAUAGAACCCACUAUGAAGAUAUGUGGAGUCCGUAUGAAAAGUGUAAGGAGAUCGUUAAGCAAGAAUGGGUGGAGAUGAGCUGCUGGAAGAAUAAGAACCCGGUUGACAGCUUUACAAAGAUUUCAAAUGAGUCUUUGCGAGAUUAAAGAUAUGAAGUAAGGAGUGUUAGCCUAUAUGGCUAUAGAUAUUGAUUUUGAUGAUAACAAACCACAUAUGUUGAUUAAACAAAGAUUUAUGAAUUAUGCUUUUAUAAUAAGAAAAUGAUGUUAUGGAAUUAAAGUGUUUUGGACUAAAAUGAAAGUAUUUUAAAACCUUUGGUAUUGUUUUAAAAUUUCAGAUUUGGACUUAUUUGAAAAUAUUUAAAUAUUUAGGGUCAUUCUAUAAUUUCACAUAGUUUGGGUGAAAUCAUAAUUUUAAAAAGUUUUGGGAUUGACAAAGUGUUAUUUAGAAAUUCUGAAAUUGGACCUAUUUGAAAGCUUUCAUAACGUUUUGGGUUAUAAUAUAGUUUUAUAAAGUUUUAAGGUCUAACUAUAAUUUUAGAAAAUAUUUUACUGUAGCAAGCGGCUAACCGGAUAUGAUAAGCGGCAAUCCAGAUUUUGGGUAGUAAGCUUCUGGAGCAUAAACGGCUAUCCGGAUAUCGUAAGUGGCAUGCUAGAUGUUUUGAAAUUCAAAAUUUUUUUUGUAACGGUAACAAAAAAGCGGCUAACCGGAUUCCAAAAGCGGCAAGCCGGUUAUCAUCAGAAAACACAUAACGGCUAGUUUUUGGGCUCAAACUAUAUAAAUUCAAAUCCAAUUCAUUUUCAAGUUCUCUAGCAAGCAUAAACAAAAAGCACACAAGAUAUCUUGAGCUCUCAAUUUCGCAAAUCAUAAAACAUUGAAUCAUCUCUUGCUCUUCAUUUUGAAUAUCUACUCUUUGAGUGAGUUUUGUUGUAACUUUCAUUUCUUCAUCUUAAUUGUAAGUAUUUGAGUGUGUGAGACACUUGAGUGAAGAGAUUAUGAGACAAUCUCUUUGUUGUAAAGGUUCAUUGACACCUUGAAGUCAAUUGUAAACGUUUGAAGCCUUGGAAAGGCUCGGAUAGUGAAAUCCUCAAGCUUGGAUCACUUGGAGGCGUGGACAUAGGCGGGGAUUGCCGAAUCACGUAAAAAUUCAUGUGUUUGUUUCUCUUCUCCCUUACUCAUUUGUUAUUGUGCUUUUAUUGAACUUAUUGCUUUCGAAUUUAUUAAGGCAUUAGAUUGGAUUGUUGUGUGGCUUUAUUAGGAUAAUUUUUAAAAUACCAAUUCACCCCCCUCUUGGGUUGCACACUUAUAUUUCAUUGGGUAUCAGAACAAGGUGCUCUUAUUUAGACUUAACCGUCUAGAGCUAAAGAUCAAUGGCAACUCAAAAUGAUUCCACAUUUAGGGAAGGACAGUCCACCACUAGACCACCAUAUUUUGAUGGAAACGAUUACCCUUAUUAGAAAACUAGGAUGAGAAUUUACUUGCAAGCUUUAGAUUACAAAAUUUGGGAAAUCGUUAAUGAUAGUCCUUUCAUGCCUUUGACUAAAAAUGAAGUUGGGGAAGACAUUCCAAAACCUUCACGGGAAUGGAAUGAAUUCGAAAAGAUAAAAGCUUCUAUAAAUUCCAAGGUUAUUAAUGCCUUGUUUUGUGCACUAGAUAAGAAAGCGUUUCAUAGAGUGUCUAGUUGCGAAAGUGCUAAUGAAAUUUGGCAUAAACUUGAAGUUUUUUAUGAAGGCACGAAUCAAGUGAAAGAAUCUAAAAUAAGUAGGUACACUCAACAAUAUGAAUUGUACCAAAUGGAACAAAAUGAGAGUGCGUACUCUAUGUAUACUAGAUUUACGGACAUAGUGAACACUCUAGAAGUCCUAGGAAAGACCUUUUCAAAUAGCGAGAAAGUUAAAAAAAUUAUUAAGUCACUACCUAAGGAAUGGAGACCAAAAAGGACUAUCACUGAGGAAGCCAAAGAUUUAAAUGUAUUACCUAUUGAUGAUUUAAUUGGUUUUCUCAUUUCAUAUGAAGAAGAUUUGGCAGCAGAAAAAUGACAUGAGAAAAAAAAGAAAAGCAUUGCUCUCAAAGCCUCAAAAUGUGAUAGUGAUGAGGAAAGCGAGAUGGAUGAUGAGGAGUUGGCUAUGUUGGCUAGAAGAUUCAGAAAAUUCUACAAGAAGAAUAAAGAGCAGAGAAAGUUUAGAAGUCACAAAAACAAAAAGGAGAAGAAAGAGCCAAUUACUUGCUAUGAAUGCAAGAAGCCCGGACACAUUCGACCGGAAUGUCCUCUCCUCAACAAAUUCAAGAAUAAAGCUAUGGUGGCCACGUGGGAUGAUAGUGAUAAGGAAACAAGCAAUGAUGAAGAGCAACAAGAGAUGACUAAUCUAGCUCUCAUGGCCUUUGGGGAAGAAUCAUGUAAUUAAGUUGAUGAGGUAAGAGUUCUUCCUACAUAUGAUGAAUUACAUGAUGCCCUUAAGUAUAUGCAUGAUGAAUUGAUGAAGAUUGGUAAAAAGAAUACAUGUCUUAAAAAGAAAAUGAUAGAGCUUAAAAAUGAAAAUGAAUCAUUUAGUGCAAAGAUUACAUGCCUAGAAUUAGAGAAUAAAACAUUGCUUGAUAUAGUUGCAUUAUUUGAGAAUUCUAGCACUUCAUAUGAGCAUUUAGAGUCACAUGUGAAUAAUUUGAAAAAUGAAAAUGAAAUGCUUAGAAAGAAGAGCAAUGAACUAAAUGAGAUUGUGCUAAAAUUCACAAAUGGGCAAACGAUGUUGGAUAACUUGCUAAACUCACACAAAUGUGUAUUUGACAAAGGAGGCAUUGGUUAUAAGCCAAAUUUGAAACAAAAAUAUUACAAGAGUUGUUUUGUAAAGAAUACAUCUGUUGACAAUCAAAUUGUAUGUCAUUAUUGUAAUCAAGAUGAUCAUAUGAAAAAUAGAUGUCUAGUGAAGAGAAAUGCAUAUUAUGGUAUGAAAUGUGUUUGGGUUCCGAAAUAAACCAUUGCUCAAGGACCCAAAAGAUUUGGGUACCUAAAACUUGAGAUUUUCUCUACAUGGCUUGAAGAAGAAGAAUAAUAAUAAGUGGUACUUGGACAGUGGUUGUUCAAGACACAUGACAGUGAAUUAUUCUUGGUUUUCAAGUUUUACUAAGAUAAAAAAUGGUGGAGAUGUAUCGUUUGGAGAUAAUUCAAAAGGAAAAAUCAUUGGCAUUGGAAAUGUCGGUAAUGUAUCCUCUACUCUCAUUGAAAAUGUGUGUUUGGUUGAAAACUUAAAACACAACUUGCUCAGUAUUAGUCAAUUAUGUGAUAAAGGAUAUAUAGUUAUCUUUGAUGAAUCAAAAUGUGUUAUUGAGAAUGCAUGUGAUGGGAAAGUUUUAUUUGUAGGAAAUAGAUGUGUUAAUGUCUAUACCAUUAAUAUAGAUUGUGGACCGAUAAAUGAUAAAUGUUUCUCCACAUUGCAUGAUGAUGGUUGGUUGUGGCAUAGAAGAUUAGGUCAUGCAAGCAUGAAUUUGAUUUCAAAAAUCGUGAAAAAUGCUUUGGUUAAAGGUCUUCCAAAAAUCAGUUUUCAAAAAUAUAGAAUUUGUGAAGCUUGCCAAUUUGGAAAACAAAUCAAAACUUCCUUCAAAAGCAAGAAUCAUGUCUCUACUUCAAAACCACUUUAAUUACUUCACAUAGAUUUGUUUGGACCUUCUAGAUAUGCUAGUUUAAGUGGCAAAUUUUAUGCACUUGUAAUUGUAGAUGAUUAUUCUAGAUACACAUGGGUAUUGUUCUUAACUAAUAAGGGUGAUGCCAUUGAUGCAUUUCGAAUUUUCUGUAAAAAGGUUCAAAAUGAAAAAAGUUAUUCUAUUACUUAUAUUAGAAGUGAUCAUGGUGGAGAAUUUGAAAAUCAUGCAUUUGAAAAUUUUUGUGAUGACUUUGGCAUUGAGCAUCAAUUUUCAUCACCUAGGACUCCACAAAAAAAUAGAGUUGUAAAGAGAAAGAAUAGGUCUAUUCAAGAAAUGGCUAGGACCAUGUUGAAUGAAAAUUCUUUGCCUAACUAUUUUUGGGCCGAAGCCGUCAACACCGCUUGUUAUGUUUUGAAUCAUGUGUUAAUUAGACCUAAUCUUAAUAAAACUCCAUAUGAGCUUUAGAAAGAUAGAAAACCCAACAUUGGCUAUUUUAAAGUCUUUGGAUGUAAAUUUUUUUUUUAACACAAAAGAUAAUCUUGGUAAAUUUGAUCCAAAAUCUUAUGUUGGUGUUUUUCUUGGUUAUUCAAACUCAAGCAAAGCUUAUAGAGUUUAUAAUAAAAGAACUUUAGUUGUUGAAAAAUCUAUGCGUGUUACAUUUAAUGAGUCUAAUCUCUCCUCUACGGAGAAAGUCAUUGUUGAUGACAAUGCAAAAGAAGAACAACAAGAAGAACCAUAAAAUGACAACCAAAAAGAUGCACCACAUGGAAUUCAAGAAGAAUAUCAUGAAGAAACAAAUGCAGAGCAAAAUGAAGGUAUUUCUCAAACACCCCCCAAGGAGUGGAGGUAUGUUUCUUCUCACCCUAAGGAUGUAAUUUUAGGAGAUCUCUCACGAGGUGUUAAAACUAGAUCAUCUCUUAGGAACACAUUUGAGCAUGCUGCAUUUAUUUCUCAAAUUGAACCAAAAUCUUUUACGGAUGCAGAAAAUGAUGAAUCUUGGAUUAUGGUAAUGCAAGAGGAGUUGAAUCAAUUUGAGAGAAACAAUGUGUGGGAAUUAGUUCCUAAUCCAGAACAUCAAUCCAUUAUAGGCACUAAAUGGGUAUUUAGAAACAAAAUGGAUGAAUCUGGUGUGGUUGUAAGAAAUAAAGCUAGAUUAGUGGCUCAAGGUUACAACCAAGAAGAAGGAAUUGAUUUUGAUGAAACAUUUGCACAUGUAGCUAGGUUAGAAUCCAUUAGGAUGUUGUUAGCAUAUGCAUGUCAUAAGGAUUUUAUUUUAUAUCAAAUGGAUGUCAAAAGUGCUUUCUUAAAUGGUUAUAUUAUGGAGGAAGUUUAUGUGAAACAACCUCCUGGUUUUGAAAAUAAAAAAUUUCCAGAUCAUGUAUAUAAGUUAUCUAAGGCUUUGUAUGGACUAAAACAAGCACUUAGAGCUUGGUAUAAUAGGCUUAAAAACUUCUUGUUAGAUAACAAUUUUUCGAUGGGAAAAGUGGACACAACUUUAUUUGUUAAGAAUAAGAACCAAGAUAUACUUAUUGUUCAAAUUUAUGUUGAUGAUAUUAUUUUUGGUUCUACUAAUGAGUUGUUGUGUAAAGAAUUUUCAUCGUGUAUGAGCAAAGAAUUUGAAAUGAGUAUGAUGGGAGAGUUGAAGUACUUCCUUGGACUUUAAAUCAAACAAAAUGAGGAAGGAAUUUUCAUAAAUCAAGCUAAGUACGCGAAAGCUCUACUCAAAAGAUUUGGCUAUGAUAAUGGAACGGCAAAAACCACUCCAAUCAGUACUACCAUUAAGCUGGACAAAGAUGAGAAAGGUAAGUAAGUUAAUAUCAAGACAUAUCGAGGUAUGAUCGGAUCCUUACUCUAUUUGACUACUAGUAGGCCCGAUAUUAUGUUUAGUGUAUGCUUGUGUGCUAGAUUUCAAUCUUGUCCUAAAGAUUCACACAUGCUUACUGUCAAACGAAUUUUUUGAUAUUUGAUUGGCACCAUUAAUCUUGGCCUUUGGUAUCCUAGGGGAACUCAUAUUGACUUAACUUGCUAUUCGGAUGCCGAUUUUUCCGGUUAUAAGGUUGAUAGAAAAAGUACUAUUGGAACAUGUCACUUUCUAGGCCAUUCAAUUGUCUCUUGGUUUAGUAAGAAAUAAAACUCGGUUGCACUUUCAACCACCGAGGCAGAAUAUAUUGCUGCAUGUAGUUGUUGUGCACAAAUUCUUUGGAUGAAACAAACCCUUAGAGACUAUGGUAUUAAACUCGAUCAAAUACAUAUCUUGUGUGACAAUACUAGUGCUAUAAAUCUAUCUAAGAAUCUCAUUCAACAUUCUAGGACUAAGCAUAUAGAAAUUAGGCAUCACUUCCUUAGAGAUCAUGUUAAAAAAGGAGAUGUUGUGAUUAAAAUUAUUUCUACUGAAAACCAACUUGCGGAUAUCUUUACAAAACCUUUUAGUGAAGAGUAUUUUAUAAAGAUAAGACAUGAGCUUGGAAUGAUAAAUGUUGCAUCUUGAAUUAUGAUUUGUUGAUUAAGUUAAUAUGUUUGUUAUUGUAUGCAUUUAUGGUUCAUGCAUUGAGUGGCUUAUUGAAAAGUUUUAAAUCUCAAAAUGAUUUAAAAUUGGUCAAAUUUUAAGCCAAAAACAAAUUGGUGUAUAUAAUACAAGUAUAAGAGCUUGCUAAAAUUCAAUUAGAGAUAAAAAGAUUUCCAAGUCUAAACCGGUAUACCACUUCCUCUCAACCGAAAAACCGCUUUCUUAUUGAUUCCUCUGGAAACAAAUUCUGGAUAACCGGAUUUAGCAAACCAGUAAGCCGGAUUAGCUUUGGUCACUCUCGGGUCAACAUUCAGAUAACCAAAUUUAUCAAAACGGUAAGCCGGAUUUGCCUUGUAAGAUUUCUAGACCAAAACCGGUCAACCGGUUAUAAAAACCAAAAAGCCGGAUGUAUUUUGGAGUUCACUGGACGAAAAGCGGUCAUCCGGUUAUUCAAUCCGGAAAGCCGGAUUUGCUAAGCUUCCUCUCUGCCUCAAAAUCGGACAGUCGGUUCUUCAAAUCCAGAAAAUCGAUUACGAUUUGCAUGGUUCUGCCUCACAACCGGCUAACCGGUUCUUCAAUCCGGAAAGCCGAAUUCGUGAAGCAAUAUUUUGCCUCAAAACUGGUCAGCCGGUUAAUCAACCAGUAAGCCGAAUAAGUUCUUGACACAGCAGCUUAUGGAUGAGGUGCGAACACUCUCUAUGCGGCAAACUGAGUUUCAGCAGCAGCAACUCAUUCAUGGACAGCACCUUCAUUUUUAGCACUUUGGCAUUCCAUAUCUGUAUCCUCCUGCAUCACCACCAUCCUCACCACCUCAGUAGUCACUUAUGCUUGUAUUUGGACACACUUACAUAUUAUUUACUACUUUAUGUCCUUUUAUUUUCGACUAUAUGGAUGGUUAUUAUGCUUUUGGAUUAUAUUUUUGUUUUGGAUGAUAUGGAUUUGUUUUGAUUGUUUGUUAUGGAUUAUAUGGAUUUCCUUAUGCUUAUAGAUAUUUUUGAACUAAUGUGCUUGUAUUGAGACUUUGAUGAUUGAUAGGGGGAGCUUUUAUUCUUUUUGAUGAUGAAGGAGGAGAAUAAUAUAAUAUAUAUUAUAAAAAUAUGCAUGUAUGCAGGGGGAGUAUGCAUGUAUGCAGGGGGAGUCUUUUAAAUAGUUUUCAAAUCAGUUUUUUAACCUUGCAUUGAUUAAGGGGAGCUUUUCAUAACUAGAUUAAAUUUUUAUAAUGUGUUUUGUCAUCAUCAAAAAGGGGGAGAUUGUUAGCCUAUAUGGCUAUAGAUAUUGAUUUCGAUGAUAACAAACCACAUGUGUUGAUUAAAUAAAGAUUUAUGAAUUGUACUUUUAUAAUAAGAAAAUGAUGUUAUGGAAUUAAAGUGUUUUGGACUAAAAUGAAAUUAUUUUAAAACCUUUGAUAUUGUUUUAAAAUUUCAGAUUUGGACCUAUUUGAAAAUAUUUAAAUAUUUAGGGUCAUUUUAUAAUUUCACAAGUUUGGGUGAAAUCAUAAUUUCAAAAAUUUUUAGGAUUGACAAAGCAUUAUUUAGAAAUUAUGAAAUUAGAUCUAUUUGAAAGCUUUCAUAACGUUUUAGAAAAGAUUUCACUGUAGCAGUUACUGUAGCAAGCGGCUAACCGGAUAUGGUAAGCGGCAAUUCAGAUUUUGGGCAGUAAGCUUCUGGAGCAUAAACGGCUAUCCGGAUAUCGUAAGCGGCAUGCCGGAUGUUCUAAAAUUCAAAUUUUUGUUGUAACGGUAACAUAAAAGCGGCUAACCGGAUUCCAAAAGCGGCAAGCCGGUUAUCAUUAGAAAACACAUAACGGCUAGUUUUUGGGCUCAAACUAUAUAAACUCAAAUCCAAUUCAUUUUCAGGUUCUCUAGCAAGCAUAAACAAAAAGCACACGAGAUAUCUUGAGCUCUCAAUUUCGUAAAUCAUAAAACAUUGAAUCAUCUCUUGUUCUUCAUUUUGAAUAUCUACUCUUUGAGUGAGUUUUGUUGUAACUUUCAUUUCUUCAUCUUAAUUGUAAGUGUUUGAGUGUGUGAGACACUUGAGUGAAGAGAUUGGGAGAUAAUAUCUUUGUUAUAAAGGUUCAUUGACACCUUGAAGUCAAUUGUAAACGUUUGAAGCCUUGGAAAGGCUCCGAUAGUGAAAUUCUCAAGCUUGGAUCGCUUGGAGGUGUGGACGUAGGCGGGGAUUGCCGAACCACGUAAAAAUUCAUGUGUUUGUUUCUCUUCUCCCUUACUCAUUUUUUAUUGUGCUUUUAUUGAACUUAUUGCUUUCGAAUUUAUUAAGGCGUUAUAUUGGAUUGUUGUGUGGCUUUGUUAGGAUAAUUUUUAAAAUACCAAUUCACACCCCCCCUCUUGGGUUGCACAUUUAUAUUUCAAGGAGGAGUUUAGUAGGAGAAAAAGAGCUGAAAUGGCUAAAGAAGAAGCUCCAAGAUUUAAAGAAUGGGUGUUAUCAUUUGGAAAAUUAGGAGAAUAUCACGCAAGUAGAAAAGCAGAUUGACAACAUCUUUCUGGAUGAGGAAAUUUUUUGGAAGCAAAGAUCGACAGCUGACUGGUUGAGGGAGCAAGACAAAAUACAAAAUUUUUUCACACAAAAGCCUCAGCUAGAAAAAAGAAAAACAAGAUCAGUGGUUUGGAAGAUGAUAGUGGAAAGUGGAUAGAAGAAGAGGAGGAUGUAGAACCGCUGAUUUGUGAAUACUUUUGAAAAAUCUUUACCACAACAAAUCCUUUGCUGGAUCAAAUGAAUGCAGCGUUGGAUGACUUGCCAGCCAGAAUUACGGCGAAGAGGGAAAGCUAUUUGGAGCAGCCCUUUACGAGGGAAGAAGUUGCUGAAGCUUUAGCCCAAAUGUGUCCCACGAAAAAUCCAGGCCCGGAUGGACUUCCAGCAGCAUUUUUUCAGAAACACUAGUGCUUAGUGAAAGAUAGGGUGACCACAACUUGUUUGCACGUCUUGAAUAAGGGAGGUAAUAUUCAACCCUUAAAUCACACUUACAUUGCUAUGAUUCCGAAAUUAAACAAGCUAAAGAAAGUGACUGAUUUUAGACUUAUUAGCCUUUGUAAUGUUAUCUAUAGUAUCAUAGCAAAAACAAUAACUAAUAGGCUAAAAGAGGUGUUAAAUGCUAUCAUUUCCCCCACCCAAAGUGCCUUUGUUCCUGGCAGACUCAUCACUGAUGACAUUAUUAUAGGCUAUGAGUGCUUGAAUAAAAUAAGACAGAGCAAAAGUAGUAGAAAGGGGAUGGUUGCUUUAAAACUUGAUAUUAGCAAGGCAUAUGAUAGGGUGGUGUGGAGUUUUGUCAAACACAAAAUGCAGAGGCUGGGAUUUUCUUCAAAAUGGGUGAAUUUGGUUAUGAAUUGUAUAUCCACAGCUAGUUUCUCAGUUUUGAUCAACGAGGUGCCAAAAAGGCACAUCUUUCCGCAAAGAGGAUUAAGGCAAGGUUGUCCUCUUUCACCUUACAUUUUCAUCAUGUGUGCAGAGGUGUUCUCGAAUAUGUUAGUGCAGGCAAAAAACCGAGGGCAAAUUCAAGGGCUGAGAUUCACUGGAAGCUUGUCAAUCAUCCACUUGUUAUUUGCGGAUGAUAAUUUGGUUUUUGCAAGAGCAUUGACACGACUCAAAAGUGUACUACUCUCAAGUAUAAGAGUGUCUAGUUAUAAUAUAACCCUGUGAGACCGGGGUCGAACCACAAGGAGUUUUAAAUCUAGUAAAACUAAGAAAAUUAAUUGUGGGGAAAAGAAAUUAUUUGAAAUUAAUUUAAAAAUAAGCUAAGGUUUAGGAUCCACUCUCUGUAUUCAAACUAUAAUUUUAAUACUCUCUCAUUUAUAUUUUACCUCACUUUUACCAAUUAAUUAUUAUAUCAUUUAAUUCUAUGUGUAUGGAUAAAUAUAGAAUAAAGUACCUAAUGUGCCACACUAUAUUAAUGUGUCGACAUUAUGUCAAAAUACCAUAAAAUCUAGUGAGAUUUAUAAAUUAACAUGAUAUAAAAAUAAUUAGAAAAGAAUUAAAUAAACUUCAAAACUCAUUUGAGAAAAUAAUAAUAAUUAAUAGUUUGAAACAUUGAGCUUUACCAUUCACCUCAGCUUAAUAAAAUUAGCUACUCAUAUUGAAAGAAAACACAAUACUUUUUUUAUUUGAUAAACUUUUUGAAAUAUAUUACAAAGAAAAUUGAUAAAAACGGAAACAAGAAAAGAAAAGAAAAGAAACAAAGAAAGAAAGAAAUUCUUUAGCUGCACUCUAUUCUCUCUCGGCUUAAGCUCUCAAAAUAUACGUCCCCAGCUUCUCGCUCCCCCAUCGCUUGCCACCCCUUUGCCUUUUAUAGGCAAAGUAAAUCAUCUUCUUUUCUUUUAUUUUAUUAAUAUAUAUAUAUAUAUAUAUAUAUAUAUAUAUAUAUUGAAUUGUGUGAUGGUCAGGAGGCGUGAUGGCCUCCUGACCAUCACAGGCAACCAAUGUUUUGGUUGCCUUUUACUCUUUUGUCUUUUUGUUCUUUUUUAUUUAUUUAUUUUUUAUUAUUAGAUCUCCUCAAUUGUGUUCUAGUAGUUCUUCUUUGUUCCCGCUUUCAAUUCUAAUUCCAAUUCCAUCUUUAUUCCUGAAAAAUAUUUACAAGAUAAAAAUUAACAAAUUACGAAUUAAUUUAACAUAAAAUAUAUUUGGGGAGUAUUAAAAUAAUUUAGAAAUAAUGAACGCAUUAAUCGACACAAUAAGUGAAAAACUAAUAAUUUUAUCCUUAUUAAAUAUACACUUUUUAGUGUCAAUCAAGCAUCUAGUAUAGAUUGUAUGAAGUUAAAAGACAUUUUUGAUUGCUAUACAGUUGCAUCAGGCCAGGUUUUUAAUUAUGAAAAAUCCUUAAUGUUUUUUAGCUCGGGUACAAGCCAAUUUCAAAGGGAGGCACUUAGGAAUAUAUUUGGGCUGAAUGUGAUCACAAAACAUGAGAAAUACCUUGGUCUUCCAUCCAUGGUGGGGAGAAGGAAGAUUAGUUUUUUCAAUGAAGUAAAGCUAAGGGUUUUAAGCAAGCUUUCUAGUUGGCAAAGCAAAAAUUUCACCCGUGGUGGUAAAGAAGUUCUCACUAAGGCUGUAAAGCAAGCAAUUCCGGCCUAUGCUAUGAGUGUCUUUAAAAUCCGUCAAGGCCUUUGUUCUUAAAUUGAAAAAGCCAUUGCAAGAUUCUGGUGGGGAUCCUUGAAUACACAUAGAAGCAUACAUUGGGCGAGAUGGGAAAGAUUAUGCCAUGCCAAGAUAAGAGGGGGAAUUGGCUUCCGAGAUUUUUCUAGCUUUAAUCAAACCCUCAUAGCUAAGCAAAGGUGGAGAAUUCUGCACAAUCCUGAUUCAUUAAUGGCAAAAAUCUUGAAGGCUAAAUAUUUCAAACACAUUAAUUUUAUGGAAGCAAAGCUUGGCUCAAAUCCAUCUUUUGUGUGGAGGAGUAUUCUAUGGGGCAAACAAGUGCUUCAUAAAGGGCUGGGAUGGAGGAUUGGUAAUGGGAAUCAGGUGCCAGUUUGUGGUAGCAAUUGGGUUCAAAAUUUUGAGAUCACUGAAAAUGCCACCCAAGUUAUUGUACUAACCAAGGCAGUUGUGCCCGAUUUUAUUGACGAGAGCAAUAACUGGAGGGAAGAGUUGGUUGCUAAGUAUUUCUCUAAAGAGGCUUAGAAAGAAUACUAAGGACUCCACUUCCGAAAAUCCCAAGACCGGAUCAGCUGGUACGAUCCUUUGAUAAGCAUGGUUUGUAUACAGUUAAGAGUGGCUAUCAGCAGGCCAUAAAGCUCAAAUUCCCGGACAGAGCAUGUUGCUCAGAUAGCUCCAAAACUCAGUGGAAGGUAAUCUGGGCAAGUGACAUUCCGAAAAAAGUGAAAAUCUUCAUGUGGAGGGCAGCUCAAGACAUGUUACCAAUAGGGGAGAAUUUAUGGAGAAAGAAAAUUGUGGGGGAUCCAAUUUGCCAAAGAUGUUAUAAUAUGGGAGAAGAUGUGUUUCAUGCGUUAAUUGGGUGUAAGGUUGCUCGUAAGGUCUGGAAGUUGACAAAAAUUUAUGAGGAUAUCAGGCGAAUGGCCCUCCAGGACAUGUUGACACUACUAGAAAAAUGGUCUUUACUGACUUUAAAAUAGUGUCAGAAAUUACUAUUACUGACACUUGUUAAUUGUGUCAGUAAUUUGGGAGUCAGAAAAAUAGUGACACUUGUAAGUGGUGUCAGUGAUUACUAUUACUGCAGUAUCACCGAUAUUAUGACACCAUAGUAUUAGUAGUUAUUGAUAUUUUAUUAGUGUCUAUGAUUACUGUUACCAUGGUAUCACUAGUUAAUUUAUUUUUUAAAAAAUAAAAAAUUAAAUUGGAUAAUUGCCUAUUGAUUUAUUUGUAAAAUUAAAAGCACCAUAAAAUAACAAAAAGAAAUUGAUUUAUAUCACAAAAUCUUUCAUUUCACAUUUAAAUAUUAUUAGUAUAUAUUACAAAUUGAACUUCAAUAGCCAAAAUAUGAGAUAUCCUACUCUUAUAACUAAAUAAUCCAAAUUCAAUACAUAAAAAUUAGUCUCUGUCCCUAUCUGACCAACUUCCAUCAGAAUUAGCCUCAUCACUUCUGCUUUCACUGUGAUAAUUGGAGCGCCUCCGACUCCAAGUUGUUUCAUGAACUUGACGUUUAUCAUCAUGGCUUCUGCCAGAACCACUUUUCACACGAUCAGCCUCCCUUGAUCUAGACCUUCUGUAAUGAUGCCUGCAUAAGAAAUUACAAAACCAUAAAUAACCAGAAGAUUUCUAACAUCAGCAGUAAAUACAUUAAAUAAUGAAAUUUGAUCAUAGUUUGGAUCAUCAUCCCUUGUACAUAAGAUUGCAAUGCUACAUCACCAAAGGCAUCUUGUUGAAUCUAAUUAUUUUCUUGCCAUGCUUGCAACAUGGUCAUUACGCCACAUACUAAUCAUACAUUUUUGAAAAUGGGUUUUAAACUCAAACAAUAGACCAAAAAACCAACAGAAGAACUUUCUUUAAAUCUUACAUUGUGAGAACAUCUUUUCAUUAUUCAUUGCUUCUAAGAAAACCGAGUUAGGAGACUUGAAGAAAACACAAAUGAAGAGAACGAUACUAUGAAGAAACCUCUCAAAAUCAUAGGUCAAACAUGGAAGUUUAAACUAAAAAAUUCAAAUAACAGAAAGUGAAUUAAAUAAACAAGAGUUCAUAUAUACCAAGUACAGUUUAUAGUGUCUAUGACUAGUAAUAAAAGCAUACCUGUCGGCAUUAGUUGAAUCUAUCUUGUUCCUCGUUUGUCCUGAGCGUUCUUGAUUCCAGGUCCCAGAUUCAUUAGAAUAACCAAAUAAAGCAGCCAUCUUUUUCACCCAAUAUCUCGGAGGUGGUUUAUCCAAAUCAGCCCAUUCAUAGUCUCCGCCAGGGUUGCGGAAACAGUGGAUAAAAUUGCGAGCCAUUCCACGAGAGCAUGUCUGAUAAAAAAUGCCCAACGAAGAUAAUAAGAGCGUAAAGAAAAGAAGAAAAGAAACAAACUCAUUUCAUAUCAAAAGAAAAAUGGCAAUUGGCUGUACCUUUAGUCUUGACUUCAUAUAUUCCCCACAUAUGGCAAUCUUCCAUCUAGUCACAUUAAUAAAUUCACAUGUGAUCUGUCAAGAAACACACAAAUAAAUAAACCAUCACCAUCCAGAAAAUGACAAGCUGUAAAAUUCAGUAAACAGUAAUGUGUUGAUUACAAUUUAAGCAUGGAGAAAAUUUUCAGAUUAGACUAUGUCAACAGUGUCCACAGAUAGUUAAAAGAUGGGAGAAUGUGCUGGCGUUCACUAAGCAUAUAAUUUUUCACAGCUUAACCCAUUGCAAUUUUACCAGUGUCAAGUCUAAAGGAAACUAGUCAGGAAUCUUCUGUAAAGUAAAUAAAUAGUGAAACAACUGUUCUCAUAGCAAUAAAAUGAAAUUAUUUUAAUAAUUUUCUUCAACUUUCAGACCAAUCAAACAAGUAAAGCAAUUUUAGUACAAUGCACAGCAAUUUAAGCUGAAUGGACAAUUGGAACAAUUACGGAACAACUAGACCCCAACGAAUACUGCAAAAACAACCCUUAAACAAUGACUUAAGAAAGUAUAAGCUUCUCUUAAGAAAGUAGAAGCUUCUCCUAGAUCAUGCCUUUUCAAUCUCCCUUUACUAAGAAAGCUGCCAUGGUAUUUAAGACUAUCCAAAUCCUAUCAACAUGUUGGGAUAUUCAAAUACAGCCUCCAAGAAGACAUGCUGUAAACUUUACAACUGAAGUCUGUCAGAUAAACCAAAUCUUAUACCCAAUGCCAAGAGCUUUAAUUCAAUCCAUUUUAAUAGGCACCAAUUACCAGGAAUGCAGGCAGACAAAAAGGCUCAAAAUGACAGGAUAUCAGUAUUCUGGAAUUUUGUAUCAGAAACAUGAAAAGUGGCAAGGCCCAUUCACUGAGAGCCAAACAUUUUUUAAAUAGUAGUUACUUUAUAUAAAAUAAAUAAAUAUAAAGUAGAAAGUAAGCUCCAACAAUUCUUCACAAAGACCUGUUUCCCAGCAAAGUAAUGACCAUUGACAGAAUGGUAAGCGAGAACAGCUGAUUCCAGCGACUUAUAGUGAACAUAGACAUUUCCUCUCAAGUGGGAAAAACCAUUUCUACACACCUGCACAUAUUUGUUAGUUAGUAUAAGCAGAAAAAGGAAGAAAUCCAUGCCUAAAUCUUACAGAAUACUGAGUCUACAAGAAAUGCUAAAUAAUGUCCAUAGAGUUUCAAUUAAUCUGGGAGGCCAGAGAAUGAUUUAAGAAAGUGUAAUGAAAUAACCAUAGCCAUCUUGUGCAACCAAGGGCAUACAAACUAAUAUGGCACAACGAGAUUGAUUGUAUAAAACCAUCCUAGGUCUACAUAAUUGAAAAAAAUAACUGUUAUCACUUUUCAGCCAAGCUCUUCAUACCACAUCAGUUGGUACACACUAAGCUGUAAAAAUUUGUUUGUGGCUCUGUCAUUAUUGUCAAAGAAAAUGGUAACAGGUAGUUUUCUUCAUAUUUAUCAUAUUUGUUAAUCUCAAAAUUGCAAUAUUUGAAAAACCUAAGAAAAGGGUAAUAGAAAUAAAGAAACUUGAGAAACUCCAAGAUAGCAAGUACAUUUACAGAAAAUAGUUAACAACCUUGAAAUUGACAAUCUCACCAAACUUCAGGAACUCCGUAUGAACAUCCUCAUAAAAUUCUUCAUAAGAGCGUUCAACUUACUCAUCUAUAUACUGAAAAGAAAGAAGGCAAAUCAACCAAAAUUUUUUUUUGCGUAUGUUAACAUCAGAAACAUAAAAUCAAAAGAAAAGUAUGAAAGUAUAGUUUGUCAAGAAUGCUUUAUUUUGACCUUGGAAAAACAAAAUGAUAUUUAUCAGGAGGUGAAACAACUUAUAAAAAUACUCUAGCAUAUAACUUGAAACUUCACUAUGAUAGUUAUCGAUUUGAUUAGUUUCUCAAUUUGCAUUUUGUUCUUCCAGAUAAUGGUCAAAGGGUAGUGGAUUAACACGGAGACAACUAUUAACCAUGAUCUCCAUUGACAUGGUUAACACUAUUCAAAAUACACAACUAGGGGACAAGAUAUAUAUAACCUGCAAUUUAAUCCUCACCUAAUGGCUAAUAUUUUCUCAUCUGUAUAAUCGACUGAAAUGAAACCUAUCAUGUGUUCAACUAAUUUAAUUUGCAUCAAUCAAAGCAACUUCUUUUUCUCCAGCUUUCUGUCUCCCCUGACACAUUCUAAAGUAAAUGAAGAGCACCAACAACAUGUGUCAGUAAAUAGGUGUUGUGGCAAACAAUCCCAAACCUUCCAAAGUAAUGACCAUUGUUAGAUGACCAGCUCUGACAAUCGACGAUAUAUGGUAUAUUCCACAAGAAACUACUAGUUGUUAAGGAGAAAUUUUUAACUCAAACAGAGUUGUACAGUUAUGUGACUAGUGAGAGAGAGAAAGAAAGAAAGAACGAAAGAAAGAAAGAGAAAUAAGCCAAACAUAUAAACAAAAAAUUUCAUAAUAGCUAAAAUCAUUUGUAGCAUGUAGGAUACAUAAUAGCUCAUAGCCUUCACUCUUACCCAAUCAAGGCCAACACCAUGAAUCUCCAUCGUUAUGAAAACAUAAAUAUCUGAUUUCACAUAGUCAAAGAAAAGAAAUAAAAUGUGAACUCAAAAGAACUCACCAGUAAUACUAUGUAGAAUAAUUAUAAACACAUUACAGUAUAUCAACUGGAAAAAUAUUUUUCUCUAUAAAAAGCAUCUUCUAUAUAGCAAGGACAAUCCGUAUAUAAAAUGAUCCAACAAAUUGCACAAAAGUAUAAAAGUUUGGAAGAGUCCUUAUCAGGAUAUAAGAAUCAGCAAUUACAUACCUCGAGCCCCUCAUCUUGCUCCCAAGCAAGCCCGGGACCAUUAUGCAUAUUCUUGAUGAGCAGAGUGCACGAUUUAUCAGGGAAAAAAUAAACUCUGCUGCAUCUCUGACCAAACCGACAAGCUCCAGUCUUCAAAUGGAAAGGACAAUGAACUUUAUCCUGCCAUAUAUAAUAAAAACAUGAUUGACCAUGAUAAACACGCAAAUAUAAUAGAAAUGAAAUAUAAUACAGUAAUUGCAAAUUGAAAAUUUUAGAUAGACAUAUUGAAAGAAAAGGCAUGCCUGUUCAGUUCCAAAAUUGGGCACUUGUUGAGCAACAGUCUCCAACGCCUGUUGUGCAUUCUGGUAAUCAGCAAAGGCUUCUGAUUGUGGGGGCAUAGGAUUUGAUGUAGGCCUAUCAACAUCUUGUAAAGGCAGUAAUAACGUAGAAAGUUUAAUUUUUGCCAUAACCGAAGAGAAUGGGCAUCCUGAAGUAAAGUAGAAACAAGUCUAACAUAGCUGUCAAUAGAGUCAAAAUUACCUCUUUUUUACUUAGUGGGUUCGCAUCCUUCUUCGGAACUCUGACCUUUUUCAUCCUAAUAAUAAUCUCAUUUCCUUGCCAUAUAAUUUUUGCAGGCCCUUCUUCAACAUAUUCCCAAUCAUCAUCCUCAUCACAUUCAUUCUCCUUUUGCCUCCAAAUUCGCGAUACUCCGAGAACACGCCGUAGCUGGUGAGCAAGCGGAGGAUACGUUGCAAGUUCUCGGCGUCCCCACCACCGGAUGGGAGGAUACGUGUCAAGAUCUGGGAGGCAGAGAGAGGGGUGUUGGCCCUACCUUGCCAGAUGGCAUCCGGUACGUGGAGACGGAUGGCAGCGGUUAGAGACAUGGGAACACUUAUCAUGUUGGCCAGCUCUAUUAUGGCUGGUCUUACCUUCUUCUCGCCAUCUCUGCACUCGUUAUCUUCCAUUACUGCUUACUGACCUUUGAUUUCGCAGCACCAUGCCGGCCAAACAAAAAGAUAAAACCUAAGCACUUUUUGACAAUUUGGAUGUUAGGGAUUUUUUAGAUCUGGGGAGCUUAGGAGGGAACGAAUACUUUGUAAAGGGAGUUGAAAAAUUGUAUUUUGGAUAAGAUAAGAUUUGUCCAUUUGUUUUGUUUUUAUCCACUCAAAAAGCACAACUCUAAAAAAAUCAAAAAUAAUUCGUAGCCUAAUGGUCUUUUGAUUCAAUGUAGAAGCUCUAAGUUUAAGAGGUCUUGGGUUCGCAUUCAGACUAAAACAAAAUUAAAAUGAUAAUUUUUAAUUGCUGAUACCUAAGCGUCAUUGAUCGCUAUUACUAAAGCUAUUGAUACUUUAGUAUUAGUAAUUAGUGAUACAUAUUUGUUAAACGCGGAAAAUGAUCCAAAUAUAUGUAUAUACUGAUACUUUUAAAUAAAGUGUCAGAACACAAGUAUCAGUAAAGACCAUUUUUCUAGUAGUGUGAGUUUGCUGCAGCUAGCAGUGAAGAGGAAGAAAGAGGAGAUAGAGCAAAUAAUUGUUGUUUGUUGGGCAAUAUGGUAUUCAAGGAAUUGUUAUAUUGUGGAGGGGAAGAAGGAAGACCCCAUGCCUCAGUAGCAAGAGCAGAAGCUAUCGUGGCAUCCUACAGAAGAAUUAAAUCUGGAAACGGUCAAGAUCUGUCUCGGCAUCAGUACGACAACAAGAAAACUUGGGAACCCCCCUACCAGGAAGGUACAAACUGAAUGUAGAUGCUGCAAUUCAAAUGUCUAAGCAAAGAGCGGGUCUUGGAGCAGUAGUUAAAAAUUCAAGUGGGGAGAUCAUGGCUGCAGCUGUUAAGAGAGUAGCUUUCAAAGGAAACGUGGCAAACAUGGAGGCAGAAGCAGUGCUGCUCGGUAUUCAAGUAGCUUAGAAAGCAAAUUGUGCCCAAUUUAUUGUUGAAUCAGAUUAAAAGGAAGUUGUGGAGCUCACUUUAAACAAAAAGGAAAGUUUAACUGAAAUUUGUUGGAACAUUGAAGAAAUCCAGGCAGGGCUGAAAAACAAGGCUCGUCAGCUAUACUUUUUGUCCCAAGAAAGUGUAACGUAAUAGCCCAUAACUUAGCUAAUGUAGCUUUAGAGUUUGAGGUUGCUGUCACCUGGAUAGGUGACUUCCUUGUCCAGGUGUUGAUGUUGCUCUCUUCUUCUUAAUCUAUUGAAAGCUUUACUUUCUCAUCAAAAAAAAAAAAAAAUUACAUUUCAAGGGAAAAAUCAUCUUUUUACAUAAAUUCAGUAACAAAUACAAGGGCAAGGUGUAAACAUGUUAAUUUCAGAAACUCGGGUAUAAAGAUGACCUUUGUAUUAUAAAGAUGGACAAUAAGGGGAACUAGAAAUAUAAAGAUGGAAUCUGGACCCCUUCGUACGAAAAUUAUCUAGCUCUAAUAAUUAAACUAAAAUAACUCAUAAGUUGUUAUUUUUUCUUAUGGUUUAUAUUUGGUAUGUAACGGUUAAUUAAAAAAAUUAAAAUCUAAUUAAAAUUGGAAGACCUCUUUCUUGUGAUGGCAAGAUGGCGGUCACAUAAAGGCCUUUUUCUUGUAACUUGAGUGGAUAAGAAGUAUAUUAGAGACCCAAGUUUCAUCCCAGAAAAUAAAAAAUGAAACCAUUCACAACAGAUCUUCUUUAUGAAAACUAAAUUACUUGAUAUAUGGAACUUCUAAAUAAGGAAAAAAGCCAUUUAUACCCCAAGAUUUAGGAAAAUAGCCACAAAGACCUUCAAUUUUCAAUACCCUAACUCCUUUUAGACCAUAAUGUCCCUCAACUCUAUAAAUCCCAAAAAAUAACUCCAAAAUUUUAUAAUAAAUAGAAUAUGGCAUUAAAAUAAAUGUAAUAAUAUAUACAUUUCAAAAUAAUUUUAAUAUUUAAAAAUAUUUUAAUAUUUUUCAAUCCAUGAGACCUAUUUUAUUAAUUAAAGUAAUUUUUAAUAAUAGAUAGAAACAUAAUAAAAUAAAUAAAUUAAAACUAAAAUUAUUUUGAAUAUUAUGUAAAGUUUAAUUCUAAUAUUACUAAUAGGGAGAUUUUUUUAAUUGUAAAAUCUAUUUAACCCAAAGAUUUAUUUAAAAUCUUUAUAACAUUACAAAUAUAUUAUUAAAAUAAAUAUAAUAAUUUAAAAUUUUAAUAUUAUUUUAAAAAUAAAAAAUAAUUUAAUAUUAUUAGUCUACUAGACAGAUUAUAUUAUUUAUAUUAAAUUUUUGUUAAUUAAAAACCAUUAAAGUCAAUUUUUUAAUUACUAUAAUUAAAGAGUUUUAUGGAUAAAAAGAAUUUUGAUGUCCUUUUAUUUAAACUUGCCAAUUUUUAUGACCAUUUUCUCAAACUUUAGAGAUGUAGGUGUCUUUUUUUCUUUAAAUAAUCAUGCCACAGAGGAUUAGAAAUCGUUGCAUUCUAUGGUGCAUAUAGAUUUUUUAAGACCGUCAUUAUUUUCUUGUCAAAUUCAUCUGAAUUAUCCAAUUUUCUAUAAUUUCACAAAUCAACUGGUUUACUUUAAUUUGCACUUUUCUAAAUCGACUGUUUAGUCCCAAAAACACGGAAAAUUCACCCAUGAUUUCUUGUUUUUCAUAUUAGUUGGGAAAAAUCAACCGGUAAUCUACUUGGAUCAUUCAUUUGACAAUAUGACUGGUCCGUUUAUUGUGUUUUCUCCGCACAAUAGGACUGAAUGAUAAAGCAUCGUCCGAUUAUGUGGUGCAGAUUUUAAGGGCAUUUACAAAUCUUAUGUGUGAUUUACAAGUUUUAUGCAAUAUUUACAAGUUAAUGUUGAUUUACAAGUUUUAUGCAACAAUUACAAGUUUUUGUUUUGUUUAUAAAUUCUUCUUACAAUUUACAACUCAAAUAUUAAUUUACCUAUUUUCUAUCAAUUUACAAGUUUUAUGUAUGGUUUACAAAUUUUUUGUUUCAUUUCACACUUAAUGUCAAUUCACAAGUUUUUUGUCAUUUUUCUAACUUUUUGUUUUGUUUACACUUUUUUCUUUUAAUUUACAACGUCAUCAUUAAUUUACCUCUUUUUCCAUCAAUUUACUAGUUUUAUGUGUGGUUUACACAUUUUUUAUUUUAUUUCACACUUAAGUCAAUUUACAAAUUCUAUAUUAUUUUUCUAAGUUUUUGUUUUGUUUACAAGUUUUUCUUGUAAUUUCCAACUCCAACAUUAAUUUAUCAUUUUUUCCAUCAAUUUACUAGUUUUAUGCGUAGUUUACAAAUUUUUUGUUUUAUUUCCCACUUAAUGUCAAUUUAUAAGUUCCAUGUCAUUUUCUAAGUUUUUGUUUUGUUUACAAGUUCUUCUUACAAUUUACAACUCCAACAUUAAUUUACCCAUUUUUCCAUCAAUUUACUAGUUUUAUAUGUGGUUUACAAAUGUUUUAUUUCAUUUCACACUUAAUGUCAAUUUACAAGUUUUAUGUCAUUUUUUUAAGUUUUUAUUUUCUUUACAAGUUCUUCUUACAAUUUACAACUCAAACAUUAAUUGACCAUGUUUUCAAUUAAUUUACUAGUUAUAUGUGUGCUUUAAAAUAUUUUGUUACAUUUCACACUUAAUGUCAAUUUACAAGUUUUAUGUCGGUUUUCAAAAUUUUUGUUUUAUUUACACUUUUUUCUUGUAAUUUACAACUACAUCAUUAAUUUAUAUUUUUUCAUCAAUUUACUAGUUUUACGUGUGGUUUACAUUUCACAUUUAAUGUCAAUUUACAAGUUCUAUGAUAUUUUUCUAAAUUUUUGUCUUGUUUACAAGUUUUUUUUUCAAUUUACAACUCCAACAUUAAUUUACCAUUUUUCAUCAAUUUACUAGUUUUAUGUGUGGUUUACAAAUUUUUUGUUUCGUUUCACACUUAAUGUCAAUUUACAAGUUCUAUAUCAUUUUUCUAAGUUUUUGUUUUGUUUACAGGCUCUUCUUGCAAUUUACAAUUCCAAUAUUAAUUUACCCUUUUUUUUAUCAAUACACUAGUUUUAUAUUUGGUUUAUAAAUUUUUUGUUUUGUUUCAUACUUAAUGUCAAUUUGCAAGUUCUACGUUAUUUUUCUAAGUUUUUGUUUUGUUUACAAGUUUUUCUUGCAAUUAACAACUCCAACAUUAAUUUACCAAUUUUUUCAUCAAUUUACUAGUUUUAUGUGUGGUUUACAAAUUUUUUAUUUCGUUUCACACUUAAUAUCAAUAUACAAGUUAUAUGUCAUUUUUCUAAGUUUUUGUUUUCUUUACAAGCUCUUCUUGCAAUUUACAAGUCCAACAUUAAUUUACAUAUUUUUUCAUCAAUUUACUAGUUUUAUGUGUGGUUUACACAUUUUUUGUUUCACUUCAUACUGAAUGUCAAUUUACAAUUUCUAUGUCAUUUUUCUAAGUUUUUAUUUUGUUUACAAGUUUUUCUUACAAUUUACAAUUCCAACAUUAAUUUACCUCAUUUUCCAUCAAUUUACUAGUUUUAUGUGUGCUUUACACAUUUUUUUUGUUUUAUUUUAGAUUUAAUGUCAAUUUACAAGUUUUAUUUCUUUUUUCUAAGUUUUUGUUUUGUUUACAAUUUUUUUUUUGGUAAUUUACAACUCUAACAUUAAUUUACCUAUUUUUCCAUUAAUUUACUAGUCUUAUGUGUGGUUUACACAUUUCUUGUUUUAAUUUAUAGUUAAUGUAAUCUACAAAUUUUGUGUCAUUUUUCUAAAUUUUUGUUUUGUUUACAAGUUCUUCUUGCAAUUUACAACUCCAAUAUUAACUUACCAUUUUUUCUAUCAAUUUACUAGUUUUAUAUUUGGUUUACAAAUUUUUUGUUUCGUUUCACACUUAAUGUCAAUUUACAAGUUCUAUGUUAUUUUUCUAAUUUUUUUUGUUUACAAGUUAUUAUUGCAAUUUACAACUUCAAUAUUAAUUUACCCAUUUUUCUAUCAAUUUACUAGUUUUACGUGUGGUUUACAAAUUUUUUAUUUCAUUUCACACUUAAUAUCAAUUUAUAAGUUAUAUGUCAUUUUUCUAAGUUUUUGUUAUCUUGACAAGUUCUUCUGCAAUUUGCAACUCCAAUAUUAAUUUACCUCAUUUUUCAUCAAUUUACUAGUUUUAUGGGUGGGUCACAAAUUUUUUAUUUUGUUUCACACUUAAUGUCAAUUUACAAGUUCUAUGUCAUCUUAAAAAUUUUUGUUUUGUUUACAAGUUCUUCUUGUACUAUACAACUCCAACAUCAAUUUACCCAUUUUUCUAUUAAUUUACUAGUUUUAUGUGUGCUUUACACAUUUUUUGUUUCAUUUCACACUUAAUGUCAAUUUACAAGUUUUAUGUCAUUUUUAUAAGUUUUUGUUUUCUUUACAAGUUCUUCUUACAAUUUACAACUACAACAUUAAUUUACCCAUUUUUUCAUCAAUUUACUAGUUUUAUAUGUGAUUUAUAAAUUUUUUGUUUCAUUUCACACUUAAUGUCAAUGUACAAGUUCUUUGUCAUUUUUCUAAGUUUUUGUUUUGUUUACAAGUUAUUCUUGCAAUUUACAACUCCAAUAUUAAUUUACCCAUUUCUCUAUCAAUUUACAAGUUUUAUAUUUGGUUUACAAAUUUUUUGUUUCGUUUCACACUUAAUGUCAAUUUACAAGUUCUAUGUCAUUUUUGUAAGUUUUUGUUUUGUUUAUAAGUUCUUCUUGUAAUUUACAGCUCCAAUAUUAAUUUACCUAUUUUUCUAUUAAUUUACUAGUUUUAUGUGUGGUUUACAACGCCAACAUUAAUUUGCUCACUUUUCUAUCAAUUUAUUAGUUUUAUCCGUUGUUUACAAAAUUUUAGUUUCAUUCCACACUUUGUGGUAAUUUACAAGAUUUUAAUCAUUUUUCUUAGUUUUUGUUUUGUUUAUAAUGCCUAAGAGUAAUUUACUAUUCGAACAUUAAUUUACCCCGUUUUCCUUCAAGUUACUAGUCAUAUGUGUGGUUCAUAAAUUUUUUGUUUCGUCUUACUCUUAAUAUUAGUUUACUAAUUUUAUGUCAUUUUUAUAAAAAAAUUUUGUUUACAAUUUCUUAUUGUAAUUUACAACUCCCACAUUAAUUUACCCUUUUUUCUAUCAAUUUACUAAUCUUAUGUGUGAUUUACAAAAUUUCUGUUUCAUUUCAUACUCAAUGUCAAUUUAGAAGUUUUAUGUUAAUUUUCUAAGUUUUUGUUUUGUUUACAAUCUGAAAGAGUAAUUUAUCACUCUAACAUUAAUUUACCCAUUUUCUCUUCAAUUUACUAGUUAUAUGUGUGAUUUACAAUUUGUUAAUCACAUUUCACAUUUAAUGUCAAUUUACAAAUUUUAUGUUAUUUUUCAAAAUUUUAAUUUUUUAUUACAAUUUUGAUGAUCAAUUUACCUCUUACCCCCUUGUCCUUCAAUCUACUAGUUCUAUGUGUGAUUUAGAAAUAUUUUAUUUUAUUUCACAGUUAAUCAUUAUUUUCAUUUAUUAAUUUAGUUUGCUUGACCCAACCCAAAUCCAAUGUAAAAUUGGCUAGAGUAUCGAACUAUUGGCAUCCUUUUGAAAGUCUUUCAAAGCAUAUUUGUGUAUUUUAUAAUUUUCGAUGGUGUUAGAUUAAAAUGAUAGUAAUAAAUUUAUAGUAAGUAUGAAUUUGACUGAUAAAUUCAUGAUGGAUCUAUAGUAAGUACGUUCACAAGUUAAUUUUUAUUUUUAUUUAUCUAAAGUAGGUAGGUACCAUUAUUUAUCUAAUAUAGACAUGUAUUUGCCCUAUAUAUGAUAGAUUUGGAAAAAAAAAAUCAAAUCAUACAAACUCUUGUACAAAAUUGUUUUCUACAAACCUAUUCAACAUAAUUUAUUUGUUUAGAUUAAUUAGCUCUUGACUCACAUUAUUUAUUUUUAUUAUUUUUUUAAUUUCAUUCAACCAAUGAAUUUAUACCACACCAAUUUGUAUAAAAAUAAUAACUACUUAUUUAAUUAAAAAAUAAAACCUAAAAACAUGGCAUUACUACUUACUGAUAAACUAAUAAGUUGAAAUGUAGUUACACCGACACCCUAUUAUAUCAUCCAAUAAUAAUAUUAAAAAAAAGAACUAAAAUAAGUAAAAUGGUUAUUCGGUUUUUAUUAUCCGAUUGAAUGACUAUCAAAUUAUAGGCUGCAUCCAUCGUAUGGGAGGAGAAUGAGGGAUACAUCCUCGUACACUACUAAUAUUUUGUAUAUGCUCUUCCCGUCAGAAUACUUAAGGGAUCUUGUCCCCUCCCCAAAUAAUAUUCAAGGGAUCCCCAAAUACUCUCGAAUGACCGAUACGUUUUAGUCUCUAAAUUGAUUUAAUCACAUUAAAAUAAAUUUUUUUUAAUAAACAUAAAGUUUGACAAUAUAUCUUAGCAAAGUUUGGAUGUUAUAGUUUUAGCCUUUUUUUAAUUAGAUAAAUGUCUAAAACAAAAAUCUUGGGCCAAGUCCUUUUGAAUAAGACUUGAUCAAAUAGUAAUUCAGGACACAACUAGUUAACUAAGCCCGAAAGUUUCAUAGUAUAUUUGUAUAAAUAUUUUGAUAUUUGUUAUUUAUACUGAUAUUUAAUAUUUAAUUAUUUAAAAUUUAUUGGUUAAAUAAUUAAUAAUUCUAAAAAAUAAAAAUAAAUUUAAAAAUUAAAAUGGGUAAGUGGGGAAUGAGGGAGGGGAUGAAGAUUCCAGCUCAUACCUAUCCCUUCCCCUAAAAAUAAAUUGGGCAAAAAAUCGACCAUGUCCUUUUCCUUGAGAAAUUAGGUAUAAAAUCAUAAAUUUAAAAUUGAACUAAAAAUCAUAAAUCUGAACCCCAAAAAAUCAUAACCAUAUGUGGUUCUAUAUAUUUUACACCCACACACACACAAAAGUCCCCAUUAAGUCAAAAUAUAACGAUCAAUCCCAUUUAUUUUGAACAUACUUAUCAAGGCCCAAAAUUAUGAAAUCAACCUAUUCCUUAUGUCCGGUUUUGCCUGUUAAGUAUAAUUGUAAGUGUUAAAAUAGUAAGAGCAAUUUUUUUUUUCACGUGCUCAUAUGUCUAGGAGUUAGAUUUCAGAUUAUUCUAAUCUGCUAUGAACUUUCUGGCCUGGGAUUGAUACAAACUGGGUUAAUAUUUCAAAUUUGAUUUAUAUUUUUUGUUUUAUUUCAAUUAUUAGCUUCUUUCUUUCUUUUUUUUUCCCCCACUAACUAGCUUUUUACCCAAAACAAAAUUUAGUUAAAUCACGAAUAGAAAGAAAACGAUUUUCUUUUUUCAAAUAACUAGAUUACUAAGGGCUUGUUCGAUAUUGUUCUUUAAUUGAUAUUUUCUAAACAUAAAAAUGAGAAUGAAAAUUAUGUUUUGCAAUUGCUGUAUUUUGAAUUUAAGUAUAAGUUUGGUAUUAUUUUCUAUAACCUAUAUUUUAAAACUGAAAAAAAAUAAUAUGUAUUCGGUAGACAUGAUUGAAAAUAAUUGAAACAGUGAAUAUGUAGUCGGUAGAACUAUCCUAUAAAAGCAAAAUUUUAGUAAAUAUAUUAUCUUAACAUUUAAAUAAAAUUAAUUUUUUUCCAUGUUAUAUGAUAAAAAAUUGUAAAAUUUUGAUCAUUCAAAAUUCUUUUUAACUAGUCAAACGAAGAAUCAUAAUGAACACAAGCAGAAUUUUAUACAAGAUUAAGUUAGAUUAUAAGAUUCAAUAUAGAUUUUAUAAAAGUAAGGGCAAAACAAAGUUAAGGAGAGCAUUGUUAGUCAUCACCGAGUUACUGAAUCCAAGAAAAAUUGAGAGCAACCAAAAGAAAAUUCGAGUUACUCAAUGGGUCACAUUGUAUAAAUGUUCAUAUUAAUCUUUCAUGAGCAGUCAUCCAUUCUUUUGCUUCUUGAUAUAUCACAUGGUCUAACUUGGAUACUUUUUGUUACUUUCAUCUCUGUACAAAUGCUCAAACAUCUGUUUAAUAAUCUCAUUAAUUUGAACAAAUAAAACUAGCUAGCUCCCUAAACACCCAUUGAGUUUGCAGUAUUUUCAUGUAGCAAUAGAACCAAAUUUUAUAGUAAUUUCUUAUUUUUUAAAAGUAAUAGUAAUUUCUUAUUUUUUAAAGCAAUAUCAUACAUGUUUAAUUACAUUGAUCUGAACUAAUCAAACGUAAGGUGAUUUGAGAAGAUAAAGGAAAAAAAAAGGAGUUUACGGAAGAAGAAGGAAAGAAGAGGAAGAAGAAAUGGCCAAAGAAGAUGAUGAAAAGAAGAAAGGACGAAGAAGAUGCAGUAUAAAAGAAUUGAAAGAAAGAUUUUUAUAUUGUUUAGUUUUUAUGUCUCGAAGUUUGUUCAGGGAAUUGUUUUGUAGGAUGAAGAAAACGUGUAUAAGAAAACGUGGAAAUCCUUUUUUUUCUUUAAAUUUAUACCCGUAAAAGUUUUAUUUUUUAAAACAGUAUUUAAGCGGCUUGUAACUGGUUAAAUAUAAUUUAAUUAAAUUUUUUAUUAUAUUAUAGUAAUUAUGAAUUAUUGAUCUAAUUUAAUGGCUCAAAAUAAUUACGGUAUUGAUGCCAUGAUUUUAAUUACGGUAUCAUAUAAUUUUCCUUAUUUAUGUUAUAAUUUAACUUUUUUUAUAAUAUACUAAUAAAUUUUAAAAAAUAGUGCACCAAUAUUAUUUUAGUUCUUUACUAAUAAUAGUAAUUAGUGUUUUAACGAAUAUAAAAUUACUAUAAUUAUAUAUUAUCUAUAAUUUAUGUGGAUAAAUCAUCCAACAAUAUAAUUAACUAAUGCUUUAAAUGAUAUAAACUCUAUAUUAUAAAUUAUACCCUUUUAAAACUAUUUUAGUUGUUUAUGUUGUUGGUUAAAAUUAAUAAUAAUAAUAAUAAUUGUUACUUAAAUAAAAGCACCAGGUCGGCCAUGCUACUAUUUCCACCCUGGCAUGGAUCACUUCAGCCAAAUGGUACGAGCAGAACACGGGGACAAGUAUGAAUCGACCAGAGGCGAAUAUACCGACCAGAGGUAUUGCGGGAGACGCGAGAUCCCACGUUUACCCAUAAUGUAGCAGUUAGAGUCCCAUGAGGGGCUGCCACCACCCGAAAAAGGUGGGAUGCAGGGCAAACGGGAACGUGGGGACAGCGGCUAUAAAAGAAGAAGAAAUCGAUGAAGAAAAGGAUAGAAAAACUGAGAGAGGGGAAAACUCUGCCAAAUUAUAUCCAGAUAUUUUUCAUAUACCAAGAGUGAGCUAAUUGUAAGCAAUUAUUUGAACCUUAAUUACACCGUUUUCCCGUAAACACCUUGUGCUAACUUAGGCAUCGGAGGGUUUACGCCGGCAAAACCACCGGCGUCUCUGAUCCAUUUCUGUGAACGCAUGCUUAGUGAGAAAAAGAGGGACAACUCCAAUUUCACUAGCAGGAGCAAUCGUCGAAGCAAGAAGGAGUUGAUAUCUUCAUUAUUGAUAACGUGAACGUUGGUGUAAGUAUCUGGUCGGGCAAAGGGCGAGCAGAUUUCAGCAUCAACAAUAAUAAUAAUAAAAGACCAUUUAAAAUAUUUAGAUAUUGAAAAAGAUUUCAUUAAAUUAUUUUUUUAUUUUUUUAUUAUCACCAAAUUUUCAGACAAAUAACCAAAUAUAUUUGUAUUAUUUUCAUUUUUAUAUACUAUUUUAAAACAAUCAAUCAAAUACAUUUUCAAAUUCACUAAAAACUAAUCAUUCUUAUUUUAUAAAAUAAAUUCAAAAAUAUCAUUUGAAAAAAAAUACUAAACGCACCCUAAUAGUUUGAAUAUGGCGGAACACCAUUUUUCUAGCUCUAAAUUUUCUGUGGACUGCAAUUCAGGUUGCAUAUUGAAGCACGUGGGGCCUUGUAAAUACUGACAAUAAGACAAUGUGUUAUCAAUUUCUAUGAGUUUGCUGGUACCGCUCGAAAUUAUAUUUCAUGCUGAUACAUUGGGAUGCAAUGCUAAUUACGGUCGACAGAUGGCCGACAAGUAUUCAUUUCUUUUUCUUUUUUUUUUUGUUAUUCACAAAACAACCGCUCAAGUCAAAUCAAAAGUGGAAAAAGAUUUCCACGUCUAAAGCAAAAGCCAGAUAGAUAAUUACAUACGACAAAAAUCAUGUUGUAAUAUGUAUAUAUGUAUAGGUUUUGGCAAGAUGACAAUUCGUACGGUGAUAAACAUGCUUGAUCUUAUCUGAUCGAUAAUUGCGAUUGUGUUUUCGCCGCGUAAUAUGACUUAAUGACAAGGCAACUUCCGAUUUGCUAGAGAUUUGACGGGCUAUGGUCAUCAUGCGCCACUUAUCACAAUUACGAGAAUUGAUUUGGAUGAGAGCAACUUUAUAGAAUUAUUAGUUUUUGGGGGCGACUUUAUAGAAUUAUUAAACAACCAGAAUAAUACUUUGAAAAAGUAAGAUAAAAGUCAAGUAAUUAAUCGGAUCAAUCUUUUGGGGGCGGAAAAAAUAAAGUAAAUGUUUGAUGUGACUGAAAAGAAUAAUGAUAUGUGACCCCUAAAUAUAUUUCAACCGCUCACCAAUUAAUUAUCUCUACUAAUUUCCAAAAGUACCCUUGUUCAUAUAAGUUUAAUUCUGCAGCUCCAAACUUAAUUUCAAGUUUAGUGUUGGCCAAAAAUGGUCUCGGAACUGAGAAUAUGACUUUUCAUAAUAUAAUGUAGUGAAAUAAUCAAUGCAAAUUGCAAACAAAACGCAGGGGAAAUAAAACCGCCGAAAAUAUUAGAAACCUUGGAGAAAGAUUGCUGAGACGUUGGAUUGUUAGUAUCGGUAUUGUCUUGGCAAGCAAACGCGCCAAUUUUCAAUCUUUACUUUAGAAAAUCAAUUGCUGUCGUGGGCGUUUGGCAGGGGAGGAAAUGAAGGAAAGUGGUGGAGAAUGAGAGAAGGGAGAGAGGAAAAAAUGGGCACUUUUUGAAAAUAAACAUUAUUUUACUAAGUAUAUUUUAAUAAUUAUUUUAGAUAUUUUAAGUUAAAAUGAGAAAAAUAGGGGUUAGUGAGAUAAGUUGUGGAGGUCAAAUAUCACUAUUCUCUUAAAAAAGAGUGAAGCUGUUGGCAGUACUUUGUAGUCUUUAUAAAAUCCCACCUCAAAAAAAAUUAUAGUGAAGGACAAAUAAGAAUAAAGCAUACAUAAGUCCCACCCCCCCCAACAAAAAAAAACAUAAUCAAUCCUUUUCUUUUUUUUAAUUUUCUACUUGUUUCUUCCUAUUUAGCUAAGAUAAAUUGUAAAAAUUUAGAACAAUCCAUUACUCUUUUCAUAUUUCUUAUUUAUUUAAUAUAUUUUAUGCUUAAAAUUGCUUUUCAAAUUAAAAUUUAGAAUAUGUGUAAUUUAAGCCAAUGAUAAACAUUGAAAAAUUUUAUCACCCAAAAAAUUUUUAAUUUGUGUGUCCGGUAACAAUAAGAUUACAAAAUAAAAGGAAAAUAGCAUAAUAAGACCUUAAGUUUUAACAAAAUAAAAAAUUAGAAGUGUAUUAAAAAAGAAGAAAUUUUUUAAAAUAAAAUAAAUAUAACUGAAAAAAAAUGGGGGUUUUAUGAGGAUAUUAGGGGGUGCCAAUAGUUCAACUUUCUUUAGAAAUCCAAAUUAUGCCCAAUGCCUAGGGCCUUGUACAGCCCGAAGGUAUGUAUUUUACUCAAUGGGCAAGCUAGUAUUUGGGGGUAUUUAUCUUCUAUCUAAUAAAAGUUCAAACAAACUUUGAAAAAUAAAUGGUUUCAAUACUACAUUACAAACUGUUCAAAGUCAUAUAUAUUAUCCGAUUCAAAUAAAANNNNNNNNNNNNNNNNNNNNNNNNNNNNNNNNNNNNNNNNNNNNNNNNNNNNNNNNNNNNNNNNNNNNNNNNNNNNNNNNNNNNNNNNNNNNNNNNNNNNNNNNNNNNNNNNNNNNNNNNNNNNNNNNNNNNNNNNNNNNNNNNNNNNNNNNNNNNNNNNNNNNNNNNNNNNNNNNNNNNNNNNNNNNNNNNNNNNNNNNNNNNNNNNNNNNNNNNNNNNNNNNNNNNNNNNNNNNNNNNNNNNNNNNNNNNNNNNNNNNNNNNNNNNNNNNNNNNNNNNNNNNNNNNNNNNNNNNNNNNNNNNNNNNNNNNNNNNNNNNNNNNNNNNNNNNNNNNNNNNNNNNNNNNNNNNNNNNNNNNNNNNNNNNNNNNNNNNNNNNNNNNNNNNNNNNNNNNNNNNNNNNNNNNNNNNNNNNNNNNNNNNNNNNNNNNNNNNNNNNNNNNNNNNNNNNNNNNNNNNNNNNNNNNNNNNNNNNNNNNNNNNNNNNNNNNNNNNNNNNNNNNNNNNNNNNNNNNNNNNNNNNNNNNNNNNNNNNNNNNNNNNNNNNNNNNNNNNNNNNNNNNNNNNNNNNNNNNNNNNNNNNNNNNNNNNNNNNNNNNNNNNNNNNNNNNNNNNNNNNNNNNNNNNNNNNNNNNNNNNNNNNNNNNNNNNNNNNNNNNNNNNNNNNNNNNNNNNNNNNNNNNNNNNNNNNNNNNNNNNNNNNNNNNNNNNNNNNNNNNNNNNNNNNNNNNNNNNNNNNNNNNNNNNNNNNNNNNNNNNNNNNNNNNNNNNNNNNNNNNNNNNNNNNNNNNNNNNNNNNNNNNNNNNNNNNNNNNNNNNNNNNNNNNNNNNNNNNNNNNNNNNNNNNNNNNNNNNNNNNNNNNNNNNNNNNNNNNNNNNNNNNNNNNNNNNNNNNNNNNNNNNNNNNNNNNNNNNNNNNNNNNNNNNNNNNNNNNNNNNNNNNNNNNNNNNNNNNNNNNNNNNNNNNNNNNNNNNNNNNNNNNNNNNNNNNNNNNNNNNNNNNNNNNNNNNNNNNNNNNNNNNNNNNNUGCAGAUUUUAUUCUAAAUUAAAAUAAAUUAUUAAUGAAACUAAUAUACUAAUUAAAAUAAAAACGCAAUAAAUAAAAUGCAACAAAGUAAAUUAUCACGUCAAACUCAAGGAUAAAACCAAUAAGAAUAUAGAGUAGUUGAGUGAAUAAACUCUCCUAAUGGUCUUGACUAUUUUCUAAUGGUUGGCUCGGUUGCUGUAGGAUCUGCUACAGCACUGGGCAGAAUCCUUAUGCAUCCUCAGCCGUUGCAUAUUGGAUAUCUUAUAUCUAUAUGUAACUUAAUAGUGAUAAGUUCUUAUGCCAACAUAAGAUAUAACAUUACACAUUUAGGUUCUAUUUACCCUACAAGGUGAAUCCCUGUGUCUAGUUCAUCACUAAUCGUAAAUCAAGCAUGGUCCUUUUGGGACUCAAGUAAAACUCAAUCUAGGAAACCCAAUUUAAGAUCAAGUAUUGCUUUGAUAUAUUCCACUAAGAUAGGCUCUUUUGUGACUCUUCCUUAGCUAGUAUCAUUAAAUAGGUGAUCAGCCGAAAUAAUGAAUAAAAAUAAAUUCGAUCAAAACAAAAUGCUACAGCAAACAUGCAGCAACUCAUAUUUUCAGUCAAUAAACCAUCAAUAUUAUUUAUUACUCAACUAAAAAUAAAUUUAUUUCAUGGUUUGCAAAAGAAAAAUAAAGAACAAAGUUUUAGCCAUGAAACACAUUCUCAUGAAUAAAUAGAAAACAAGAAAACAAGAAAAGAACAAGAGGCCUGGAGUUUCUUGAUUGAUUUCUGCAAAUUNNNNNNNNNNNNNNNNNNNNNNNNNNNNNNNNNNNNNNNNNNNNNNNNNNNNNNNNNNNNNNNNNNNNNNNNNNNNNNNNNNNNNNNNNNNNNNNNNNNNNNNNNNNNNNNNNNNGCUGAAAAUUAGGGUAAACGGAAGCCUAGGGCGCCAAUAAGUCAGAUUAGAAAACUGUAAAUCGCAAUUCUGUAUACCGCUGCACUCCGGCCUCCAGCUUGCUCAUGUCCAGCUCGGGAUAUUCUUCCUUAAGCACAGACAUGAUGCACUUAUAGGAGAAAGCAACCCCAGAAUCAUACUCGGCAUCCAGCCGAUCGUCCACAUCAGUGGAUUUGCCUUUCUCCUCAGCCAGCUGCUCACCCAAGGAUUUGAUUUUCCCCUCAAGGGCGGUUCUCAGAGUAUCCCUUUCACUUUGAGUAGCCUGAAGAUCAGAUCUCAGGUCACCCAACUCACCCUCAAGUUUGGAGGAAGUGGACUCAGCAACCGCAACUUUCUCCUCUAGCUCCGUAAUCUGCUUGUUCAGCUCGGCCAGCUUCUCCUUGGAGCGAUCAGCAGAUUCAGCUUUCUUCUUUAAUUCCUGAUUGUCAGCUUGAAGCUUCCUCUCAUGGCGCGCGGACCCGAUCUUGUAGCACGAAACCAUGGUGGCCAGCCUGAAGGAUACUCUUUGAACAGAAGCAGCUAACUCGGAGAGGUUCAUACUCUCGAUGUCUUUCACCAUCUUGGGCCCCACCGAUUUUUUGUAAUCCUUCUGAUAUGGGCUCAGGUAGUCACCUUGAUCCCGAGAUGGUAGAGAAGAAGAUCGGUCCCCAGACUGGAAACUGACCUCAGGACUCUUGUCAGAAGUUUUCUCCCCACCACUCUUACGGGGUGGGGGAGGGGGCAGAGCAGGAACAGGAGCCUUGGAAGGGCCGACGCUGGUUUUCUUUGGAGGAGGAGGAGGGUUGCUGGAGCUGCUUGGAGCCCGACCAUGCUUCCUGCUCAUCGUGCUGAGGAUCUUGUUAUCCAUUCCAGCAGCAAUAUCUACCAAGCUCGAACAACCAAGUUUGUUGGCGACAAGAGGUCUUGGCAAGUAGACGCGUUCACCAGAGCAGUUUCCACCUGAAGCAAAGGUCGGUCUUCAAGAUCCUUAAUAAAACCCCACGAUUCUAAAAAAAUAAACAAGGUUAAAGAACCCGAUAAGUGGCAAUUGGAGAAAAAACACAGGUAAAAAAUGAACGACCUAGGGUGACAAAAUGCGUUAGAAGGUAAAUAUCACCACCCAACGAAUGGGCCGUUGGACACCAAUUUCCUCCAGCAAAUAAGAAUUUGUUCUUCUAAUUUUUGCACGAGGAGGGGAAGCCGGUGAUUGGCUUCCUCUUCGCAGAGCUCGACAUAAAAUAAUACCAGCCUGCUUCCUUUAGGCUACUCCUCAGCUGGUAUAAAUGCUUUACUUUAACAUGGGAGGGCUCCUCUGAUCCACACCUCUCCCAUAAUAUGAACAUAGCCGAGAGAACCCUCCACCCAUUUGGAUGUAAUUGACCUGGGGCCAUAUGCAUAUCCCCCAGUAUCUUGGCAAAAUAACACUGAAGGGGCAGCCGAGCUCCUAGUCUGAAACUCUCUAAGUGCAUUGUCACAUACCCCCGCGGAGGCCGACUAGGAACAUCACCCUUCCUAGGGACUACAAGGAUAACCUCCUCAGGAAUGUCAUAGAGAUUCCUAAGCUUGAACAUAUCAGUUUGGGUGGUGGCACAGGCUAUGUAAUCGAUUGGAUAAGAAUCUGCCUCCACCCUAUGGCCAAGGUGUCUUUUCUGAGGAAGUCGGGUCGGCUCGGAACUGCUUCCCUCACCAUCACCCACUUCUUCAGGGACCCCUACCCCACCAGAAUUGUGGUUCUCACCAGAGCCCGACGCAGGUCCACCUCCAUUCCCUACAAGCUCUAGUUCGGGGGAGGGAGAAACAGCCAAAGGGUGUGAGUACUCAAGGGUAUCCCUGCCAUGGGAAGGGCCUACACUACCCGAGGGACGUAAGAAAUCGGUGGGUAUCGACAAGUUAAGGUCUGAAUCCCCUGCUUCUUCGUCACUCUCAUCGACAAUUAACCUCAUUUUCUGAUUUGACAUGUCGGAAUCCCAAAAGAAUACAAAGAAAACUCGAGUAUAGGGACACAAAAAGGGCAACACAAAACCCAAUCAACAACAACCAGAGGAGAAGUUAAAAGCAAUACCUGGAUUGAACUGGCACUGAUAGCGCGGCCGUGACAGAAGAAAAACCCAGCGAGUGGAUACUCCGGAUGCGAGAAGUGUGAGCAAAGUUCAAGAAGGGGGUUGGUUGGCGACGGAGAGACGAAUGGCAAAACGAUGAUGAUUUAAGUCUAGGGAUUUGAAACGAAAAGGGGGAAAUGAAAACAUUUAAGUGAUGAGGAUGCCAGCUCAUUCACCGAAUAUAGAGGACAGAUAACCCGUCGUUUCAAAUUUCAAAUACGAAGAGUCUGGAGAUGCCACGUCACUAACCGUUACCAAAGACCAGGUUAGAUGCAAGCCCAGAUAUGCAAUGGACAUGAUUAUCUAGGCCCAUGCCCAGGUCGGAUUCUCCCCAGAAGAAAAAAUGGUACCUCAGGUCUGUCCUGGUAAACAGAAGACCAGAUGAGAAGCCCCCGGGUUGGCAAGAGUUGACUAUCAGUUUCUACUCUUAACUCAUUUCACUCGCAAGACCAGAAACUGGGGAACUGGUGUUACGUAAAUAAAAGCACCAUGUCGACCAUGCUACUAUUUCCACCCCGGCAUGGAUCAAUUCAGCCAAAUGGUACGAGCAGAACACGGGGACAAGUAUGAACCGACCAGAGGUGAAUAUACCGACCAGAGGUAUAUACCAAGCCAAUACCCGUCCCCCAAAAAAGUGGGAACACGAUCCCACAGAAUCACGGUAGUUACGCUUUUCCCAGAACCAUUGCGGGAGACGCGAGAUCCCACGUUUACCCAUAAUGUAGCAGUUAGAGUCCCAUGAGGGGCUGCCACCACCCGAAAAAGGUGGGAUGCAGGGCAAACGNNNNNNNNNNNNNNNNNNNNNNNNNNNNNNNNNNNNNNNNNNNNNNNNNNNNNNNNNNNNNNNNNNNNNNNNNNNNNNNNNNNNNNNNNNNNNNNNNNNNNNNNNNNNNNNNNNNNNNNNNNNNNNNNNNNNNNNNNNNNNNNNNNNNNNNNNNNNNNNNNNNNNNNNNNNNNNNNNNNNNNNNNNNNNNNNNNNNNNNNNNNNNNNNNNNNNNNNNNNNNNNNNNNNNNNNNNNNNNNNNNNNNNNNNNNNNNNNNNNNNNNNNNNNNNNNNNNNNNNNNNNNNNNNNNNNNNNNNNNNNNNNNNNNNNNNNNNNNNNNNNNNNNNNNNNNNNNNNNNNNNNNNNNNNNNNNNNNNNNNNNNNNNNNNNNNNNNNNNNNNNNNNNNNNNNNNNNNNNNNNNNNNNNNNNNNNNNNNNNNNNNNNNNNNNNNNNNNNNNNNNNNNNNNNNNNNNNNNNNNNNNNNNNNNNNNNNNNNNNNNNNNNNNNNNNNNNNNNNNNNNNNNNNNNNNNNNNNNNNNNNNNNNNNNNNNNNNNNNNNNNNNNNNNNNNNNNNNNNNNNNNNNNNNNNNNNNNNNNNNNNNNNNNNNNNNNNNNNNNNNNNNNNNNNNNNNNNNNNNNNNNNNNNNNNNNNNNNNNNNNNNNNNNNNNNNNNNNNNNNNNNNNNNNNNNNNNNNNNNNNNNNNNNNNNNNNNNNNNNNNNNNNNNNNNNNNNNNNNNNNNNNNNNNNNNNNNNNNNNNNNNNNNNNNNNNNNNNNNNNNNNNNNNNNNNNNNNNNNNNNNNNNNNNNNNNNNNNNNNNNNNNNNNNNNNNNNNNNNNNNNNNNNNNNNNNNNNNNNNNNNNNNNNNNNNNNNNNNNNNNNNNNNNNNNNNNNNNNNNNNNNNNNNNNNNNNNNNNNNNNNNNNNNNNNNNNNNNNNNNNNNNNNNNNNNNNNNNNNNNNNNNNNNNNNNNNNNNNNNNNNNNNNNNNNNNNNNNNNNNNNNNNNNNNNNNNNNNNNNNNNNNNNNNNNNNNNNNNNNNNNNNNNNNNNNNNNNNNNNNNNNNNNNNNNNNNNNNNNNNNNNNNNNNNNNNNNNNNNNNNNNNNNNNNNNNNNNNNNNNNNNNNNNNNNNNNNNNNNNNNNNNNNNNNNNNNNNNNNNNNNNNNNNNNNNNNNNNNNNNNNNNNNNNNNNNNNNNNNNNNNNNNNNNNNNNNNNNNNNNNNNNNNNNNNNNNNNNNNNNNNNNNNNNNNNNNNNNNNNNNNNNNNNNNNNNNNNNNNNNNNNNNNNNNNNNNNNNNNNNNNNNNNNNNNNNNNNNNNNNNNNNNNNNNNNNNNNNNNNNNNNNNNNNNNNNNNNNNNNNNNNNNNNNNNNNNNNNNNNNNNNNNNNNNNNNNNNNNNNNNNNNNNNNNNNNNNNNNNNNNNNNNNNNNNNNNNNNNNNNNNNNNNNNNNNNNNNNNNNNNNNNNNNNNNNNNNNNNNNNNNNNNNNNNNNNNNNNNNNNNNNNNNNNNNNNNNNNNNNNNNNNNNNNNNNNNNNNNNNNNNNNNNNNNNNNNNNNNNNNNNNNNNNNNNNNNNNNNNNNNNNNNNNNNNNNNNNNNNNNNNNNNNNNNNNNNNNNNNNNNNNNNNNNNNNNNNNNNNNNNNNNNNNNNNNNNNNNNNNNNNNNNNNNNNNNNNNNNNNNNNNNNNNNNNNNNNNNNNNNNNNNNNNNNNNNNNNNNNNNNNNNNNNNNNNNNNNNNNNNNNNNNNNNNNNNNNNNNNNNNNNNNNNNNNNNNNNNNNNNNNNNNNNNNNNNNNNNNNNNNNNNNNNNNNNNNNNNNNNNNNNNNNNNNNNNNNNNNNNNNNNNNNNNNNNNNNNNNNNNNNNNNNNNNNNNNNNNNNNNNNNNNNNNNNNNNNNNNNNNNNNNNNNNNNNNNNNNNNNNNNNNNNNNNNNNNNNNNNNNNNNNNNNNNNNNNNNNNNNNNNNNNNNNNNNNNNNNNNNNNNNNNNNNNNNNNNNNNNNNNNNNNNNNNNNNNNNNNNNNNNNNNNNNNNNNNNNNNNNNNNNNNNNNNNNNNNNNNNNNNNNNNNNNNNNNNNNNNNNNNNNNNNNNNNNNNNNNNNNNNNNNNNNNNNNNNNNNNNNNNNNNNNNNNNNNNNNNNNNNNNNNNNNNNNNNNNNNNNNNNNNNNNNNNNNNNNNNNNNNNNNNNNNNNNNNNNNNNNNNNNNNNNNNNNNNNNNNNNNNNNNNNNNNNNNNNNNNNNNNNNNNNNNNNNNNNNNNNNNNNNNNNNNNNNNNNNNNNNNNNNNNNNNNAAAUAGCCAAUAAUUUUGAUUUUUUUUUUAGUUAUUUCCGUCUACAAAUUAUUGUUAAGGGUAAUAUUGUCUUUGCACAGUCAACUAACGGUCAAUGUUAAAAUUAACUGACGGUAGGGGGUUUUCUUACAAAUAAAUCAAUUCUCGCCAUCUACUUGCAACAAGCCCAAACUUUAUGGGAGGUUUUUAAAAAUUAUCCAUGUUAAAAAGCUAAAACUAAAUGUUUCUUUAACUUUUUGGAAAUUUGAGCCAAUUACUUAGGGUGCAUUCACGGCAGCGGCACAAUACUCGACCACUUAUAUUUUCACUUAAAUCCAAACGCACCAUUAGUUGGCCCUUGUGGUUAAAAUCAUCUUUAUUACAUAUCUAUUUCAUUUAAAAGCUACUUAGUAACUCUUUACUUUACUUGCUGCAUGUUGGAUUUGAUUUAAAUGUUAAGUUACAUAUCUUAGUUUAAAAUUAUUUUUUAGCCUUGAGAAGUUGGAUCCAACAAUUAUGUUUUGAGUAAUUUUUAAAUUUAGAGUUUUAUCUGAAUUAUUGACCAAUGCGCUAGUGCCUAAAUAAAAAUUUACCCGAAAGAUAAAAAUAAAUUACAAAUAUCAAUUUCUUUUUUAUAAAGUAAAAUUGAAAUAUACAUCUUGUUAAAGGAAAGAAAGCUCUGUGAAUUUAGAUAGAUUUCUUUAGCUUAUCUUUUAAACAUGUGUAUUUAUAUCAUUACAUAGUUAAGAUUCUUAUUACCAAGAAAAUCACAUCAACACUUGAUCAAAAUUUUAUUUAUCAAAUACUAAGAAGAUAUUAGAUAUCUACUUUUAUAACAAGUGAAAUCUACCUUCAAUUUAUGCUUUACAAAGGGUUAAAGGAAAAUUACCAUUUUCCCUCCUCCAGCAGAUGGUAAAGGGAAAAAGACAAUUAUACCACUAAAGUUUGGAAAAAUAGUUAUCAACACUCCAAGUUUUCAAAAAGGAAUACCAAGAUCCCAUUUUAACCAUAAUGCCCUUUAUCUCCAUUAUCUUCAAAAAAUUAACUCUAAUGUUUUAUAAUAAAUAGGAAUAUAACAUUAAAAUAAAUGUAAUAAUAUGUACAUUUUAAAAAAAUUAAUGUCUAAAAAUAUUUAAUAUUUUACAAUCUACUAGAUAUAUUUUGUUAUGUUAAUGUAAAUUUUAUAAUAAAUAGAAUCAUAAUAUUAAAAUAAAUGUAUUAAAAUUUAAAUUAUCUUGAAUAUUAUGUAAAAUGAUAAUUUCAAUGUUAUUAGUAUGUGAGUUUUUUUUACUUGUAAAAUGUAUUUAAUACAAAUAUUUAUUUAAAAUCUAUAACAAAUAAAAAUAUAUUAUUAAAAUAAAUAUAAUAAUUUACAUAUUAAAAUUUAUUAAAAUAUUCUAAUAUUGUUAGUCUUUUGCAUAGAUUACACUAUUUAUAUAAUAUUAGCAUUUAUAAAAAAAAAUUUAAAGUCAUUUUUUUGGGAUAAUAGAGGUAAAGGACAUAAUGAUCAAAAGAAGCUCUUGGUGUCCUUUUUUAGAAACUUGGGGGUGUUGAUGAAGGGUGCAUAUAUCAUUUCUGUGGUAAAAAGACAAAAAUAGUACAAUACUUUGAAAUCUACCAUUUUUAUAAACUAAGGUGGCGUUUAUUUUUUAACUUAAUGACUUAAAGUGACUUAACUUAAUUAAUUAAGUUAAUUAGAGGUGUUUAAUUAAGUUAAUUAGAGGUGUUUGAUUUUAUAACUUAAUGAGACUUUUUAGAUAAUUUUAACUUAAUAAUUACUUAAUGGAGAAACCUUAAUUAAAUCAAUUACUUGCUAAUGUCAAAAAUAUCUCUGCUUUAUAAUUUAUUUUUCAUGUCUAUUCCAAAACUUACCCAUAGACAAUUACCCAACAUAAUAAUCUCAUCAUUAGUUUACUUAUAAAUGUUAAAAUAUUGUGGUAUUUAAUAUAUUAUUUAUUUGACAUUCAAAUUUAAUAAGGAUACAAAUGUAAAAGUACAUAUUUUCAGUUUUUUAAGUUGAAAAAAAAAACAACUUAAUACUUAUUUUCUGAGAUUCAGACGAAAAAAUAAACAUAUUAUUUAGAUUCAGAUAUUCAAAUCUAUUCAGAAUUCAGACUAAUUCAGAUCUAUUCAGAUUUCAGAUAAAAAAACAAACGCCACUUAAAUUUGUAAAAUACUAUUUUUACACUUUGAUGUUAACAAGGAAUCCGUUAGUGAAUUUGUUUGAAAAGAUGUUUUUAUCCUUGAAAUGUAAUUUAAUAUUUUGAAGUAGAAUAUUUUUAGGAAAUGAAGUCAAAUUCGGAUGUAUAACAAAUAUAUAUAUAAAGCUCUUAAUGAGAGGAACAAAAAUCUAAGUAAAUAUUUUACCACGUUCUAUUGUUUGUGGGGAAAAUGACACCUGUAUCUCCAAGACCCUCGGGUUUUCAAUAAAGGAUGCCAAGAUCCCUUGUUGACUAUAAUACACUUUAGCUUUAUUUACUCAAAAAAAAUGACUCCAAUUUUUUAGAGUAAAUGCAAAUAUAAUAUUAAAAUAAAUGUAACAAUAUAUACUUUUUAAAAUAAUUUCUAUAUUUAGAAAAUAUUUUAAUAUUUUACUAUCUUGUAUUGCAUUAAAAAAAAUAUAAUAAAUAGAAACAUAAAGUUAAAAUAAAUAUUUAAAUAUUUCAAUUGUUUUCAAGAUUAUAUAAAAUAAUUUUAAUAUUAUUAAUUUAUGAGAUUUAUUUCAUUAAUUGUAAAAUCUAUUUAACCAAGGGAUGUUUGGUUUAAAGAAAGGGGAAGAGAGGAAAAGAGUAGAAUGGAAGGAAAUGGAGAAGAAAUGAGUGAAGGAGAAUAGUGAAAUUAAAUUUCAUUAUUUGGUUUGACAUAAAAUUUGAUAGGAAAAAGAAUUACAAUUUUUUUCUCUGGACAAAUUUAUUCUUUGCCUUAAAUACGAUCUAUAUUAGCAAUGAAAUAUAAUUUAAUUUCAAUACCAAACUUUUUUAAUGUCAAAAAGUCCUAAAAUAAUUCAUGAUUUAUUAGAAUUAUAUAUAUAUAACGGAGGUCCAGCGGCAAUCGAUGACGUUUCGACGGAAAUCAGUGGCGGUCGACGGCAUUCCAGUAGUGGUUUGGCAGAGUUCCGGUGAAAGUCUGGCAGAUGUUCGGUGACGGUUUGUCGGAGUUCCGGCGGCGGUUAAUUUAUAUUUCUAUAUUUUCAUAUUAAAUAAAUAAAUAAGUUUAUUUAUUUUGUUAAGUUUCUUAAAUCAUUCAUUAAAUUUAAUUAAUAUAAAAUUAUUUAUAACAUUAAAUUGAUGAUAUAAAAUUAUAAAUAAUAAUUACUAAGGGUAUUAAAUAAGCUAAAAAGUUGAAGGUAAUUUUGGAAGUUUUGGUUUCUAAUAUAAGAGGAAUUUAAAUUCUUCACUCUUUAGUGUGGAAAUCAAAUUAUACAUUAAUUCUUAUAUAUUUUGUCUAACUAAACAAUGAAAAUAAAAAUAGAACUUAAAUUACUUUCCUCUCCUCCAUUCUCUGCUCCCAACCAAACAACACCUAAAGAUUUAUUUAAAAUUUUUGUAAUAAAUACAGAUAAAUUAUUAAAAUAAAUAUAAUAAUUUGUAUGCUAAAGUUAUUUUUAUAUAUUAUAAAAUAUUCUAAUAUUCUAUUAGAUAAAUUAGAUUAUUUAAAUUAUAUUUGUCUUUAUUAGAAAAAUCUAAAAACCAAUUUUUUUAGUUACCAUUCACAAAGGAUAUUAUAGUCAAAAGAGGAUUUUGGUGUCCCUUAUUGAAUUCUUGAGGGUACAUAACUAUUUUCCCAAACUUAAAGUGUAAGUGUUCUUUUUCCUUGUUUGUGCCUCAAAAACUUAUUUGAAUAUUUAAAAAAGACUUCUAAUAGAUUUUUGAUGCAAUAAAUGACAAAAUUUGGCAUACAUUUCUAAUUAGUUCUAUUCCUCACGUUGACUGCAGUAACUUACUCAAACAGCUCUCUGAAAGAUAACAAAAUGAAUAGUCCUUCGUGACUGCAGUCUUCUUUCUUCUCCUUGCCUUUGCCACAAAACCGCUUGUGGGAUUCGCUGAUCCUUUGGUUGAUGUCAAUGGCAACAAGGUCGAAGCAUCCCGAGACUACUAUUUGGUCUCAGCAAUUCGAGGAGCAGGCGGCGGCGGCCUCACCCUCUUCAGGGGCAGAAACGAACUCUGCCCACUUGAU
rnacentral:lncRNA from 1 species